rnacentral:lncRNA from 1 species
UAAGCUGUAAAUCCUCAGCAAACAUUUUCCCCCAAUAUUAAUUUUGAAAAGAAAUACCUCACAUACUUUUGGGGCAUUAUUCGCAGGGCCACCACCCAUGAUUUCUUUUGUGGACUUUCACCGCGGGAUAGAAAUCUGACAAAGGUCAAUCCAGCAUAGCGUACUUUUGGGGCAAUAUUCCCAGGGGCCAUCGCCCAUAAUUUCUUUUGCGGACUUCACCUCGGGACAGGAAUCUGCCUAUCACCUAUCAACCUUCUCAAACCUCAACUUAAAUAAAAGGAAUAAAAAUUAUUAUUUCAGUUUCCUUACAAUGACACACCAGACCCAUGAUACUUCUCAAUAACAAUAGUUAUAGAUAACAGAACCUCAUCACAUCCCCAGUUUAACAACACAUCCACAAACUUAAACCGCAAACAUAGCACCAUAUCAUUGCAGGAUACAUAAACACAAUUCAGCUACACUUCCUUAUGAACGGAUUUGUUCUUGGGACGCCCAUACACCCCAAAACGCGUCUUGCCAAUUAAGGUGUGGAUCACCCCUUAUAAACCCAGCAUCUCUCCCGUGCUUUGCCGAUGUGGGAUUCGCCUAGGGUGUUACAUACACCCCCCCUUGGGGACUCAGCGUCCUCGCUGAGGUUUGCCCCACCAUCGCUCAAGAGGACACGCGGAGCCGCUCUGAUACCACAAUGUCAUGACCCAACCCAGACCUGGCAAGAUAUUGUCCGCUUUGGGCCUUAACAAGGCCCGCACGGAUUUGUUCUUGGGGCGCCCAUACACCCCAAAACGCGUCUUGCUAAUUAAGGUGUGGAUCACCCCUUAUAAACCCAGCAUCUCUCCCGUGCUUUGCCGAUGUGGGAUUCGCCUAGGGUGUUACACCAACAAUUUCCAAAACUUUUUGUUGGACCUCACAUUUAUAAAUUCUCAAAACUUCCUCCACCAAUCUGACAACAUCACAGAAAACAAGCAACACCACAUUUAAUUCUCUUUAAGUUGAUGUGAGGAUAUAAUGAGAAACCAAUCAUAGAACAUGUCAUGAGCAAGGGCACAACCAGAGGAAAGAUCUUCAAUGCCUCAGUGUGAUGAUAAUCAUCAUGAAAAAACAUCAACAGAUGUGAUUUAGGGAUACAUCUCAUAUAACAACCUUCAAAUGAUCUUAAUAUACAGCGAUUGAUAUAAAAUAAAGAAAGAGUUUACAUUUUUUUUUUGGGGGGGGGAAGGGGGGGAAUUACUGAAGUAAAGGCUGAGCUUUGGUUACCGUUCUUUCAUUUGUAUGUAAAGUCUCUCAAAUUCUUUAGUCAUGGCGUAAUAGAUUCUCCUCUAUACAUAAUGAAUAAUGCUGUUAAAAGAAGCCCCUGAACUUAGAAUUACUUCCACCUCUUUAUAUUCUUACUUAUAAUAAGGCAUGAGUGAGUUUUGGUGUAUUUAACGGGAUUUUGAAUGGUAUUUACCCCCAUUUUAUUUUGCAAUUACAAAACCUCGAAAGCCUCUUGCAAAACCUGAAUUUAGAUGAAUGGACUUCAAAUGAAAGGAUUUUCAUGCAAAAGCUACAAAAUACAAUGGCAUAGUGAAAAUGGAAAAAAGAAAAUAUAAAGCAAAAGAAAAAGUUUCCAUCUGAUAAAACAAAUACAAAAAAUCCAAGUUUCUUAUUUGCCAUGCCAAUAUUAUUCAUGAAGAACUAAUCUAAUUUCUUUUCCAGAACUAAACCAACUUGGUUACUACGACAUUACUCUUUCGCUUCUACGACAUUAAUCUAAUCAUCUUUUCUGGUUAAGUGAUUUCGUCAGCAAAUAAGACAAAAUAGAAAUUCUGAAAUAAACCUAGGGUUUCUAGCUUUGGGAAUUUACCUAAUGAGAAAUCAGUCUCACUGUUUCUAGAUUUGUAACCUCAGUAUCAUGGCGGCGCGACCUCGAUCAGCUGAGAUAAUCAGAUUUCGUACCGGCGACGAUGCAAAUGUUUGGGUUUGGGUUUGACGAUGGACGAAGGAAUGUUGGGGUUUUGGGUGGUUUAAGGAUUUUAUUUUAUUCAAGCAAAGUGACCAAAUUAACCUUUCAAAAUAAUUAAAGUAUCUCUAGGUUGUUAUACACUGAGAGGGGUAAAGAGUCUUAACUGUGACUACACCCUGAAUUUAAAUUAAUCGAGACCAAUGCGGUCGUCGAAAAUCGGGUGGUUUAAAUAAAAAUAAAUAAAUAAAUUUCUGCUCGUGUAUUUAUGGUACACGUGAGUUCGUGUGGAGAAAAACGAAAACGGGAUAAAAGAAAAAUUCGACGCAAAUUUUUAUUAGUAUGCAUAUGUAAGUACAUUAUCGAAUAUGCCUUAAACAACUGCCUUUUUUCCUGGGACAAUAAAAAUAAAAGGGGCGGAUGCAGCACAUGACCAGUGGGGGCUUGAGCCCCCACUGGCCAAAAAAAUUUAAAAAAAUAAAGGAGAACAAAUUUUAAAAAAUAAAAUAAUUAAGCCCAUUAAAUUUAUUAAAAUAGUCACUAUCAAAUAUAAACCCAAUAAAAUUUAAGUUUUGACUUUUAAGAAAUAUAAAAAUUUAUAUUUUAAUUAAAAAUAAUGAUAAUCUACCAGUUAAAAUAUUUUAUAUUUUAAAAAAUAUGAUUAAUUCUUCCAGUUUAUAUAAUAAUAGUGAAAUGAAUAUUUUCAGUAACAAAACUCAUGAAGAAUCAUCUUUGCAAUCAGAUGAGAUAAGUGAUAGUUUAAUUAUUUAUAUAAGAAAUAAUAAAUUUAAUAAUAUUAAUAAUGAGUUUAUUACAUAACAUUUUUAAAAUAUAAAAAUGCAUAGAGACUAAUUAUAAAUGUAUUAAUAAAUAUUUUAUAUAUUCAAAUUUUUAAUUUUUUAUAUUUUACUAUUAUCUAAUUUAGUUCUCGAUAAAUUAUUUUUCUAGAUCCGCUUAUCAAAUUAUAUAUAACAAAUAAUACAACAAAAGAAUAGAAGUACAAGUAGAAAGGCAGUAUCUAGGUUGUCUGCUACUCGGCUUCUAGUUCCACCCAAGAUACAUCUUCGUUCCGGUAACCAAGCACAGACUCUGUUACUGCUAUAACUAAUUUAUCACAUGACUAUAAUUUCCAGAACACCUUGCGCUUGUCCAAUGGGUUGUUCAACUUGAGGAGGAGCUAGCAGAUGUGCGUUGACAGAGGUGACAAUGAAGACAGCGAGUCGUCGAAGCCAGUAGAAGAAGUGCUGAAACAGAGAAGCGAACAUUGCAUAACAGAGUGAUAAGACUAUGAGGCACAAAUACGCUACCAAGAACAGAGACGGAGCCAAAAUGACAGAGGCCACUGCCGAGACAGCCAACAGAACAGAGAGUUCUCCACAACUCACGGAAAUGGGUCGGCUCACUUUGAGAGGAACUCUGAUGGGUGUGAGGAGGAAGAGCAGUAAUGGGAUGACGACGACAGGAAUCAGGAACCAGAACUGAAGCUUUAAAAUUGGAUACAGAAGUAUCUUACUUGUACCAUCUUGGACGUUCCAAGAGUUGCCAUCCUGAGACUUGAGGAACAGAAAAAAGAUUAUAAGAUUCAGCAAUGGAAGAAAUAGAAACCUCAAAUCGAUUGAUAAGUCCAUGCCUGUGAAUCAGAUUUGGCAGAGAUGAUUGAGUUUAAUUAUUAUGAAUAAGAUUUGGCAAUGGCGGAGUUGAAUGAAUAUGCUGGAGUUGAAGCUCCAUGAUACUACGAGGAAAUACUUAUAGAGCUAAUUUGAGGGUAAGAAACAAAGCAAGUCAAAACGAUUUGGUGCCGCCCUCUGUAGAUCGUUAAGACAACGUGUCCUCUUUCCUCAGAGGAAUUUAUAAGUUUAGUAUCUUUCUCAUUUUACUAAGUUAAUAAUUUAAUUAUUUAUUCAUUUUACUAUUUCAGAAAUUAUAAAAUAAUAAAUUGGUGCGGGAAGUAUUAGGAUAUAACAUUUUACACCAUAUAAUACUUCAGGAAUUGUUGAAUAUCCUCAAGAAACCUCACAUUUUACUACAAUUCUGUUAAUUAAAAUUGACUUGUAAAAUACCAAUUUUUCAUGGUAAAAACUAUAAAUUAAUUAAAAUAUCUCGUUGUUUGUAUAUACCAAUAUAUGAAAUUAAUUUUGAGAAUCGGUUCUCUCUAGUUUUCAAUUAAUUACUGAGUUUAAAUUUUUCCACUUGCUUCUUGUUUAAUAAUGCAUGCAUGGAUAUGUAUAUUGAUAUAAUAAUGCACAUAACACGUAUAUCAUGAUCCGAUGGAUAUGAUUCAAAAUGAUUAAACUACCAAGCCCAUUGAAAUUGUUGAUGCGAAAAUAUGAGAUGAGUGGUGUGUAAUUGACAACUACUUGAGUUGGAUUGUAGCCUAUGCCUAUCAACAGUUGUUUUUUCAAUGGAAGUGUCUCUUUUACAAAAGUCAGAAGCAAUUGAACGAGGAAUAUAGGAGACAAUAAAUUAAUGUACGCAUCGACGGUCAUUUUUUAAUUUAUUGACUUGGCAAACUCGACAGUCCUUUUUCUUACAUUUAUAUAAGUUCAUCAGAUUAACUCGACUCAUAAGCUAGCUCAAAUACUAAGGAUUAUCUCGAACUUAUAUUAUUAACCUAAUAACUCGGCGAAUGUAUGAUAAUGUCUUCAAUAAUAAUCUCAUAAAACGGUGCCGUUAAGCGACGAUACAUGUAAUGGUAGGCAAUCUGUGUGGCUGAAUCCAGUACCGUCGCCUUAAGGUUGGCUCAAAUUAAAUGUUGAUGCUGCAAUGAAUCUGACGGCUGGGAUAGCCGGACUUAGGAGACAUCUCUCUUAUUAGGUUUCAGGCCUAUUCCCUUCUUGGGCUUCUCUCCGUCUUCAAACUAGGGUAAUGAUAUUGACACCCCUUCAUUAUCCUCAUUGCACCCUUUUCUUAGAAAUUACAAUUUUAGACAAUCAUACAAUUCUAAUUAAACUCAUUUAAUGUUUCUCUCUCUCUUCUAAGAAACCCACACAUUCUAUUACUUAUUUUAUCUGCAAAGUCCUUCAUUACAUCAACAUGUCAUUUUCUUUUCUUUUUAAUGUUUGUGACUCGUCAUCUAUCCGAUAUUUUAUCGAAAUAACCUUUGUUUCUUUUCUUUUAUUACAAUUUAUUAUUCUCAUGUUUUUUCAAAAAAUAAUUAUUCUCAUACUUAAAGAACACUUUUAAACUAAGGAAAAUUCAAAUAUAUUUAUUUUAGAUCAAAGUUAUCACCCAAAAAUAUUAUUUGUGUAGAGGUAGAGAAUAGGAUUGUAAGAGAAGAAAUACUCCAUUUUAUUUUAGGAGUGAGAAAACCCAAAAAAAAAAAAAACCAACAACAACAAACAAACAAACAAACGAAAUAGGGUUUAAGAAUAAAAGUGUAUUUUUAGUAUUAAAACUAGUAAAAUUGGAAAUGGUUUCAUCAGGAAUUUUAAAGGGCGGUAGAAGCUCCACUCUUAAAACUAGUUGUUUUUCAUUGGUUAUGGACCUUUUCGUCUUCUUCCGGGGCUGCUUGUAAUUUUCUUUCAUGCCGGGUUUAACCAAUUGUAAUAAAAUGAAAUGCCAUUCAAGAGAGUGAGAUUUCAAUACGAUCCCACAUCUACAAACAUGCAUCAAAAUUGAUUAACAUAUUAUUUAUUACAAGUAGACAAUGGAUUAGAUUAAGGUAUUUUUAAAUGAGUAGACACAUUCUAAAUUUUUUUAUCUCGAAAAAUUAUCUCAAAUGAUGUGACAUUUAUUAAUUAGUUAGUGAAACAAACAAUCAAUUCACUUAGAUCUUAUAAACAUUUACUAACCACUCAUAAAUGCUACAUCAUUAGAAUGAAAUUUUGUAUAAAAAAUUUGGGAUGCCCAUCAUUACUCUUUUUAAAUAUGACAAAAAAUACGAUUGUGUAUAAAAAUAUAUAUAAACCAGUGAUACACAAAAGAUAUACGAAUGAAUGAUUCAUUUUCCAACAAAAUGGAUGCAUAUAACAAAUGAGAACUAAUCAGGAGAUAAAACUCUCUAAUUAUCCUUCAUCUUCAGAUUUGUUCCAGUGGUACAUGAAUAGUAGUGUUGAGAAAGGAACAUACCAAAAAUAAACUUCAAUAAUGCGUAAUUAAGCUACAUUUUUUUCUCUAUCAGCGUGAUCAAAAUGAGAGUAUGUACAACAACAUAACUAUAGGAACUAAGUGGUAUUAUUAUUAUGCAAAUAUGCUUUCCAUGGCGAUAUAAAUAUACUCUCCAUGACAAUAUCACUAGUCGCAUGACCAAAAAUACCGUCAUUCACAAUAACCUCUCAGAGCCCGUUCAGAAGAAAUCAUUCAGUGUGGAGAUACGAGACAUGAAGCAAUCAAACGUCUCUAACAAUAUAAAUAUGCUUAGUCAUCAAUUUACCCCUUACUUACCCCCUUACUUACCAACUAACAUUUUUUCUUUUUUUAGUUUGGAGAUUAAUAAAGAAGAAAGAAUCUUGAAAACUCCUUCAUUUGCUACGAAACGCGAACUGUUUUCAACUAUACGAGAGAGACUUGAUCUUCUCUUUUAUCUCCAAAAUUACAACGAUUCAUUUCUUUAAUUUGCCUAGUAACAAAAAAAAAAGAGGUAGAACGUCAUCAUACUGCCCAGGAACCUUACUAGCUUUCUUUCCUUGCCCAAUAGGAAAAAUAUUAUUCUCCAUUAACAAACAGCUACAAAGCUUGGAACAUCCCGAAACAUUGUUCUCCAUUUCCCCAUCUUUUUAUUAUUCAUGGUAACAUUGCACUCUAAUUGAGAUAAAUGCAUGUAUCCGCAACUAUAUUAAUUGAGGAGACAAAUUAAAAUUUCCCAGGCAUGAUGAAUCAAUUAUCCACAGGUACAAUUAAAAUUUCAAAUGGACAUAUUUAUGUAAUUCCUAAAGCCUACCAAGCUUCUUAGUUAAUCUGCUCAAAAUAGAAUAUUCUAUAGCCACAUUUUGAUAAAUUGGGGUUGUUCAAGUCCUAUAUUCUUUGAAUGCUGAUUCUUGGAAUUGGUUGCUGAGUUUCCAAUUAUUAAUUGAACUAUAGUGAUUAACACACACACAUAUUUAUGAUUAAGGUACAGUCAGAUGUAAUCUUUCGUUUACUAAUAAACUACAACAUGUUUCUUUUGCUAGCUAGCUAGUUGGUUUUUAAACAUAUAUAUGAAUUAUCUAACAGUAUAUAACAAUACGCAUAAUCCAGGUUAAACUAGAUUAAAUUAAACCGAAGAAUUAUGAAGCUUAAAAGUCACAAAGUAGGCUUUUCUAUUACAGUACUGCAAAGAAUGCAAAUUCAAUUUACCUUCUCAGAUCUCGUAAAGCUAUAUCAUUAAUUGGACCUUAAUAAAUACCCGAAGAAGGAAGUAUAAGAACCCAUAGAUGUAUUAAGUACUUCUCCCCCGAAAGCUUAUAUUAAUGGAACAAAGCAACUUGAGACACUUCCCAAUAAGCCAAUAGAGGAACAAAUCCACAAGUCAACAAGAUUUUCCUUUUUCAGGAAUUAAUAGGUCUACCAUUACUCAACAUGCAUUAUAAAUCAUCCAAAAACUAGGAUAAGUAUGGAAAGAAAAAAGAGAGAGAGAGAGAGAGUGUGUGUGUGUGUGUGUGUGUGUGUGUGUGUGUGUGUGUGUGUGUGUGUGUGUGUGUGUGUGUGUGUGAGAGAGAGAGAGAGAGAGAGAGAGACACUACUAGAAAAAUGGGCUACCAUGACAGAGAAUAUCUGUCAUCCGACCCCUCCUAUGACAGAGUUUCCAUCUGUCAUUGUAGCCCGUCUCACAAAUCUGUGACAACAUUUUAUCUAUCACAUGUUCCCAUGACAGUGUAUAUUUAUCACACAUGUGUCACGAACCAAGCGACGUCAUUUCGAAAGACUUUCGAGAAUUAAUUGGAAAUUUUAGCGGGUUAUUUAAAUUAUUUUGAAUUUGAUGGGUUUCUUCAAAAGCUGUCAUAUAUCAAUGAUUCACAUUCUCUGUCAUGAGAUUUAAGGUUUAAAAAAGAAUAAAAUUAUUAUUUUUAAUUUUGAAAUUAUAAUAAUAUUAAUUAUUAUUAUUAUUUAAAUUCCAGAAUUUUGAAAUAAAAACCACAUUUAAAACUUGAAUUAAUUGAAAUAAAAAUUACAUUCAAAUUCAUAAAAACUAUCAAAUACCAAAUUGUGUGAUGCGCUAAAAAUUUCAAUCACUUGAAACUUCCAACAAAUAGCAUCACAAAAUAUAUGGUGAAUCAAAUCCGUAUACAAUAUCUAAUAAAUCCUUUACAAUAUCCAAUCACCAACACAUCACUAGAAAAACAAUUAAUCCAUAAAAAAAACACUCUUAGAAAAUUCCCGAAAGCCACCAACAUCACCUGAAACAUAGGUUACAAUAAAAUGAGUGCCAAAAAAAUACAUAUUAAUAUAUUGCCCACUUACAAUUAAUCAAAUUCAUAAUAAAAUUCAUCAGUGUCUAAUUGAUUUAAUCAGCUUUGAUACUAAAGGGAAAAUGAGAAUAAACAACCCAAGAGAAAAUAGAAAAUCACAUUCGACAAUUGACAUAAUGAAGCAGUAAGCUCACAAGCUGUAAAAGAGAAAAAGGGAAGAAAAUAAAAAUGAUGAUAAAGCAGUAUAACCUGAAUGCUUAUGUAGCAGUGACAGUUGACUAGGUCUUCCUAAGAGUUGCUGGAUUAUAAAAGAUUAAGUAUAAACAAAAUAUUUUGCAACAUAGUACAUAGUAAAGAGAAAUAUAAAACCAAGUGCAAUUAAUGCCAAAGACGAGAAGAGAACUUUUAGUCUAGCCUUCUACAGAUUUCAAUUCUAAAUUUCUAGAUGAAUUUUUUUAAAGAGUAGUUUUUCAAGACUACAAUUUAAUUAAUGCACAACAUCUAACCUUCCAUAUAUAAUUAAAUAAAAUCCAUCAAAAUCAAGCUAAUAAAAAGAAAGGAAAAAGUUCUAAAAAUACAAAAGAUAAAGAGAAAAUGUAGAAAAUUCUGGAAUCACCAGAAUCUCCUCAAUCUACCAACUUUAAUACCAUGAUUGUAGGCUUGCCAAUCUAAGCCCAAAGCGUAAAGCAUAAUCUAAAGUUUCCAGUGGGUGAAGAAAUGAUGAUCUCUCAAUCAAUUCAAAAGGCAAAGACAUUGUCGAGCGCAUAAAUUGUUAGCUUCUCUUCUACCACAUCAGAUCCUUGAUGCAAAAUUCAAUGGGCAAGUAAAGGGACACAUUGAGAUAAAUAUUGGUCAAUUUAAGAAUUGAAAAUGGUGGAAAGAAGUUUAAAUAUUAGGACAGUCCAGACCAGGGGUUAACAUGAUAAUGAAAAAUUAUAAAUCUCAUGAGUUAUAUAUAUACAAAAACCAAAAAAAGAUAGAUAGGCUGGAAUCUCUUGGUUCUUAGGAGCAAAAGUAUCAUUAUUUAUGGACCAGCUGUUUCAAUUUUUCCAAAAUUACAUCUUCAAUUUAGCUUUACAAGACCAUUCUUUGCUCUGCUAGUUUACCUAGUCACCAACUCUGAUUGUCCAUUUAGGAUUGAAUCUAUAUACUCUUAUAUAAUGUCUCUUCUGGAGGAAAUAAGCAGAAAAAAUAUUCUAACUAGAUGAGACCCUUUAGUGUGAUGAUGCUACGCAAUGGAUGCUUUAAAUGCAUCCAAUUUAAUUUAUGAUGCUAAAGGACCACCGAGUACUGAGGACUAGUAAGUGCAACAUGGACCACAAACCAAAACAUUUCCAAUUAACAUAGCACAAUAUGUGACAAAUCAAAUUGAAAAAAAAAAUCUUCCAAAAAGUUCAACAUGUCAAUUAAGAGAAAAAUAAUAGGAUGCACAUUAAUACAUCCAUAAACAGCCUAGUUUCUCUAUCAACAAGUUAGUCAUAAGCACGAGUCAAAAUAAAUCAUUUGACUGAAAUGGUAGAAGACCAAGCAAAUAAAUGCAAGUACCACCACACAAAGCAUUUGCAUUUCCAAAAGUGAAUUUCAUAAAUUUUUUGCAGAAGAUAUCUUUCUAAUAAAAAAAAUAAACACAAGUACCAGUCAAUUGUAAUGGGUUUGAGAACCACAUAUACCUCUAAAUUUGAUUAAAACCUUGAAGUCACAGAGGAAAUUUUUCAGUGUGUUAACAACAUUGAUAUUCAGCAAGGCUUUGUGUAUGAGAUUCAGCUUGUGCAGCUUGGGCAGUGACCUGUGCUAGGGCCUGCUAGUGCUUCAUUCUAAAGGCUCCCUAGGUUGCAUCCAAUGAAUCAGGGAAAUUAGUAAUAGAUGAACGCAAAAUUUGGAUACCCAAGUAACAUAAUGCCAGUGAGGCAUGACAUACAAAGCAAUAUAGACAAUACAAGUUAUCACUCACUCAUUCAAGCUCUGGUCAUCAAAUUAUAACCGGAAGCUAAUACUCUUUCAUUCUUGGUUGCUAAUAAAGUUGUGACUAGAUUGGAGAAUUUCUCACAUAUUUGGCUUAAAGCUACAUAAAGAUCUCUAUAUCUUAGAUAUGGGAGUUAAAAGUGUUCACUGUUUACAUGAAGACAAUUGGAUCUCCAACACUAGUAAUACCAAGAGCUUUUCUUUCAUUAAUUGUUUGCAUUAACCAUAUGCUUCAUCUAAAAAGGGAUGAAACUAAAAUCAGGAAAGAAAAAUGCCCGAUUACCAUUAAAACUUGACCUGGAUAGCCUACUAUCCAGUCCAUUUGGAUAUUUAGAAUACCAAAACAAGAUGAGAUUAUCUCAGCAAUGCACAAUCACAUUACAACAUUGCUCAAAAUGUUCUUCUUUCAGAUUAAUUAAGUCAAGAGUUUUUAUCCCAAUUACAGGGCACAUUUAUAAAUUCUAUAGUAAACGGUUCAGCAAGCUCUAAUUCAAAAUUCCAUAGUAAAUGCUUCAGCAAGCUCUAAUUCAAAAUUCCAACCGACUGCUAACAAAUCAAGGCAAUGAAGAAAAUUCUCCAUCCCUCCAAAAAAAAAAAUCAAAAUUCAAACCCAAGGAUUAUUAGAAUUUAAAUGCGAAACCCAAUAAAAAUGAAAGCUUUCCUAAACAAGCUAAAAUCUAAUGAAUAAAUGAAGAAACUUUAAGUCUGACAAAGUUAAAUUGAAUUACCUGUGUAGGCGAAAGCAAACUGAAAUUUAGCGAGUCAAGCAGAAUUGCGGGGCUCAACCUGGGCGGCACCUCAAAAAUCGACGGCGGUUGAGCAAUCACCAGACCAGCCGAUAUAUUCUGAUCAGAAAACCCCAAACCCUAGUGUACAAAUGAAGGAACCCAUCAGCUUACUUCUCACAAAAGAAGACAGUAACAGCAACUCGAACUCGAAGAAAAUCUAAAUUAAGAAGACAUUAGCUAUAGCUCGGAGUUGAAGAAGGUAGCAGGCUAACGGCAACAACCAUUAAGUUGCGAAACAAAAGGAAAUGGGAAUAGCCAGCAAGCUAGAGAUCGGGGAUGAGGACGAAGACGAAGACGAAGAGCAGCAAUUUGUUGUCGGCAAGCAGCACAGCAGAUGACCAAAUCUGUGUAGGCAGCGUGAUUGUGUGUUUGUGUGUGAUUAGGUUUGGAUUAAGAAAUUAGGGCUUGCCAUGUGAAGCCGAAGGGGAGUCCAACACUUAAAUUUUUUUUAUUGGUAUCAAGAUACGGUGUCGUUCCAUGCCCAAAUUGGCCCAUUAUAAAUUCAAUGUUUCAUUAAAUAUUAAUAUGCUAUCAUGUGUAUUUGAUAGAUAAAUAAACUAUCACAAAUCUAUCAUGUCUUUACGAUAUAUGAACAUUCUAUCACAUGUCUGUCAUAUUUUUAUGAUAAAUGAUUAAUUUUUUAAAAUCUAUCACAAAAAUUCUAUCAUAGUAGCCUAUUUUUCUAGUAGUGAGAGAGAGAGAGUUAAAAGGAAUCUGCAUUCAAAAAAGGAAAAAGGGAGAAAAUAUCGAUCAAACCUCUUCUUUAGGUGAUUUCAAACGGGGGCAUUGGUUUUUGAUCUAAAGAUGACUCCAUGGACAAUUAAUUUACUGAAACACCAACACACUAUUUGAAUAUUUAUUUAUUUAUUUAUUGGUUAUGUAAGAAUUAUUUUCAAUAAAAGAACUCGAAUUGGGGAAGAGAAAGCUAGGAGACGACACAGAUAAGAGAGUGACUUACAGUCCUUAUGUGCAAUAUGGUCCAAUUCUUCUCAAUGAAGAAAACGUACGACUCUUGUUAUCUUCAAGAAUUAUGGACCAACUUAAACGUGUUAACUGUCACAUGCAUGCGGAGCCCUUUUUUUUAUAUAACACUGUUAUGCCAAUGAUAUUAUAAAUUAAUAAUUUGCUAAAAUAUUAAUGUAAUUGUUAUGAUAAUUUAUUUAAUAAAAUAUGGUAAUAUUAUUAUUUUUUUCUUGAAACUUAAAUAUAGUUGAAUUCCUUAUUUAAUUUUCUUAUUGCAUCUAGAAGUUUUGGGAUUGAACUCUCAAAGUAAAAAUUUUGAAUUUAUUUUUUGAAUAAUUUAAUACAUAUUUAGUCGAUUAAUCCAUAUUUAAUGGAAUAGAUUGGUAAAUAUAAUAGAUUUCUAGUUAAUUAAAUACAUGUUUAUUGACUUGCAAAUACAUCAAUUAACUAUUACUUUUUUAAUUAAUAGAUUUUAUAUGUUUCAACACGUUUUACUGCGUUACUGACUGUCGCCGGGGUGCUGGAUAAAAAUGAAAAACAGAAAAAAUCUGAAGAAAAAUUUUAUUAAUAUACCGGUCUCCAUAUCAUAGCCAAUUGAAACAACCGCUGCUUUCUUGGAAAAUCAUAAACAUUGCAUUUUAAGAAAUAAGUGAAUAAUUAUUGAAAGAACUAAGAAGUACAUGAAAGCAGACAGUGUAUCAUCGUUUUGCUUAUAGAAAGGUGCUUUUCAACUCUUUUCUUCAAAUCAAGCCGAAAUAGUAACUGACAAAAACUGCGAAAUAGAAACCUUUCCUUUUUUUCUUUUUUCUUUUUUGUUGUUUGUAUUCCACGUUGUCGUUAUUAACUAUGAAAAGGAAAGAUAACAUGAAACUCACAAUUCAAUAUUUGGUUGCCCUAAUAGAUACUAGGAGCUUUGCAGUGGCACCAGCUAAACGGAAUAUUUAAUAUCAAAUGACGACCACAACUUCCAGAUUAUCUUCAGACUUUGAACUUGGCUGCAGGUAAUUUUGAAUCUUGUUAGUUUACUGCUAUUAAAAUGUUACACAAGAAAAUAAAAUAAGCAAACAGGUUGUGGUUACGUACCUUAUUUAUAAUUACACUCGAAUAAUGUUCACUUCAACUUGGGAAGGAGCUGGUUUGACAGUACAGGCGAUGAAGAUAGUUGGAAUGGAUGUUAUUACGGUGCUCGUGAGACGUAGAAACCAGUCGAAGCAGCGCUUUCACGGAGAGGCUAACACUGAAUAACAGAGUGAUAAGAUUAUGAGACACAAAUACGCCACCAAGAAAAGAGAUGGAGCCAAAAUGAGAGAGGCAAGUGUUGAUAUUGCCAAGAGAACGGAUAGUUUUCCACAGCGUACAGAAAGUUGGCGACGGAUCCUGAGGUGGAGUUUGACGGAUAUGAAGAGGUAGAUCAAUAGUAACAGCAGGACAAGAAUCUGAGAGAAGAAGGGGAGCUUCAAAAUGGGAUAUAAAAGAAUCUCACUGGUACCAUCCUGGACGGCCCAAGAAUUGCCAUCUUGAGAUUUCAGGAACGUAAAGAAGAUUAUAAGAUUUAGUAAUGGCAGAAAUAAAUACCUCAAAUCAAUAGAAAAUUUCAUGCUUAUGGUGAUGCUCAAGUUUUCUAGGGGAAGAUGUAUUUAAUUUACAAAAAUGCUAAAUGUUAAGAGAAGAAUGAGAGAAAGGUGAGAGAAGAAGGCAUGUGCUGAGAGAAGAGACAGAGAGAGAAGCAAAACGGCAGACUCACUUUUCUCUCAUUCUUCAAUUUAUAGUGAGCUUUUUAUGUCAUGAAAAAUUGGAAAUUGCGUGGCAAAUUCUUUUGACCAGUUGCACAUGCUGUCCUGUUGAUUGGCUGGUUUUUGGAAACUCGAUCAUCACCGUUUGUUCAAGCAAAGACCCAAAUGGUGAACUAACGGUGAUGAUCGAGUUCAAAAAGAGAAAAAGAAAAAGAAGUAAACAGUGAUGUCUUCAAACUUUUUUUCCCCCCUGAGAAAAAGGCUUUUAAUACAGUUCUUUUCUUUUUCCACAGAUUGGUAUUAUUUCUCAGUAUUUGCUUAAUUUACUGCAAUAAAUUUUCAAAAAGUGUUCAAUCAUAAUGAAUUUUCAACCAUUAUCCUAUACGAAUCAUUAAAUUAUAAAUACUGAUGUUAAUCAAAUAUCAAGUAGAAUUUGUUUUUAAUAGAUCAAUUAGUUAAAGUACAUUUGAUACACUAUUUAGAACUUAUUUUUAUCUAAAAAUUGAUAAUAGGACCAAAUUAAGUAAAUUGUAUUGUUCAUGUCACUGAUACAAUAAAUAAAUGAUGUAAUGCUAUUUGUUCAUGUAUUUUGAAAAAGUAACAUAUAAGUAGUAAUUAUAUUAAAUUAUAUUUCUCAUGUCACAUAUUCAAUAAUUUAUUAUAUUACCUCUAGAUUUUCUCAUUCUCAAUAUAUGCUUAAUUGUAAUAAUUUUUUAACAACUGUUCAAAGAUAGCUUUGCUCCGGCUGUGUGUGUGAUUGACAAAUAUAUUAUUAAAUUGUACAACAACGAAAAAGACGCGAGUUGAAAUUGUUUCAACGACGUCAAAUGUUGACCACAUCAUUUUUUGGGCUUUCUCUCAUGGGCUAUUUCUUUCUUCUUCUUUUUUGAAAAAUCUCAUGUGGUAUUCAUUAGUGCUUUUAUUUAUAUUUUUAGUUAGUCAAUCUACUUUUAUUGAACUGGGAAACAAAUUGUAGUGUAAGGAAUAAAUUUAUGUUUAAAAAAAUCAAAACAAAAAAAUGAUAAUAAGAAUAAAUUUAUAUUAAAAAAUCAAAAUUAAAAUAUGGAUGGAUAAGAUUUGGCAGAGAUGAUUGAGUUUAAUUAUUAUGAAUAAGAUUUGGCAAUGGCAGAGUUGAAUAAUUGUGGUGAAGUUUAAGCUCCAUGAUACCAUGACGAAAUAAAUAUUUACAGUACCCUUUACAAAAUUUUGGUUGCCUCUAUUUAAUUUAACCCAUGCUCAGUUAAUUUCACUCUUUUUUAUUUAACUCUUAUUAAAUCCUUCUUAUUUAAAUCAAAAGGAUUAAACCUCAACGAGUGUUUCCCCGUAGGCUGUAUCUCCUCAUAAGUGACUUAACAAGUGUUUUGUGAAUGAAAAACUAUGUAAUCAAAAAGAAAGGAGAAAAACUAACUACUAUACAAUACAAGUGACUUAAACAAAAACGUCAUACACAAAAUAGAAUCCCGAUCCAGGAUUACCUCUGAUGUCAAAGUUAAUUUAUGGCAAAGGUAUUCUGGAAUUUGUGCAUGAAGGUUGUGGUCACCUCUUAGCUUAUAUGUUAUGUGAAUUUUGUGUUCUAAUUACUAAUUUGUCUUGACUUUGUGUUCAAACGUCAUUUCACAGUUCACACGCUUGGGCAUGUCCAGUGCUAUCAUUUUUAAUUUCCCAAUGGCAGGGCCUUGAGUUUUGAUUUAUUUAUUUUCUCCCCUUUUUUUGUUUUCUUGACUUUCUUUCUCUCUGCCGGGACCGGGGAGCUUGAGCUUGAGUUUUGAGCUUUAAUUAGAUUUAUAGUCUAUAGUUUACGGCAUUCACAAAUGUGACACAUUGCAAAUGUUUGAAUUAACAUUUGAGAAUACAAUAUGUCACAUCUGUGAAAUGUCUGAAUUGACAUUGGAGAAUAUAACAAAAGCCGAGCCCCACAUUUGUGAAUUCAGACAUUUCAAUCGGGAUCGCCUUCUACCACGUGGCUGCCGAUGGAAGAAGUUUUAAUCAUUUUGUGAAAUCUUGGCCCUUGGGCGUCCUGCGUCCAUGUCCUGUCCAAGGGCCAAGAGUUAAUAAUCAGCUUAUAAUCAGCUGAUUCCUAUUAUAAAUUUGAAGUGCAAAAUAUGAAGUCUAAUGAAGGGCAAAAGAGACUUUAUUGAAAUGAAAGAAAGAGAUUUAAUCAUUUUGAGGUGGGAUUUGCAGGAAAGUACCUGGAAAUACCCUGAAGUGCAUAAUAUGAAGUCGUAUGAAGGGCAAGAGAGACUUUAUAUAAAAGAAAGAAAGAGAUUUAAUCAUUUUGUGAAAUCUUCUGGUCGUCAAGCAAAGAAAUAACCCGCGGAUUAGUACCCUUUAUUCGCACUAUCUUGGUAGACGUCAACAAGACGCAACCUAACACCGGCCAUUUUAUUUUACAACAUUAUAUGUAAUGUCGAAGUAAUUGUUACUAGUUGGGGCGCAUUUUUAUUGGAUAAAAUUGUGGCAUUUUCUUAUACAAUAAAACCCAAGGCGCACCACAUUUUGAAAUCAAAGUAAUUGUUAUUAUUAUUUUUUUAAUUUUUUUUUUUUACAAAAUUUUAUCCAACAUAUUAUUCUUGGUUAUUCAGAAUUACUUUUAAUAAGAUGUAGAACAGCAGAAGUUAGACCAAAUUAUCUUUAAUAAAUGUAUGAAACUAUGAUCUAAUUGUAAACCAUUUACUAAUAAAACCAAAAUAGGCAGGCGUUUUCAAAUUGAUAUUGUUUUAUUAGCAGGUUGCCCACACUUGUCUUCUUUGAUUCCAUUUCUUUACAUCCGUUGGAUUAAAGUUUUGAUAUAUAUUUUCCUUUUUCUUUCUUUCUUUUUCUCUGCUGAUAAAGUUGUAGGUUGAAGAUGCCAGGAGCUUUGAGUUUGAAGAGGAUUUAUAUAGCUUUGAGGUUGUGUAUGCAAUUAAAAUAAAGAUAGAUAGACAACGUUGUCUAUCUAUCUAUCUUUUUAUUUCUUAAUUGUCUAUCUAUUCAUCUUUUCAUUAAGGAAAUGCUUACCGGUAAAUUUCUUAUGUAAAUUAAAUAGACGAUUGGUUACGGAGAAAAAGAGGAUGGAAUCAUAUUAAAACGAGUGGUUAUGGAGAAAAAAGAGAAUGGAUGGAAUCACAUUCAUAUGCAUGAGAAGCGCAUAUAGCUAUUCCAAUCAACAUCACAUUAAUUUCCUUUGACUCUACGAAAGCCUUCCCAAUUAAAUAGAAAUCACUCAAAACUCAAUUAAACAGAAAUUACUUUGAUUUUUCAAACAAUUAUUUAGUCUCCUGUCCAAUUGAAAAGUCAAGAACACUAUGUAAGCUUAAUUAUAUGGAAACAAUCAUUCCACCAUAAUCAUAAUCCUUAAGCGCUCGUAGGGAAAAAAAACAAAUAUAUAUAUAUAUAUAUAUAUAUAUAUAUAUAUAUAUAUAUAUAUAUAUAUAUAUAUAUAUAUAUAUAUAUAUAUAUAUAUAUAUAUAUAUAUAUCUUUGAAACUAUGAAUAUAUUGUUUCUUUUUAUCAUUACAAACAUGAUUUUAAAGACUUCAAAUUUUUUCAUAAUCUCGGCAAAUGUAAUUUGGUGCAGACUUUUAUUAUUUAUAAUGUAUGAUUAAGAUAUAAUUAAUUUGUAUACUGUUAUCCACUGAUUUGUUAAAGCAAAUUUAUAUAAGAGAGAUUUUAAUAUUUCUUUGGAGAUUUAUUAAUUGAUGAUUGAUAAAAAUAAAAAUCAUAAAAUAAAAAUCUAAAUCAUGCAUGAUUAAUAACAUAUAAUAUCAAAAAAUUGUUAAAUGGCAAGUAAAAUCUAUAAACAAAGGUUGUAGAUUUUGUUUUUGUUGUUUUAUUUAAAAUCUAAAUGUUUCUUAAGUUUGAAUACCAAUAUUUGAAAAAUAAGUUUGUUUUUCUUUUUCUAACAUUUGAAUAUAAGUGACAUCUUAUUUAUUUUUAUAAAUAAAAAAAAAUUCUCAACAUUAUUUGACAAUUAUAUCCUUAUAAAUAAAAAAAAUGAUUAGGUUUUAUAAUUUAGAAAAUGAGUAUAUUUAAUAUGUAUAUUUUUAAAAUAUAUUAUUUACUUCUCAUUCGGAUAAAAAUUAUAAAAUUUUUUUUAUAAAAAUUAUAAUUUUUUUUUUAUUCAAAUGUAAAUGUCUAAAAAGAAUGAGGGCAAAGCAAAUAACCCAUUCUCAUUACAAUCGGGACACCUCAGGGCAGCAACCUUCCCAUGCAGUUGCAUAUUGACGAUCAAUUUACAGCUGCCAUUGCAGCGAAAACAGGGGAAAAACCUGACAUCAGCACAGCCUUGACACACACAUUUGAGCUUCCUGAUGGAUAUGCCUUCAAUCAAUUCAUCAUACCAACCCUAUUCAACAUCAAAUUAUCAGGAAAUAAAAAUGAAACUAAUAUGAUUUUUUUUCUUUUUUGAUAAAAAGGUCUCCCUUUUAAACAUUCAACUAGUGAAUAAUAUAUAAAAGGUGGGCUGGAUUGUUAUUCACCCAAAAUACAAUUUCAGAUUGCUCCAAGGCUACAUUCCUGGCUUUUGGAGUACAUCGAAUUGAUUAUGUUGUUGCCUUUUAAUACAAGAUUUCAAAUCAGAUAUAACCCAAAAAAUUUCAGCUCUUGUGCUUUUCUUGUUCAGAACCAGGUCUACAACCUCCCGUGAAUCAGUUUCUAUGAUUAGUGGCCAACAUCUCACCUUUUCUGCAAUUUUAACACCAAGUCUUGCAGCUUCUGCUUCUGCAUAACCUACCUCCAACUGAAAAGAAGAAGGUUUCGUAGCUGCUGCUAUCACUUUGCCUCUAGAAUCUCUAAUCACAGCACCCUAAUUACCAACUCUUUUCUGCUCAACCGCAACUAAUGCAUCCACAUUUACCUUAAAACAACCUGCUGGUGGGGGUCUCCACUUGUUAUCUACAUUAGACUUUUCCCUCAACGAUGUCUGCAAUUGUGACAGCUGGAUCUUUUUGUAUGAAUGCACAACUGCAUCUGCUUUAGCUGCUGAUAAUUGGGAAUCUAUGUAUGUAUGUAUGUAUGAUAUUGCUGGUGCCACUGUAAGGUCCUAGUACCUAUUAGAGUAACAAAGUGUAGAAUUAUAAAACAUAUGUCAUCUUUUCAUCUUUCCAUUUUGUAAUUAAAUAAGUCAUCUCUCCAUUUUGUACCUAUUAGUCUGUUGUUACCCGACCAAGUUUUAGUUGCUAUCUUCGGCUUUUUCUUAAAGUACUUUUAGCGGUAGCGGACGCAGCUAGAUUCUCUUUUUUUUUGGGCAUUACUGUCCACUUGAUCAACGGUAUAUUUGACAAAAUUCCGUGUCUAAAUUUUUAUGCUAAAGAAAAAUUAACCGUUUAACUACCCUGAGCAUUAAAUGUGUAACGACUUUUAUAGAUAUAUAUUAUUGCUUGCAACUUUUGCAUGGCUGCUGGUUAAAAAUUAUUAUAUAGCAGAUUUCUAAUUAAAUUAGAAAAAUACUAAAGCAAGCACAGCAGCUUGAAUCGAUCACUGCUAGGCUUCGAGUCUUUGAAACUGACCCCCGAAACUGCUAGCUGCUUGAACAUUCAUAGUGACGACAACAAUAUACAUACAUACAUACAUACAUACAUGUAAAUUAAUUGGUUUAUUAAAAAUAAUUAGCGAAUGAAACCAUGAUAGUGAAACGUCGAUAAAAGUUGAAGCAGAGCUUAAACAGAGAAGCUAACAUGGCAUAACAGAGUGUUAAGAUUUUGAACCACGAGUAGGCCACCAAGAAAAGUGAUGGAGCCAAAAUGAGAAUCAAAUGUUGAUAUUAUACAAAAGAAUCUGAUUAGUACCAUAACUUCCCAGGAUUACUAAUCGAAAACUAAUACACAAAUAUUUUGUCUGAAAAAGCCAAUUAAAGAGCAAUAUAAAAAAAGCCAAUAAUUAAUGCAAAUUAAAUUCUAGAAAAAUUGUUCAGCCAAAGACUGCAAAAUCUUCAUGCAUGUGACUAAUUGACUAUGCCAUUGUGCUGCAUUUGAGGAAGGAACCAAAGAAACACAUAACCGUUAAAUUCUACAUGAAAUUAUGUUGAAAUCUUACACGCAUAAAAAUUCAUUGGUCAUCUUCAACUACUAGAUCUUCAUUAUUAACUGGCACAUCUGUUUUCUCGAUAAUUUUGUCUUGCACAUCACGAAUGGUAUAUAUCCACCGGUGUCACCUCAGGAAAUUUCUCAGUUACUGGAGAUCAAUUUAUACAUCCACAAGCACUGAUUUACACAACAAUUAUCUCCCAAAACCUAAUGUAAAUUUCAAAAAGACUAAUUUGAUUGCCUAAACCAUAACAAAUUUCUCAACAAUCUGCUCCAAAUAGGAUCCAAAUGUUUCGAUAUGCGUGCACCGAAAAACGGUCUUAGAAAGAGUGAUUUUGAUUUUUCAUUCAACAAGAGUGAGAGUGAUACAAACAGAUUGUUUUUACUGAAACAUAGAACGAAAUGAGAAGGAAAUAGAAUAUAGAAGAGUGAAAAUAGAUCAAUUUGAGGGAGUUUAUGCCGUCAAAAUAAAUAUGCAGUGUUCUAGAAACCAAUAAACUUCCAAAUUCAACUUAAUUUGCACUAAAAUUAUAAUCAUUCCAUGCUGUAUCUUAAUCCAACUAUAUUUAAAAGUAAGGGACUUCAUAACUGAUAACUCCCUCAUCUCAAAUUUCCUAUAGACAAGUGGAACUUUUACUGUCUUUUGGCAUCUCAAAUUAAGAUUAGCUCUAUAUAAACAUGAGAAGUGUUUACAUUGGCUGAGGAAGCUCCUUCUUGUUUCCACAAAGGUAAAUAUAUUUGGAAUUCUUGACCUUCUGGAGGACUCUAUACCUUCAGGCUUAUGAGGGGAAGAUGCCAGCAGUCUUCAGCUAACCCAAUUGAACACACCCUCCUCUCCUCUAUUGACAAAAAAGAUUGCACUGCGGGGAUCUCGUAAUCAGGCUUUGGUGUGGGGCUGAAUCCAAUUAAGGCUUUAGAUUUAUAGAAACCCAUGGUCUAAUUCAACCCAAGAACUAGUUUACAAAUAGAAAAUUUCUCAAAUUCAUACAGUUAGCCUAGUUAUUAUUCUCUUCCAACGUGAGAUAAUAUCCUCAACAAGAUUCCCAUCUUACGGCGCUGUUCAGAUAUGGUACAUAUAAUGGUAGGCAAUCUGUGUGUGGGGCUGAAUCCAAUUUAGUGUAAAUCAUUUUUUGGCCACUCACCACAACACCAUCAAGGCAAAUUUUGAGGUAACUUGGGUCCUGCAUGUCUAUGGUGCAAGUCAUUUCUCUUAACAAAUUGUCUACCUAUACUAUUUACUUUGAAGUAAAUUGAAGUUUGAUUCAACAUAGAGAGAUUUGAGUACCAUCGUAUAUCUACUGCAAACACGCAUCAAAAUUGAUUAACAGAUUAUUUAUUACAAGUAGACAACGGAUGAAAUUAUUUUAUUUUCAAAUUACGAGAGGAAAAAAGACUAUUUAUGAAUGCAAUGUAUAUUCAUUCUUCUCUUAAUCCACAGGUAAUUAAAGUUUCAAAUAGAUGUGCACAUGUACUGGCCUAAAGUCUACCAAGCUUCUAAGUUAGUCUACUCAAAACAAACUUUUCAACAUUCACAUUUUGAUAAAUUGGUUACUGAGUUUCCAAUUAGUAAUUGACCUGUGGUCAUUAAUACACGCACCCGCUUAUAUGCUUGUGGUACAGUCACACCGAAUCUGUUAUAGACUAAUUAAAUACAAUAUGUUUCUUUUACUAGCUAAAUGAUUGGAUCUUCAUUAAUGACCGAAGAAGAAAUUAUAACAACCCAUGCAAGUAUUAGCACUUCUCCUAAAGCUAAUAUUAAUGAAACAAAACAACUUCAGGUAUUUCCCAAUAAGCCACUAGAUCAGGAUCACGUCCACAAUUCAAUAUUCCACAUGAUUUUUCCAUUUCAUGAAUUAGUAGGUCUGCAAUUACUAGAUUAAAAGGUAAUAAAAUUAAUUACUUAACAUGCAUUCUAAAUCAUCCUUAAAUUUGAUAUGUUGGGUUCCAGCUGUAGGCAAAACUUUGGAUAAGUACAGAAAAAUAAAAUAAAAAAGAGUAAAAACGAAAAAGGAAGAAAAUAUCGAUCAAACCUCUUGUUGAGGAGAAAUCAAACGGAGGGGCGGCGCUGGUUUUUUUAUCUAACCCUUGAAGCCCCGACGCGCUAUUUUUUUUUUUUGGGUUACGUAUGAAUUAUUUUCCACAAAGAACUUAAACUCGGGAAGAGAAAGACCAGGAGACAUACAUAGCCAAAGGCAUCGACUCAAAGUCCUGGUGCCGCAACGUGAUCCAAUCCUUGUCCCUGAUGAUAUAACGUAGUCACACUUGUCAUCUCAAGAAUCAUUGGACAAGGCAUACUAACCGUCAUAUACAUGUGGGGUCCAUUUUGAAAACAUUAGGUGGAGUAUGUUAUUUUUUUUUUAUUUUAAAUUUAUAAAUGUAAAAUCUUAAUUUAUAAAGCUGAAUGGGUAUUACAAAUGGGGAUCUGGAUACCUUGCCACAGUUGUAAGGGUGUGUUUGAAAUUAAGGUUGGGCAGCUGUAUUUUAAAAAUUAUAAUACUAAAGUGUUUGGUAAACACUAACUCAUGUAGUUUGGAAAAUACAUUAAAAUAUAAUAAUUUUGUCAAAAUUAUUAUUUUAAAUUUAUAUUUAUUACAUAUUAUUAACUUUUAUUUCAUAAUUACAGUUUUUUUCCUACAGCAGUUGUAAUUUAAAAGGUACAUCGCCUCAAUUCUAAACACAUCCUAAGGUGCCACUAAUUUUUUCUUUUGUGACAUUAAAUUUCAUUUGACCACUUAUAUUAUUUUUUAUUUAUAAGUUUUUGUUCUUUGGCUGGUGACCUUUUAAAUUGUAGUUUUAUUUAUUUAAGAUUAUUUAAUUUUUUAAAAGAAUAAUAUAAUAAUAAGCAAAUGACUAAAUAAUAUUUAUUUUUUUAAGACUCACUACUAAUUAAACAAUAUAAAUUUGAAACAAUCUGAGCUUAUGUGUUUACGAUUUUAACUCUUCAUUUUUUUUGAGUUUUUGAUAAAUAUUAGAGAGUAUAAUGUUAAUAAUCAAUUAGACAAAUCUUUACGGUUGAGACUAUUUUUUUCAUUAAAUCUGACGAUGAAUACCUGAAAUAAUUUAUAAAAAAAAAUUGGUGGUACCUUAUAACUAUUGUAAGGUAGCUAGAUCUAGGUAUAUGAAUAGAAAACAAUCAAUCUAGCUACUAAGAAAAAAGGGUGGGCAAACUCAAUCUAACCUAAUGGACCCAACCCAACCCAAUCGAACCCAACUUAAUUUUUACAGGUUGAGUGAGUUAUUAUGAGUUAAUUGGGUCAAUUUUUUUUAACCCAAUUAACAAUUGGGUCGGGUUCGGUUAAUUAGUGGGUUGUGUUAGUUAUGAUGAUCACAUUUAACCCAACCCAACCCAACCCAUAUAAAUAAUAAUAAUAAUAAUAAUUCUCAAUUUACAAAAUCCUAAAAAUCUAAAUGACUAAUCUAUUUUUAUCCUCUUUUUAUUCUUUUAUAAAAAAGACUAUUUUUUUCUUGAAUUUACUAUCGACUCUACUAUCAAAACUAAAAUCACUCUCUUAAAUCUUAAUUCUCAGUCAACUAAGGUAUUUCUCUGAUUUAUUCAUUCUAUAUUCUUUACUUUUUUCAAACAGUAGACCAUGAAUAGAAUUUUCAUGCGAUAAUAUAUUUAUAUUUGAUUUCAAUAAGUUUUAUUAAAAGUUUCAUAUCCUUUUCUUUAUUUAAUUUUUAAUUUUGAUUCAAUUUUCAAAUCUUCAACCCAACCCAACCCAGCUCGAUGAUUUAAGGGUUGGGUUGGUUGAGUUGAAUAUGUUUUAUUUAAUGAGUAGAGCUAUUGGCACCCCCUACAUUAUUCUUACAAAACUCCACUUCAAAUAAAAUUACAAUUAAGGACAAUUGAAAUUUAAACACAUAUAUAUUUUUUUUCUAGCAAAUUACUUAAUUCAUAAUCAAUCUUUUCAAAAAAAAAUUCUUUAUGUUACUUCCUAUUUAACUAAAAUAAAUUGUACAAAUUUAGAAUAAUAUAUUGUUUUCUUUUGAUUUCUUAUUGAUUAAAUAUUUUUAUACUUAAAAUUGCUUUGCAAUUAUAAUUUCAAAUAUGUGUUAUUUCAGUUAAUGAUUAAUACUAAAAAACUUAUCACCUAUAUAACUUUUUAAUUUGUGUGUAGAUUAAUAGUAAAAUUAAAAAUAAUUAAAAAUAGCACAGUAAUACUUUAAGUUUUAAUAAUCGAACAAAUGAAAUGAAAAUUGAGAACUUAAAAAAGUGUAUCUAAAAAAAAAGACAUUUUCGAAAAUAAAAUGAAUAUAACUAAAAAAGGAGUUUAUGAGGAGAUAAGAGGGGUGCCAAUAGUCCAACUCUUAGUUAAUUGGGUUGGAUUAUUUUUAUUUCAACUCAAUCAAUAAUGGGUUGGGUUGGGUUUUCAUAAACCAUAUCCAACUCAACCCAUGCCCACCCCUAGUACUAAGAAGUAAAGUGGGUCUACAUUUGGCUAUUAAUAAUUUGUUCAUUACUCUUGCCAUAAGCCAAUUCUCAAUAUUUAUAUAAAAUUUUAAUGGCUAUUAGUGAGUGUACGAUCCUGGAGUCCGAAUAUAUAAAAAUGAAAAGGCCAUGGCUAAUUUAAAUCAACUCCAACAUAGAGCACAAAUCACAACCACACACGCAAAGUGAUAAAUAUUUAAAAAAAUACAUUAUAACUUUAAUCAUGUGACUAUGAAAACAUGUUAUACCUUAAAACGGUUUCAACAUAACGAAACCCUAUAAAUUUAAUGCAAAUUUUUAUUUAAUAUACUGUUCUCAAAAUCAUAACUAAUUAAACCAUCGGUUCUUUUUUGGAAAAUCAUAAAUUACUACAAUGAAAAAGACAAAAAUAAACGAAUCUGGAAAUAAGUACAAGAAGCGCUAUAUAUCUAUCAUUGGUUUGCUCCCAGAAUCUGGGGAGUGCUUUUCAAGUCUUUUCUUCAAUAAAGCCGACAAUAGUUAGCAGCUAAACUAAAAGGACAUAGAUACCUGCCAUUUCAUGAUAUCCACGGACAUUAACCAUGCAGAACCAAACACUUUCCAAACGAAAAAGGCUUGGAUUCCACUUUAUCAAUAGCAAUUACAAUUAUUACAUGAAAAAUGCUUGGUGCAGAGAGAUGUGAAAAAAAAAUGAGAGAAAUAAAGAAGAAAAGGGAAGAGAGAGAGUGGGAGAUAGAGAGAAAGACAAACUUCUCUCAUUUUUCUCUCAUCUUUCCUUACACUAAUCACAACUCUUAAGAUAAAAUAAGUUUCUUUAAAACAUCACAAUUAGAAGCAUCUAUCCUUUGUUAUUUUAGAAGGGACAUAUACGUUGUCAUAUGCAUAAAUAAAACAACUCAUUUUUACGUUUUUUUUUUAAACAGAGGCACUUAAGCAUAUAUAUAUGCCCUAAGCAGUUGCAUGGAAUAUCAAGUCCCAAGUAAAAUCACACCAGAUCCUCCGUCGGACUUGGCUGCAGGUCUUGGAUGAGCCGAUCACCUUCAACUCCAACGUCAACUUCAACUUCAACUUGAUCAUCAGGAGGAGUUGCCACGGCAGUGCGUCGCUUGCAGCAGCGCUUAAACAGAGAAAUUAACAUUACGUGAAAAAGUGAUAGGAUUAUGAGACACAAAUAAACCACCAAGAAAAGGAAAGGAGCCAAAAUGAGAGAGGCGAUUGUGGAUAUUGCCAGCAGACAAGGGAGAUGGUCUCCACAACUCACGGACAGAGGGCUGCUUACACUGAGAGGAACUCUGAUGGCUGUGAGGAGAAAGAGCAGUAAUAUCAGGACGGCAAGACCUAGGAAGGGGAAUUGGAGCUUUAAAAUUGGGUACAAAAGUAUGUGGUUGGCUCCAUCCUGGAGGGACCAAGACUGACCAUCUUGAGAUUUCAGGAAGAAAAAGAAAACUACAAGAUUCAUUAAUGGUGGAAACAAAAAUCUCACAUCGACAGGACAAUUCAUUUCUGGAAGUUUAAUGUCGAAAGAAAAUUUCAUACUUUUGCAAUGGAAGAAGAUUUGAGUGCUCAGCUAACCGUUAGAAAGGGCUGCUAGUUGAGCUCUUGGGGGAUUUAUGGGAUGGCAACAUUCCUCACGGCCUCAUUUUCAUAAAACAAAGGGGAUAGUAAAAACAAGGAAAAGACAAAAGAGAUGAUCAAAUCUCUGAGACACACUCACACACACAAUUGCCUUUCAACCAAGUCAACUAAUUUCAAAUUGUCCCACAAGACCAAAACCCUUCUGAAACUGAAAUUCCAGAUCUACCCCUUUGAUUAAACUUUAGAAUUUACUUUUAAAAGACGCUUAGCAAAACGCAUGAUCAACUUUUUUAAAAAAAAGAAAAAGUUCAAUUGGUCAUGAACUUAUACAUAAGAGUGUUGAUACAAGUCUUUUUUUAAAAAAAAAGCACCAAAAAAAUUAAAAAAAGAAAAGUGGGAGUGCUGAUACAACACAAGGGAAUACAAAACCAUUAGAUGAUGGGGAAAAAAAAAUGUUUGUCCUCACGAGAUAGAGGGUAAUUCUGGCAUUUUGAAAAUUAACGAAGUUGCGCAGAAGUUUCUUGUAUCUCGGGGAUCGUUGCUCUCUUGCUUAAGCUUUGAAAAACAAAGAAGCAUUGUAAUUAGUAGUUUGUUAAUUUUUUUAUAUUGAGGCAAAGUUUUCCUUUUUGUUUGAAAAAAUUUCCAAUAGCCCCCACCAUCGUCCUUGUAAUUUUCUUGCAUGUUAUAAGCGCCAAAUUAAUGUUAUUAUUUUUGUGGAAAUAAAAUUAAUAUUCCAUUCAUUCGAUGGAAGCUUUGGCACUGGCGAGCAGUAAUAAAACAUAAUCUCGGAUUCUUAAUAAUUUUUUUUCUUUCAAUUUUUAAUUUCUUCUUCACUCUAAAAGAUUAAAUUUUCAAAAAAAAAUAUUAAAUUUUAAAAAUUUCAAAGAAACAUUACUUUAAGUGAGCUUUAAAAUUUUAAACUAUAUGAGAAAGGAAUUAGUUGUUGGUUAAGGCCUUUGCAAUGAGAUAUCUCAUUAGUUUAGAUCCAGCAUUGACGAGAGUUGUGUUGAUCAUUUUAAAGAUCUUUUAUUAUGUAUUUAUUUAUUAUAUUAGAUGGGUAUGAGUUAAUUACAAUAUAUGUCAUGAAAAUCAUUUUUACCCAUAAAGGGUCUUCCGCCAUAGUUCUUUCUUUCUUUGGCGUUAUAAACAUUCAGAAAUCCAUUUGUGAUAUUCAUGGAUAAAGAAAAUGCAUAUUAUUUGAUCCAAUUAAUUAAAAGAGCAUACUUUUCAUAUUCGUGCACUAAGGGGGAACGUUUGAUCUAAUUUGUUGAUCUAUAAAAAUUCACGGUCUAACUAAACCCAAAAACUAGCCUAAAAAUUAAAAAUUCUUCAAAUUACUAUUCUCUCUCAAUGUGAGAUAAUAUCCUCAACAAGAUUCCCUCUUAGGGUGUCGUUCGGAGAUGAUACACGUAGUGGUAGGCAAUUGUGGGGCUGAAUCCAAUUUUGUUACCGCCACUUUCAGGCUGGUUCAGAUUGGAUAUAUUGAUGCAGCAAUGAAUCCGACGGUUGGGAUAGCAGAGCUGAGGAGACAGCCAGAUGCUGGACCUAUUACCUUGCUGGGCUUCUCUCCCAUUUUAAACUAGUAGCUUCAUAGACAUAUUUGUAAUGGAAAUGUUGGUCUUCUUAAUUAAGCCAGACCUUGCUCCUAGUUUUUCUAGUCCAAGUUAUAGCAAGAAAUGACAGGAGUCGCUCUAACCCAUCCCAAUCCUACACAAGAGAAAAUAAAAGAUAAAUUAAUAAUAAAGGAGCGAUGAUAUGCUUACUUAGUUGAGAUAUUUAUUUUGUAUUCUAACUAAUGUGUCACCAAUAGAAAUGUAUUGUUUAGAUUAAAAAUAAUAAAAUUUAAUAAUUAUCUGUCACUUGAAUCAAUCAGACAGUGACAUAUCAUUUCCCAUAUCAGUUGAAAUAUAAAUUAAGUAUUUCAAUUAAAUAAGUGUAGUAUUGUUGAUAACAAAGUUGUCUCAAAUAUUGAAGGGUUCAUCGGUGGGGUGCAAAUCAUUUUUCAUAAUCAAUUGUCUACUUUACUAAUUACUUCAAAACAAGUUGAAAUUUUAUUCAUCAUAGAGAGAUUUGAGUACGAUCGUACAUGUACUAUAAACACACAUCAAAAUUGAUUAAUUGAUUAUGUAUUACAAGCAGAUUAUUGUAUUUUUAAAUUAUGAGAGGAAAAAAGAAAACCUAUGCACAAAAGAUAUAUAAAUGAAUGAUACAUCUUCCAAUAAAGAGAUGCAUGUAACGAAUUAGAACUACUUAUGAGACACAAAAUCUUUUUAAUUAUCCUUCACGGUUAGAUUUAUUCCACAUCUUCCUUUUUUUUCAUUGUACUUCUAUUUUUAUUUAUUUAAUGUAGAUUUUAAUUCUCCAAUGGUGGGGACAGAUACUCCAUAAGUGACUUGUUGAUACUUUUUUUCGUACAUGAGUCAAUCAAGCGCAAAAGAUAGAGAUGUACCUGCAUACACAAUAAUAAACAAAUAAAACAGUGAGAUAGGACUAGAAAAAUUGGCUUUCGAGGAUCCCACUUUGAUACUUAAGUCAAUGAGGUGUCUUUUUAAUUAAAAUCCGAGAGGUUUUUUUUAAUUUUCUCAAGUUCUCAUACCGUUUUUUAAUUCACUUCCUCCUUUGAGAUCCUAACCCCCUCAAGAUGGUAAAAGUAACUAAAUCCAUAUCAACACACGAGUCAACAAGCUUUUGGUAAAAAUAUAGACAAGACGCCCAAAAGCUGAGGUGUCAAAAAGAGAUAGGAAAAAGGUCUCGUCUUUCAAUUUUUCUCCUUGUAACUUCCUGUCUCUUUUUUUUUUAUUUGCCUCGAAAGGAAAAAACUGGUCAUGGUUAAAUGGUGAAUACACGAACGUUUUUUGAGGGACUCAGCUUGAUCUGAAUUCAUUCUUCUGUAAUUUUUACUUUUUAUUUGCAUAAUAGGAUCGCCUGAGUUCACGCUGGUUAAAUGUAGCAGCGUGGCAACAAAAUUUGGCACGGAUGCAUCCUGCUUUUAUGAAUAAAUGAUACUAUACUAAAAUUAAUGAACAAAAUAUUAAAAAUUUUUAUUUAAUAAUUUUUAAACAACAUUAAAAGAAAAGCAAAAAAAAAAAAAUUACUCUUUUUGUGGUAGUCGACUGUUGACGUGAAGGACCGAAAAUCUUGAUGUUUGCCGCCAGAAGAUGAUGCGAAAGUCCGUUAAUCUGACGUGACGUCAUCGUUUUUGUGAUGCCACGUAAUCACCCAUGUUGUUUUGUGCGGACCUCAGAGCUGAGCUUGUCUUUCAUCUCCUCAAUAAGGCAAACGUGAUCAACUGUCACGUGCAUGCGGGGUCCAUUAGAAGAAGAAGAAGAGCGUGGUUCUUCUUCCAGUUCUGAUUUUUGAUUAUGUACGACAAAUAUAAUUAUAUGGAACGAUGAAUUUUUUUCAGUUAUGAUAUUCUCACUUUAAUAAAAUAAAAAUAUUAUAAAAAAUAAAAACUUUAAUAUAUUAAAAAUUAUAUUUUUUAAUUUAUUAAAAUUUGUUUGAUUUUUUAAGUGACAAUAUUUUUAUUAAAAAAUAAUGAAUAAAACUAAUAUUUUGAUAUGACAAAUAUAAUAAUAAAUGCGAACCAUAUUAUAGGGAAAAAUUAUGUUAUAACAGUGGUACAAUAUUACUGUUACAACUAGCCAUUAAAUUUAUAAUUAUGUAGUUAUAUUAGUAAAAUUUAAUAAGCUAAAAACAACAGUGAUACUGUAUCACUGUUGCAAGGCACCAUAUUAUAUGUACAGGCUCUCCAAUGACAGCGUCGAUAAUGGCAUGACUGAGAACACCGGCCCACGUAAACUGACAAUCAAUAGUUAGUUCUUCAAUUGUCAAAAGUAAUUCACAUAUAGGGACCUGUCUAUGGUACAGAUUCUGUAACAAACAUCUCCCGUCAUCCCACCAUCCGAUUUUCUAUUGUUUAGUUUCUCACUCCACAUCCAACGGCUGAUGCUGCAGUCUGUAGCUUACAGAAGCUGUAAGCUAGUCGAGUCCCACAAAUAGGUUAUUGUAACGCGUGUCGUUCUAAUAUCCCUCGUCCCACUAGAGCUCUAUCGUUCAUCAAUUUCGAAAAAGUAUGUUGAUGCUCAAUUAGCGGAGACUUCAAAUGAUCGAAUUUUGAAAAUUUAAUAUUCACAAUCCACAGUAGGGACAUCAUCUUGCGAACAGGAGUCAAAAAUGGACGGCAAAAAUGAACAUUGAUUACAUGUCCCCCGGACUGACUUACAAGAUUUCGAGUACAUUAUGAAGAUUAAAAGAUUUGAUAUUGGGGAAAUAAAAAUCUCAAAUCAAAAAGGUUCAUAAUGAAUGUUGUUAAGUCAUCCUGGUUAAGGUCUUCUCGGGAUUGGGAAGCCCCAUACGACUUUUAUAUAAAGCCCAUUGGAGCCGCCUGCUAAACAAAGUAAUGCCCGUAUUCAAGCAAAAACACACACACACAAAAAAAAAAAAAAAAGGGGGGGUUAAGAGUACGAAAGCACCAUUAUGAUUUAUGCCUUUCCCCGCCCCUCACACCAUUCAUGUAGCAUUUGGAUCAUUUCACAUUUGAGCAUUGUUUAUGAUUAAUGGCUAAGAUUUGUCCCUCCUAUGUCUUUAAUUUGUUGACCAUUUUACCAAUAAGGUGCCCCACGUGAUGAGAGGAGAUAAAAGAGAUGAAUUGUAAAUUAAUUAAAGCUUGCGAAAUAAUUAAAACAAGUCUAAAGCAUAAAAUCAUGCACAAUCAAUUCUAACAUCGAGAAUAGAAAAUGCAACUUUGAUUCAACCCUUGUUUUUAAUUAUAUAAAUUAUGUACUGUCAAAAGGGCAAAACUAACGUGGGUUCUUUCUUUUUUUCUUUUUCAAGAUCAAUUACAAUGGAAUCUUAUUAUUUGUUAUAAAAACAAAAAAAUUAAAAAUUUUUAAAUUUUUACACAUUAGUCCUAUACCCAAAAAUUUUCAAAUGCAUUAAUGCUUUUGGAAGCCACGAUUUGUUUAGAAUUCAAACUCCUAUAAAUUCAAGCACUUACUCUCUUUAUACACGCAAACAUCAGUAAAUUAAAAGAAAAGGUUUUUGAGUUGUGUGAUUGAAUUUGAGGCGCAAUAACUUUAAUAGGAAAUAAAGGCAAUUGUUUGCUUUCUUUUCUGUUUUGUAAAACUCCUAAUUUAAUAACCCGGUUAUGACACAAUUAAUUAUUCUAAUUGACUUAUAUUUUAAUUCAUAGAUAUGUGCUGAAUUGGCAUCUCUAUUGUUUUGCAUGUACGAUAUUAGCCAGAGAGAAUAAAGAAUAGAAAAUAUUUAUUUUUUAGUUUAUUUUUUCUAAGAAAAUAUUUAAAUUAUUUUCAAAUAGAGUAAUUGUUUGGAAUUUUUUAGUUUUGUAAAACUCCUAAUUUAAUAACCCGGUUAUGACACAAUUAAUUAUACUAAUUGACUUAUAUUUUAAUUCAUAGAUAUGUGUUGAAUUGGCAUCUCUAUUGUUGUGCAUGUACGAUAUUAGCCAGAGAGAAUAAAAAAUAGAAAAUAUUUAUUUUUUAGUUUAUUUUUACUAAGAAAAUAUUUAAAUUAUUUUCAAAUAGAGUAACUGUUUAGAAUUUUUUUUUACCCUUCUCUUCAUUAAGUUAAUGAAAGAUCUCAAUCGUAUGGAUGUAUGCUAAUGACUAUUUAAACUACUGGGGUGAAGUAGCAAAUAUCAAUUUAUUUAAGUGUGCAAUUAAAUUGAUUAUUUUUAUUUAAAGACAAAAACUCAACCAAAAAUAAAAACCCUAUUUUUUUUCUUAAUUCAUGAAUGCUAUAAUCAAGAAGAGAUUGAAAGUGGUUUGGAAUGGGAGAAGGGGUAGAGAGAGCACUUAACAAUUUUUUUUUUUAAAGUAUCGAUGCAGGGGUUUAUUAAGAAAGUACAACAAAUUAGGAUUAUUUUAGGAAUUAAGAAGAGUAUGUAGAGAAAAGGGGUUUAAAAAGAAUGUUAGAGGUGUGCCAAUAGUCCAUGUUAAAUAAAUUUUAUGUUACGAAAAAAAAUUAACUACAUAGAAUAUCAAAUUAAAUUUAUUUUCUUAUUUUGUACAUUACAUUUACUUGAGAUAGUAAAAUCUCGUGUUGGAAUAAAAAAGGUUAUGAGAUUUGAACCUUAGUCACAUGGGUGAGAAGAAAAUUAGUUGUCGUUAUGUUAAAUUAAAAAAAAUUAUAUUAUAUUUAUCAUUAAUUAUGGUUCGUAAAUAAUAUACAUAGUUUAACUAUAUAAUAAAUUAGUUAAUUUUUUAAUUAAUAAGUAAAUUUAUUAAUUUAAAUAGAUAUUAAUAAAUGUAAGAAUAAGUCAUUUAAUUAGAAAUCUAGUUCAAUAAUGUAAAAAAAAUUAGAAUAUUAGGGAUUUAUAUAUCGUAAUUUUAAAACUCCUGAUAUUUCUUAUUUUUUUAUGAAAAAAAGAGCUUUUAAUGUUAAUAACUUAAAAUCACAUCUAAGCCUUUAUAAAACUCCUCGUUACAUCUAAAGGUGAAUUUGAAGAAGACAAUAAAUGGGGCACAAACCCAUGGGUGACGUAGCCGGACCCCUGUAAAAAAAAAAAAAACAGCCUGCUUUCAUCGCAAUUACGUCAAGGGAGCAGAUUAUCUUAUCCGCAAGAAAUUUUAGUCAAGAAUAAGUAAUAUUCUACAUUUCUACUAGGUAUAAGAGUGGGAUCUCUUUCAGAGGAACAGAACAGCACUUACUCAUUACAAAAUUCAAACCAAAUCAAUAUAUCUGUCACCAUUUCACGUAAUGUGUGCAAAUCAGUGCUUUCACUUUUGUAGACAUCAAUUCGGAUUAUCGGGGUCGACACUAUAUAUCACUUUUUCUAGGUUUAGAAUUAUUCGCUCAAUUUUGAAGGACCUUUAGAACAAAAAUGAUGUUAAAAUCAAAAAGAGAAAUGUAGAAUAGAAGUAUCCUUUUAUAUGACAUCGCGGACCCGCACGUGAGUUACUCUUUGAACUCUUUUGGAUGCGUGUCAGCUUUUGAUUAAUUUCUACAACGCAUCAGCUUUAAAUAAUAUUGGAAAUUGCCUUAUCAUCUUUGUAUUUUGUCGUGAGUUUGUGGCAAAAAUGUCAUAAACUAAGCUACGAGCAUGCGUAAGGCCUUAGGGGUACCCUUUUAUCCUAUCAAUGUGACCGCAAUAAUCUCUCGGAACCUUUAAAUCAGUGUGGGGACAAAUGAGAUACGAAGGAAUUAAGCAUCUUUGAAAGAAAAUAUAUAUAUAUAUAUAUUUGAUGUAUUAAUUCUUUUGGAUUUUUAGCAACUUGCAUUGCCCAAAUCAUUAUCUCAAUUUUCUCAUCAAUUUACCCCCCUCGUUAACAAUAUAAGCUUUCGCACACGGUCCAAGUUAUUGAUGAUUGACCAGCAUACAUAUCUGUUUUCUUGAAAACUUUUUCUGAAUGAUGGAUUUGAUCCUACAACGCAUCAGUUCAUUACCCUUCCCCAUAAGCUACAUGGUUUUAUCAUUUGAUGAUGACAUUUUAAUAUGUAAUUUCGUCCAAGACAUUCCUUUGCGACUGAUACUACACAAUCCCUAAUUGUAUUCCCAUCAUACAAGGGUCACCCACCCUUAAAAGAGAAAGAAAAAGGGAAAAAAAUAUUAUGAAACUUAUUAAGAAGUUUACUAGUAGAAAAUCUCGGGGAAAAUACUUCGAAAAGCAUGAAUUCUUUUGCAAGCGCAGCUCAUAUAACAACUUUAAAACAUUUUAAGGAGAACAAUUUCCUUGCAAAAAAUAUGAAUGACCGUACAGAAACAUGGAAAGUUCCACCAAACAGUGCAAUUUACUGAUGUUAGAAGAUGCAAUCAAUCAAUUUCCCUGACUUCCAAGUUAUUAAUGGAGGAGACAAAUUAAAAUUUCACAUGCAUAAUAAACCAAUUAUUCCACAGGAACAAUUAAAAUUUCAAAUAGAUGUAUUUAUGAAAAUGCAUAGAGCCUACCAAACUUCUUAAUUAAUCUGCUCAAAUUGGAACAUUUGACAGCCACUUUUUGAUAAAUUGGGUUAAUUCAAAUUCAAUUACAAUCCCUUUACUAUUAAAAAGAUUCUCCUACUUUCAACGCAUUUUUUUUCUCUUAGAAUUGAUACACACACACAUAUAUAUAUAAACACAUAUUAUCCUCACGGGAUGGAGGGAAAUCCUACGCUUAAUCCUAACUUCCAAACAUAAUCUUAAUGACUAAGAUUUGUCUUUGUUGACCUCUGAUUCAGUGUUAACCAAUAAGGCUUCCCACAUGAUGAAAGGGGAUAAAAGAGAUUAAUUGUAAAUAAAUAAAAGCUUGCAUAUUAAAAAGCUGUCCAAAACAUCCGAUAAAAGAGAUAAGGUUCAGAAUGUCUCAAUUAAAUAGAAAUGACUCAAAACUCAAUUAAAUAGAAAUGACUUUGAUUUGUCUAACAAUUAUUUAGCCUUCUGUCCAGUUGAAAAGUCAAGAACACUAUGUAAGCUUAAUUAUAUGGAGACAAUCAUCCCACCAUACUCAUAAUCCUUAAGCGCGUGUAGAGAAAAAAUAUAUAAAAAUCUUUGAAAUUAUGAAUGCAUUGUUUCUUUUUAUUAUUACAAACAUGAUUUUAAAGACUUAAAUUUUUUUUCAUAAUCUUGGCAAUCUUAAUUUGGUGCAGACUUUUAUUAUUUAUAAUGUAUGAUUAAGGUAUAAUUAUUUGUAUAUUGUUAUCUACUGAUUUGUUAAAAUUAACAAAUUUAUAUGAGAGAGAUUUUAAUAUUUCUUUGGAGAUUUAUCAAUUGAUGAUUGAUAAAAAUAAAAAUCAUAAAAUAAUAAUCUAAAUCAUGCAUGACUAAUAAUAUAUAAUAUCACAAAAUUGUUAAACGGCAAGUAAAAUCUAUAAACAAAGAUUGUAGAUUUUGAGGUAGCUNNNNNNNNNNNNNNNNNNNNNNNNNNNNNNNNNNNNNNNNNNNNNNNNNNNNNNNNNNNNNNNNNNNNNNNNNNNNNNNNNNNNNNNNNNNNNNNNNNNNNNNNNNNNNNNNNNNNNNNNNNNNNNNNNNNNNNNNNNACAUAGUUAUUUGAUAUUUAUAUCCCUAUAAAUAAAAAAAUGAUUAUGUUUUAUAAUUUAGAAAAUAAGUAUAUUUACUAUGGAUAUUUUUAAAAUAUCUUAUUUACUUCUCAUUCGGAUAAAAAUUAUAAAAUUUACUUUUCUAUUUAAAUAUAAAUGUCUAAAAUAAAGAGGGCAAAGCACUAAUCCAUGGAAAUACAAAACCAGUAGAUGGUGGGGAAAUAUAUAUAUAUAUAUAUAUAUAUAUAUAUAUAUAUAUAUAAUCCUCACGAGAUGGAGGGUAAUUCUGGCAUUUUGAAAAUUAAGGAAGUUGCACAGAAGUUUCAUGUCUCUCGAGGAUUGAGAAAGCAACUUAUAUUAUUAGCUAAUUAAUUUUAUGAGUCAGUUUAACAAUUUACGGCACAAAUAAAAUAGUUUUUUAAGCACUACAUAAAUAUAUAUGUUGUAAUUUCAUCUCAAAGCAACAUGCGCAUGAAGUGGUAACGAAAUACAACCAAAAAAGUUGUUAAGCGAUAAUUCUCAUGUUGAAAUUAGAAUUUGUUAAUUGGCCUAAGCACUGUUUAAUAUUUACUUUUAAAAAGGAUAUGGCAUUAAAUUCACUUGCUAAGAUAUUGGAGUAGUGUUGAUGCAAUUUUCUGUCAUGCCUGCAGAUUCAACUCGCUAAGAUUUCGGUUAUGCCUUCAGGUUCAAGUAUUGUUGCUGAUUUAUGCGAGCUGUUGGGAUAAUUGAGCAUGGCUUUAGAUUCAAUUUGAGCAAAUAUAUUUUACAGAUAAUCAUUUUUAUUUAACACAGGUGAACAUUUCAGUAACGCGUACGUGGCUUUCUAAUUCUACACGUCCCUUCUUAUAUUAUAAAUAAUUACAGUUAUAAACCAAAAAAAAAAAAAAUGCAUGUACAGCAACUACAAAUACGUAUUAGACGCCCGCAUUAUUAUUAAUAUUUUAAUGGGGGAAAAAAUGACAUGCAGAGAAGAGGCAGCCGCCUAAUACUUUUGACUUGAAAACAAAUCUCGUGCACACCGUGACAUAUCUGUUGCAUUUCAAUCUAAGGAAUAAUUCAAUAUGCACACCGUGAAUCAUCGCAAAAAUAAUUCAAUAAAUAUGCUUUCGAUGGCUAAAAAAUACCGACAUUCACAUUAAUCUCUGAGGGCCCAGCUUUAAGAAGAAAUCUGAUUAGUGUGGAAAUAUGAGACGUGAAGGAAUCAAACGUAUUUCAAAAUAAAACAUUUAAAGGGACACGUCAUGAGAGAGCCAAGUAACAUAGAAAAGAGCUAUAACAUCAAAUGUCCCCAAAACCUUAUUAACUUUCUUUCCUUGCCCAGAAGCAAAAACAUUAUUCUCCUUUAACAAACAGCUACAAGAACUUGGAACAUCCCAAAACAUUAUUCUCUAUUUCCUCAUCUUUUUAUUAUUCCUGGUAACAUUGCACUAUAAAUGAGAUAAAUGCAUUUAUCCGCACACAUAUUAAUGGAGGAGACAAAUUAAAAUUUCCCAUGCAUAAUAAACUAAUUACCCACAGGUACAAUUAAAGUUUCAAAUAGACAUAUUUAUGAAAAUGCCUAGAGCCUACCAAACUUCUUAGUUAAUCUGCUCACAAUAGAACAUUUGACAACCACUUUUUGAUCAAUUGGGUUAUUAAUCGCCUUUGUGUUCUUUGAAACCUCAUUCUUGGAUUUGGUUGCUGAGUUUCCAAUUAUUAAUUGAACUCUAGUCAUUGAUACAUAUGAAUGCUUAUGGUACCGUAAGAUGGAAUCUGUCAUAGACUGAUUAAUUAUUUCAUGUUUCUUUUACUGGCUAAUUGGUUUUUUAAACAUAUAUAUAUAUAUAUAAAUUAUCUAACACUAUGGAAGAAGAGUAUCACAAAAAAACUCUUUAGAUUUUAUUUUUUAAAUAUCUAUUUACUUACCUAUGCGGUAAAUAGAAAAGUGAAAAAAUAAACUCUCCCCUAAAAAACUCUUCAAAUAAUGCAAGAUAAUAUUAUUUUAAUUAAAUCUUUUUCUUUACCACAUUUAAUUACUCUUCAUUUUAUCACUCCAACUAUUUUAGUCAAAUCUUUACUGCUAAGUAAUUUUAUGUUGAUUUUAAAUGUCGUUGUCAUUGUUGUUGUUAUAUUUUAAAUAUGUUUAUCUUUUAGUAAUUCUAUUGAUAUGCCCUUAAUAUGUUUUUAGAUUUUAUGUUGAUUUCACACUCCUGUAAGGUCCAUUUUGAAAAUUUUUUACUACGUUUGUGACCAUUAUUAUUAGGUUGAAUAUGUCAUUUUUUUAAUCUUAAAUUUUAAAAAUAAACGCAAAAUCUGAAUGCACAAAGCUGAUGGAUUUGGCGCAUAUAGAAAUUAGUUUUUCGAUAUUUUGGCUGUGUUUUAUUCUUAUAGAUAAAUAAUCAAAUCCUACAUGUAUAUUGGUCAAUUUGGCUUUAGUUACAUGACAUAAUUUUUUUUUUUUAAUAUAUAUGGAGUUGAACUAAGAAGAAAGAAUCUAUUUGCGAAUAUUCAAAUGCCACGUGCUGGUUCAUUGGUCCAUUUAGCUUUAGUUCAUCGUCCGUGGGUAGGUGACAUACUUGUUACUUACCUGCAUGCACCCCAAAAUCGCUAAAUCGUACCAAUUUUUUUUCCAUGUAUCCAUUUGCGAGUAGGAAACAGUUAAUCUCACAACCGAUAAUUAAAGUGGGUCUGCAUUUAGCACACGCUUUAAGCUCUUUCUAUUAUUUUGUUAAUUUUUUUAUAAUUAAUACUUAGUUCAUUGGUCCUGCCAUAAGAUUUUUGCAUUGGUACAGCGCGCGAUUGACUUUAAGCUCUUUCUAGUUUGUUUUUUUUUUUUUUUUUGUUUUUUGUUUUAAUGAAACAAAAUCAAAAUCAAAAUAAUGAAAGAGGUAAAGGCCAUUGGACUCGUUGCCGAGAGCAAAUGGCGCAUUUCAACGUCAUUCACGCGUACAGCAACAUUAUUGAAGAGCUUUUGGAUAAAACUGCGCCCUUCUUGUACUUCAAAAAUCCUUUGAUCAAGUUAGCCUUGCUUUAAUUUGGCUAUUGAUUACAUAUUAUUUCCAAUUUCUUCUAGAAAACCGUUGGUUUUCGGCAUAGUUAAGAGAUUAGAAAACGAAAAUCAAAAUUUGGAUGGAUGGAUGAUAGGAGAUUUCUUGGCUCGUUCCCGAAAGUAAAGGGAAUGCUGUGAAAGUCAUAAGUAGUCACUUUCACUCGUUUAUCAAUUUGAUUCAAUUUCUCAAAAGUAAUCCACAAAGAGAUUGUAAUACGUUUUGUCAUAAUCUCUCGUCUCACUAAUUGUUCAUGGUUACUGAUGGAAUUUUCACAAUUCCACUCAUACAGACUUCCCGUGGAAGACAUCAACUUGCAAACAGGAAAUAAUAAUAAUAAUAAUAAGAAUAAUAAUGAAUUAGAGUAAGAACGCAUUGCAAACAUUAAAAUAAAAAUUAAUAAUAUGUGAUAAAUAUAAAUUUUAAAUAAUAAUUUUGACAAAAUUAUUAAAAAGAUAAUAGAUUUUCUAUCAUACAAAUGAAAAAUUGUAGCAACAUAUUUUCUUAACUACAGCAAUUAGUAUUUAUUAAACAUUUUAGUGUUGGGAAAAAUUUAAUUAGUAGAAAAUCUUGGGAAAAAUACUUCAAAAUCCAUCAAUUGUGCAUGAAAAGAAACAACCAUUUUUAAUCUUUUGCAAGCAUAGCUCGUAUAUCAACUUUAAACAUUUAAGGAAAACAUUUUCCUUGCAAAAAUAUAAGCGACUCUACAAAAGCCUGAAGAGUUCCCCUAAUCAGUGCAGCUUACUGAUGUUAAGAGACACAUUCAAUCAAUUUUCCUGACUUCCAACCUUCAAUUUAAUGCAAUCACGGUCAUUAGCCUCCUAUCCUUACCUUAGGGUAAGAAUUUCUAUUUAUUGUAUAUUUAACAGCAGAGCUAGACUCUAUCGUUAAAAAAUAAUUAUUUUCAUACUAAAGACUAGUUUUAAACUAAAGCUGAAAUCUGUUUAUUUUAAAUAUAUCUUUUAUGGACCUUUUGGUCUUCUUUAAGCGUGAGCUUUAUUUGCAACAGAAGUCCAUGAUUGAAAAAAACCAAACUGUAUGUGAUUUAUUUUUACUGUUCUUUCACUACCACAUGAUUUAUUUGCAUCUCAAUAUAGAUGCAAUGUUUUUCAGCAUUACCCAAGUCAUUCUCUCAAUUUUCUUGGUCCAUUUGGCUUUAGUUACAUGACAUAAUUUUUUAGAUAUGGAGUUUAAUUAAGAAGAAAGAAUCUAUUUGCGAAUAUUCAAAUGCUACGUGCUAGUUCAUUGCUCCAUUUGGCAAAUGGAUACAUGGAAAAAAAUUGGUACGAUUCAGCGAUUUGGAGAUCAGUGCUUUACUUUUGAAGACAUCAAAGUUAAAAGAAUAAAUAUAAUAAUAAGUCUAUGACUAAAUAAUAUUAAAUAAAAUAAAUAAAUAAUAUUUAUUUUUUAAGAUUCACUACUGAUUAUUUUAUUUUAUUUGAUAUUAUUUAAUUUUUUAAAAAAUAAUAUAAUAAUAAGUAAAUGACUAAAUAAUGCUAAAUAAUAUUUUUUUUAAGACUCAUUAUUGAUUAAACGAUAUAAAUUUGAAACAAAUCAAACUUAUAUGUUUAAGAUUUUAACUCUUUUAACUUUUUUGAGUUUUCAAUAAAUAUUAGGGAGUAUAAUCUUAAUAAUCAAUAAGACAAAUCUUUACCAUUGAAAUUAUUUUUCAUUAAAUCCAACGGUGAAUGUCUAAAAUAAUUAAAAAAAUUUGAUAGUAACUGACAUCUAUUGUAAGGUAGCUAGAUCCAGGUAUAUGAAUAUAAAACAGCCAAUCCGACUACCCAGAGGUAAAGUGAGUCUGCAUUUGGCUAUUAAUAAUUUGUUUAUUACUAUUGCCAUAUGCCAAUUCUCAAUAUUUAUAUAAAAUUUUAAUGGCUAUUAGUAAGAGUAAGGUACUAGAGACUAGAGCUGGCAAAAUUUAACACGACCCGAUUACCCAACACGGACACGACAUAAAUAAAUGGGUAUGAGUAGUCAAAUUUAAUACGAUUAUUAAAUGGGUCGGGUCCGGGUCAACACGAUUUUUUUCCGUGUCGGGUUUGGGUUAAAAUUCUUAACCCAUUUACCCGAUCAAUGACCCGAUUAUAUUUUCUAUUUUAAAAUAAUUUACAUAUUCUUAUAAUUAAAACUCAAAUAUUAGAGAUGAUUUUCUUUUUUUUUCUUUAAAAGGGUGAAUAUAAACACAGUGUUUUAUUUAUAAAAUUUUACAUACAUUUAGAGUUUCAAUAGUGUAAAUGUGUAAUAUAUUGGUAGAUAUGUAUAUUUUAUAAUAUUGAUAAAUUAUGUAUGUAUGUAUGUAAGUAUGUAGUUAUGUACAUACGUAUGUAUGAUAGUGUGUAAAUAUUUGAUGUAACUUUUGUUCAAUAUAUAUAUAUUAAACGGGUUAUUGGGUAACCCGAUUAUUUUUCCGUGUCGGGUUUGGGUCUCAAUAUUUUGACACGAUUAUUAAAUGGGUCGGGUUUGGGUCGAUCUAAAUUUAACACGACACGAAUACGACUCGAUGACCCGUUUUGUCAGCUCUACUAGAGACUGGAUAUAUAAAAAUGAAAAACAGAAUAAAUCUGACACAAAAUUUUAUUUAAUAUAAUAUACCCCUGUCCAUAUCAUAACCAAUUAAAUCACCGCUUCUUUUUUGGAAAAUUAUAAAUAUUAAAAUUAAAAAGACAAGAAUAAACAAAUCUAGAAAAAAGCACAAAGAAGCACUACGUAUCUAACAUUGGAUUGACCCCCGGAUUCAGAGAAGUGCUUUUCAAGUCUUUUCUGUGAUGAAGCCACCAAUAGUUGAGCAGCUAAACUAAAAGGACAAAAGAUACCUGCCAGUUCAUGAUAUCCACGGACAUUGGCCAUGCAAAACCAAUCUCUUUCCAGACGAAAAAGACUUAGAUUCCACUUUAUAAAUAGUAAUUAUAAAUAUUACAUUUAAUAUGAGGGUUUUGAUAGAUAUUUAUCAAAACAGCUUCAGGUUCCCAAUAAGCCACCAGAGGAACAAAUCCACAAGCCAAUAUUCCAAAAGAUUUUUGCUUUUCAUGAAUUAAUACUAUUAAUUUAAUGGGUCUGCCAUCGCUCCCUUAUCUAUGUCUUAAUUAUAAUUAUGUGACUAGAACUUGAACAAAGAUUGACUUGUCGAUGUGUUGUCCGGCCGAAUCCACUUGUUGGGCAGUGAGGGUAAUUGCUUCCGGUGGAAAAAGAAAAAAAAAGCUUAAAUUUAAUGUUAAUUUUGGGAUAAUUAAUUUCAGGAGUAAUUUUUUAAAGAGAUGAAUCAAUUUUAUAAAUUGUCUUUUUGCAGUGGGGAUAAAUUAAUAUUUUCUAUUAAUUAUUUUAAAUCAGAGUCAUCACCUAGAAAAAUUAUUCUGUAGAGGAUAAAGAAUAAGAACAAGAUUGCAAGAGAAGAAAGACUCCAUUUUAUUUUAGGAGUGAGAAAACUGAAAAAAAAAAACCAGAAAAACAAAACAAGACAACAGAGUAAGUGGGUUCAAGAAGCAUUUUUUUUUUCUAUACGACAUUGUCCACACGAACUUGAGGACCCUUUGAACUCUUUUAAUGCGUGCCAGCUUUUGCUUGAUUUGUAUACCGAAUUUCUAAAACGUCAUCAGCUUUAAAUAAUAUUAAAAAGAAGAAGGUACCAUUUGCCUUAUCGUCUUUGUAAUUAGUUGUGGGUUUGUAACAAAUUUAAACUACGAGUAUGCGUGAGGGCAAUAAUCUCCGCACCAUUUAAUCACUGUGGAGAUACAUGAGAUGUGAAGGAAGGAAUUAAGUAUCUUCAAGAGAAAAUAUUUACUGUUUUGAUUCUUUUGGAUUUUCAGCCACUUGCAUUACCAAAAUCAUUAUCUCAAUUUCUCAUCAAUUGACCCCUUUGUUAAGAAUAAGGUUAUUAAGAAUUAAAUUAGUAGAAAAAUCUUGGGAAAAAUACUUCAAAAUCCAUCAAUUGCGUAUGAAAAGAAACAACCAUGUUUAAUCUUUUGCAAGCAUAGCUCAUAUAACGAUUUUAAACAUUUAAGCAAAACAUUUUCCUUGCAAAAUAUAUGGAUGACUCUACAAAAACCUCAAAACCAUCAAGAUUUUCGCUGUUUCACUACCACAUGAGAAAAAAACAAAUGGUAUUUUCAAAUUAAUUAUGAAAAGAAAAAAAAGUUGUUCAGAAAAUAUAUGUGAAUAAAUUAUGCAUCUUCCAAUAAAUAGAUGCGUCUAACAAAUAUAAUUGAUAUAAUAAUGGAUACAAUCAUAUUAUAUGUAUAAGCUUUGUGUGCUAAUAUCACUAGUGUCAGUGACAAAAACGACCAACAUACACAAUAAUCUCUAUUAAAUUUAGAUGGAUCUAAAUUACCAAUUUUGUAACUUAAUUAGACCCAAUUAAUACACAUACAUACAUACAUACAUACAUAAAUAAAUAUGUAAGCUCAUAGUACAAUCGUUUUUGCGCUAUUCAUUAGUUGUUUUUAUUUAUAUUUUUAGUUAGUCAAUCUACCUUUUAUAGAACUGGGAAACAAAUUGUAGUUUAGGGAAUAAAUUUAUAUUUAAAAAAAAAUUAUUCUGUAGAGGAUAAAGAAUAAGAACAAGAUUGCAACUUGCAAGAGAAGAAAGAUUCCAUUUUAUUUUAGGAGUGAGAAAACUGAAAAAAGAAACAAAACAAGACAACAGAGUAAGUGGGUUCAAGAAGCUUUUUUUUUUCCUCUAAACGACAUGGGGCCUUUGUGAGGAUAUCCAAAAAGCAGUACGUAGGUUCUGGUGGGGGACAAAACAGGAGAAAAAGAGUAUCAUUGGGCGAGGUUGCUGCCUGCUCGUGUGGAGAUAUGAGACGUGAAGGAAUAUAACAUUAAAAAUAAAACAUUUAAGGGACACGUGAUGAAUCAUCUUGUGGCAGCAAUUCAUCAAGAUUUUCGAUCGUUCGUGCCAACUCCCACAUGAGCAAAAAAGCAAACGGUAUGUCAUUAACCAGGAGCUGGCUAGGUUACAGAUUCUGUAACAUACAGAUCCAACUUAGCCACCUCCUGAUUGGUUAGCUAGCUACCAAACAAACCAUCUCAAUAUAGAUGCAAUGAUUUUCAGCAACUUGCAUUAGCCAAGCCAUUCUCUCAAUUUUCUUUAUGCUUUUAGUGAUCAAUUUACACCUCACUUACCAACUAAGGUUUUUUUUUUCUAAUUUUCUUAAUUUGGAAUUUAAUAAAGCAGAAAGAAUCUUGAAAACUCCUUCAUUUGCAACAGAAGUCCAAAGGGGUCGGUGACACAGAAUGUGAACUAUUUUCACACGUACGAGAGAGCCAAGUUACCAAGCAAAAAGCUAUAACGUCACAGUUUAACUUUCUUUCCUUGCCCAGAAGCAAAAACAUUAUUCUCCAUUAACAAACCGCUACAAGAACUUGGAACAUCCCAAAACAUUAUUCUCUAUUUCCUCAUCCUUUUAUUAUUCAUGGUAACAUUGCACUAUAAAUGAGAUAAAUGCAUUUAUCUGCACCCAUAUCAAUUGAGGAGAGUCUGGUGGUGGGUAUGGGUUGGGUUUUAAGUCAAUUCAAACCAAACCAUAAAAAUUUAAGCUCAACUCAAACGAGUCAAACCAACCCAAAUAUUUUUAACCUGGCCCAAACUAACCUAUUUAGGUUUGGUUUGAAUUUUAUAAUAAAAAUAUUUUUAUUUUAAUAAAUUUAACUAUAUAAAAUUAUAAUUAUUAUUAAUUAUUAAAUUAAUAUUAAAAUAUGAAAAAAUAUAGCGGAUAAAAAUUAUGAAUAAUGGAUUUUACAAUAACUAUGUUCUUAAAUAUUAACCAUAUUACAACAUAAAUUCUAACAAUGUCAAUACAAAUUAAAGUAAGAUAAGAUAUCCCAACUCAAGUAUCAAAGCAAUCCAUCAAAAUUAAAUUAUUUAAUUUUAUAAAUUUAAAUCUUCUGAGAUAAAUCUAAAAUUUAAUGUAAUUAAAAAAAGCGCCAAAAUUUUAAAUGCAGUAAGAAAAAUUAAACAUGAAAUCUAAUUAGGUUUAAAUUUAAUUAAAAAAUAACAAUAGAAUCAUAUUUUAUUUGAUAAAAUCUUAUAAUCAAUUACAUUUUUAAUUUUAGUAAGUUACAAUACAAAUAGGACUAUAAAAUUAUAUUAGAGGAUUUCAUAAAAAUAUUGUUUGAGUAAUUUAUUAAAAUGUUAAUUUAGUCUUGUAACUCAAGUUGAGACUGUAAAAAAUUGUUAUAUAAUAGUGUAUAGUACAACCAAUUGCAUAUGUAUUUGCCAUGUGUAGCACUUCUAUUAUUAUUAUAUAAUAAUAAUUAGUAGUGGUAUAAUUACUAUAUAAUAAUAGUUAUUAGUAGUAUAAUUAUUAUAUAAUAAUAAUUUUAAUAAAAAAUAUUAUUAAAAUAUUGAUUUAACCUUUUAUUUUUUAAUUUAUUUUUCAUUGAUAUGUUACUUUGAAUUUGUUCAUGACCCAUGGGUAAACCAUACCCAAUCCAUUGUGAAAUGGUUUCUUGCAUAAAAACCCAAAUUUAACCCAUUACCUGAAUUAUCCAACCCAUACCAUUUUAUUUGGUUUGAGUUUAAGUAAGCCCAUGGGUUAUGGGUUGUGGGUUUAUACCCACCCCUAGAGGAGACAAAUUAAAAUUUCCCAUACAUAAUAAACCAAUUAUUCCACAGGCACAAUUAAAAUUUCAAAUAGAUGUAUUUAUGAAAAUGCCUAGAGCCUACCAAACUUCUUAAUUAAUCUGCUCAAAUUGGAACAUUUGACAGCCACUUUUUGAUAAAUUGGGUUAUUUAACGCCUAUUAUACUUUGAAACCUCACUCUUGGAAUUGGUUGCUGAGUUUCCAGUUACUAAUUGAACUAUAGUCAUUAACACACACGUAUAUUUACGCUUAUGGUACAGUCGGAUGGAAUCUGUCGUAGACUAAUUAAUUACGACAUGUUUCUUCUGCUAGCUAGUUGGUUUUUUAAACGUAUAUAUGAAUCAUCUAUAACACUAUGUAACAAUACAAAUAGGGGUGGCAAAAACGAGUAAACAAAUUGAAUUCGAAUCGAAUCGUAAACGAAUUGAACUAAAAUUCUAUUGAUUCGGAUUCGAUUCAUUUAAUAAAUGAAUCGAAAUAUCAGGAUUUGAAUUCGAUUCGUUUAUUAAAUGAACAUUCAGUUUGAUCUGUUUAAUAUAAUUAAUAAACGAAACGAAUCGAAUCUGAAUUCGUUUGCUAUUUGUUUAUUCUUAUGAAUCCAUAAUUAAUCGAAUCGGAUUUGGAUUCAUUUACAAUUCAUUUAUAAAAUACAAUAUUAACCUUCAAAUUUUUUUAAAAAAAUUAAAUAAAUUUAAAGACAAAAAGUAACUCAAUUAAACGAAUUUUAAACGAAUGGACCAUAUUCGAUUCCUUUAUGAUCCAUUUAUUAAAUGAAUCCUAAAUGAAUAAACAAAUUAAUAUUUUCAAACGAGAAUUUAAUUUAUUUAAUUAGCGAAUCAAAUCGAAUUUAUCCAUUUAUUAAAUAAAUUAAUUUUUUUAAAUCUAAAUCUAUUUAAUUUAAAUCGAAUCGAAUCGAAUAUACGAAUUCUAACCCAAAUUGCCACCCUUAAAUACAAAUAAUCGAGAUUAAACAAGAUUAAAUUAAACGGAAGACUUAUGAAGCUUGAAAGUCACAAAGCUUUUCUAUUAUAAUUAAUACUGCACAGAAGGCAAAUUCAAUUUAACUUCUUAGAUCUCCUAAAGCUGUAUGAUUGGAUUGGAUCUUAAUUAAUAAUAACUGCAGGAGGAAUUAUAAGAACCCACCCAAGACGUAUUAGAUACUUCUCACGAAGUAUUAACUAUUAAGUCUACCAACAUACAAAAGAAUAUUUCACGUGCCUGCAGCAGGGCCAUUUUUGGAAAGCUUUUAGUACGGUUAUCCGUUUGCGACCAUUAUUAUUAGGUUAAGUGUGUUAUUCUUUAUCUUAAAUUUUAAAGAUAAGAGUUAGAAUAUUGGCACCCUCCUGUUAUAGUCUUAAAACUCAUUUUUUAAAUAUACUCUAUUAAAUAAUUUGAAACAUCAGAUAACUUUUAUGGAGACCCUCUUUUAUUCCACAAAUAUCCUUAUUUCACUUUUUCUCUGAACAAACUCCAUUCAUGAUGUCUCUUUUCUUAAUUUCUUUAGGUACAUGAACAAAAAUUUAUAUAUUUAAUACUAAUUGUGCAUCUUAUAAAAAAGAUACUAGCUAAUUUCUGUUUGGGAUUGAUUAUUUUUAUGGCAGUUUGUCUAUUGUUUAACUUUACAUAGACUUAAAAUUCAAAAUAAGAAAAAAUUGAAAUUUGAAUGUCUUGAGUGCAUUUAAAUGCUUACAAUAAGUCAUGAGAUAUUUUCAUCUUCAUCUAUUUUUAUUCAAAAAAAAUUUCUAGGGUUGGACCAUUUCUUUACGCAUCAAAACAGGAUACAAUUGACAUUUUUUAAGAUAAUUAAAAAUAAUGAAUAGUCCAGUGAAAAUUAAUGGAUUUACUUUAGUUAGUGUAAAUUAGUUUUGCCAAGGGUAAAUAUAAUUCAAGCUCAUCAAACUCUUUAAAAGAGAAAGAAUAAAUCUGCAACUAUAAAUGUGGUCUUCAAAUUUCAUUUGCACUUUGGCAUUGGAUGAGGUACAUGGGGUUUUUUUUUCGAUUAGGGAUAAAUUUGCAAACAAAAAUAAGAGGGGUUUUAAGAGGAUAUUGGAGGUGUGCCAAUAGCACCACUCCAAAGAUAAAUGCAAAGUCUUCAUGCAACAGAAAUAGAAAUAAAUUUUUCGCUUUUUUUACUGUGUUUUAUUCUUAUCGAUAAAAUACCAAAUGAUUGAGUCCAAUCAUGAAUAUCCGACUAAGGUGGGCGUCAUUUUAUUCUUAUAGUGCGUGAUCGUUUUUAACCAUUUAAUGAUUAAACUACAGAGUUUUAUCAUUUAAUGCUGAAAUUUAAAUAUGUAAUUUUUUCCAUGACAUUUCUUUGCGAUUGAUAGUACACAAUCCAUAAUUGUUUUCCCAUCAUAUAAGGGUCAUCCACCCUUAUGAGAAGAAGAAAAAAAGAAAGAGUUCAGCUACGUUGGAGCAUCUCUAAAUGCAAAGCAACCCCCACAACCAUUCGAUGGAUAUUGUUACAAUUGGAAAUGCUCCAAUGUAGUCGCUGCCAAAAAGAAAUUAUGAAACUUAUUAGGAACUUAAUUAGUAGAAAAUCUUGGGGAAAAUGCUUCGAAAAGCAUAAAUUGUAUAUGAAAAGAAACAACCUUGUUUAAUCUUUUGCAAGCAUAGCUCAUAUAACGACUUUAAACAUUUAAGCAAAACAUGUUUCUUGCAAAAACAUGAAAAGUUCCACCAAACAGUGCAGUUUACUGAUGUUAAAAAACACAUUCAAUCAGUUUCCCUAACUUCCAACAUUCAAUUUAAUGAAAUCACAGUCAUUAGCCUCCUACUCUUACAAUAGGAUAAGAAUUUCUAUUUAUUGUAUAUUUAACUUCAGUGCUAGACUCUAGUGCUACAGAGAUUGUCCGCAAAAGUAAAACAGAUCAUUCUUGUUAAUUUCCCUGGAUGAUCAGUUUCUUUGGUAAAAUAACUCUAGCACUUGCAGCCCCUGGGACUUCUUAAAAGAGAAAAUACAUAAUGGUGAAGUUAGGACCAUAAAAAAUACUCUUGGAAUUGAGCAACAUCAUGACAACCACAUUGCUUUCCAUAACAAUGACUAGUGGCAUGAUCAAAACAAGAGCAUAGAAAACAAUCUCUCAGCCAUUUAUAAGUCAUCAAUCAGUGUGAAUAUAUGAGAUACGAAGGAAGCAUGCACCUUUAAGAUAACAAAAACACAUAUAUAUCUUAAUAAAUACAAUAGUUCAUUCUCAUUGGAGUUUCAGAAACUAGCAUUAUCGAGAUUAUGCUCUCAAUCUCUGUGCUUAGUCAUCGACAUACAACCAUGCCAAAAGCUAGCCCUUCCCAACUAAGUCCAAACGGAUGCCAAAAAGUGAACAUUGUCCCACAGACAAAAAGUGAAUUGCUACCAAAAGUAAUACACACCAAACAAUCAACACAUGAAAUACAGGACCUUUAGACAGGGUAAAUAGGGCUGAAGAAGAAACUAAAAACCCAUAGAAGCACUACGUUCUUCUCCUAAUACUAUUAAUGGACCAAAAAAACAUCAAAAAACACUUAAUAUACAAUUAGAGGAAGAAAUCCAUACCAAUGACAAGCUAAAUAUGACAUUUUUCUAGAAUUAAUAAUUCUGCAAACAAAAAAACACAUUAAUUAUCUGCAUUUUAAAUAAUCCUAAAAAGGAACAUAUCAUUUUCAUUUAUGUCAUAAAAAGAACAUACAAACACUGAUUUUUAAUCUAUUUUUAUUUCCAAGCAAAAACAACAUUCUUCUAUUCUUUCUCCAACAAGAAAACAAGUUAUGUUACAGUAGUCACUAGGCAGUAGGUAAAACACUUGGUAACUAAAUAUAUAGAAAUAAACCAAAAAGAGUUUUUAAAAACAAAAAAAAAUUGAAAAUAAAAAAUGAUUAAAAAAGAAAUGAAAAUAUCAAACCCCUUCUUCAGAACAAUUCAAACAGGGAGUUACUGGUUCUUAAUCCAACAGUAAGUAAUAUUCCACUGAAACCCCUCCACCAAUCUGAAAACAUCACAGAAAACGAGCAACGCCACAUUUAACUGUCUUUAAGUUGUAAAAAAGCUUCAAGCUUUGCAGAUGUGAGGAUAUAAUGAGAAACCAAUCAUAGAACAUGCCACGAGCAAGGGCACAAGCAGAGGAAAGAUCUUCAAUGCCUCAGUGUGAUGAUAAUCAUCAUGAAACAAUAUCAACAGAUGUGAUUUAGGGAUACAUCUCAUAUAACAACCUUCAAAUGAUAUUAAUAUACAGCGAUAGAUCGAUAUAAAAUAAAUAACUUCAUAAAGAAAGGGUUUACAAUAGGGGGAAUGAAAAGAAUAUUGAGGUAAAAGGCUGAGCUCUGGUUACCGUUCUUUCAUUUGUAUGUAAAGCCUCUCAAAUUCUUUAGUCACAUCGUAAUAGAUUCUCCUAUAUGCAUAAUGAAUAAUGAUGUCAAAAGAAACCCCUGAACUUAGAAUUACUUCCACCUCUUUAUCUUCUUAGUUAUAAUAAGGCAUGAGUGAGCUUUGGUAUAUUUAUCUCGCAACUCCAAAACCUGGUAAGUCUCUCGCAAAACCUGAAUUUAGAUGAAUGGACUUCAAACGAAAGGAUUUUCUUACAAAAGCUAAAAAAAUAUAACGGCAUGGUGAGAAUGGGAAAAUGAAAAUAGAAAGCAAAAGAAAAAGUUUCCAUCCGAUAAGACAAGUACAAAAUAAUCCAAGUUCUUAUUUGCCAUGCCAAUAUUAUUCAUGAAGAACUAAUCUGAUUUCUUUUCCAGAUAAGGUUAGUAACAAUUAAUCUGUAAAUAACUGAACCAACUUGGUUACUACGACAUUACUCUUUCGCUUCCGCACUCAUUUUCUGCACAGUUGCGGUUCAUCAACGGCCGCGUUCACCAAAACGAGUUCACUCUCCCCACUUCACUUAUUUCCCCACCGUUAUGUCUCUCCAAGUGCAGCAGCAAGACAUGAACUCCUAUCAUUAUAAGCAAUAUAAAAAGCCCUCCUAAAAAUCCACCACCUGUUUGGCCAGAGAAACUCCAUUACUCAUUUCCACACUCUCAAUUUUCAGCCCUUUCAUCAAACAAAAGCAUUACUUACCCAUGUUUAGACAUAACUGACUUCAGCACAUAAAUUACGACAAGCUGGUCAAUUCACGUAAACAAGGAAAAAUUAACUCAAUCAAGUGAAGUAGGCACAAAAUGACCUCAAUGAGACAUCAGAGACCUCUAAAAUCAAAUCAAAUUCAGUUAAACAAAGAAUCACUGAUCAAAGAUAAGCAAAAGAAAAAAAGCAAUGAAUAACAGAAAGAAAUUUCUUAUAAAAAUUCAAUAAAAUUAAAAAAAAAAGCUAAUCAUCUUUUCUGGUUAAGUGAUUUCGUCAGCAAAUAAGAGAAAAUAGAAAUUCUGGAAUAUACCUAGGGUUUCUAGCUUUGGGAAUUUACCUAAUGAGAAAUCAGUCUCUCUGUUUCUAGAUUUGUAACUAUCAUGGCCGAGCGACCACGAUCAGGUGAGAUAAUCGGAUUUUGCACCGGCGACGAUGCAAAUGUUUGGGUUUGGGGUUGGGUUUCGGUUUGACGAUAGACCAAGGAAUGUUAGGGCUUUGGGUGAUUUAAGGAUUUUAUUUAAUUCAAGUAAAGUGAAAAUAAUUGAAGUACCCCUAAGUUGGUUACGCAUUUAAUGUCCAGAAUAGUUAAUUAAAUUUCUGCUCGUGUAUUGAUGGUAUGCAUGAGUUCCUAUCUCAACCGUUAGUGCAGAGACAAACAAAAAACAGGAUAAAGUUCGACGCAAAAUUUUAUUAGUAUACAAACGUAAGUACACUAUUGAAUAUGAAUAUGCUUUAAACAACUGCCUUUUUUCCUGGGAUAAUCACAUUAUAUAUAAAAUAAUACAACAAAAGAAUAGAAGUACAAGUAGAAAGGCAGUAUCUAGGUUGUCUCUGCUACUCGGCUUCCAGUUCCACCCAAAAACUGCUCAAACAUCUUCGUUCAGGUAACCAAUCGCAGACUCUGUUAUUGCUUUAACUAAUUUAUGGCAUUACCAUAAUUUCCAGAACACCUUGCGCUUGUUCAAUGGGUUGUUCAACUUGAGGAGGAGCCAGCAGAUGUGCGUUGACAGAGGUGACAAUGACGACAGUGAGACGUCGAAGCCCGUAGAAGAAGUGCUGAAACAGGGAAGCUAACAUUGCAUAACAGAGUGAUAAGAUUAUGAGGCACAAAUAGGCUACCAAGAACAGAGACGGAGCCAAAAUGACAGAGGCGACUGCUGAGACAGCCAACAGAACGGAGAGUUCUCCACAACUCACGGAAAUGGGUCGGCUCACUUUGAGAGGGACUCUGAUGGGUGUGAGGAGGAAGACCAGUAAUGGGACGACGACGGCAGGAAUCAGGAACCACAACUGAAGCUUUAACAUUGGGUACAAAAGUAUCUUACUCGUACCAUCUUGGACGUCCCAAGAGUUGCCAUCCUGAGCCUUGAGGAACAGAAAAAAGAUUAUAAGAUUCAGCAAUGGAAGAACUAGAAACCUCAAAUCGAUUGAAAAAUUCAUGCUUGUGAGUAUAAGACUUGGCCGAGAUGAUUGAGUUUAAUUAUUAUGAAUAAGAUUUGGCAAUUUAUAGGGUGUUGAAUGAAGCUGCUGGUGUUGAAAUUGACUCAAAAAAUUGUUCAAAGCCUGCACGUUGAUUGGGAGAGACAUAAAUUCUUAAUUUUUGUUCUUUUUUAUGCUUGUCGAUUGUGUCCGCUGAAGUUUGCCAAAUGACAUCUGCAAGGUGAACAGUAAUAUCCAAUUGAUGCCGCUCUAUUUUCUUCUACAGUAAAGUUAAAAAGUGCAUUUGCUUCUCCUAUUGGGAGUGUCGUGUUUAUAUUUUCUUCUACAAAAACAUUAAGUGAAUUUUUUGAGUCAAUUUCACCAGAACAAUUUUUUGAAAUUGACUCAAAAAAUUUUGAUUAAUAGUAAGACGCAGGUUGUCUUACAUAUGUGGUGAAAUUGACUCAAAAUUUUUUGAAAUUGACUCAAAAAAUUUUGAGUCAAUAUUAAUAUUUCGAUUCAUACAAGUUUUAAUUAAGUGAUCUUAAUAUUAUAUAUUUUUGUAGUAAAAUACUGUGAUUCUUGGAUUUGCCUAAGCGGACCUAAUUGUGAUUCUUACAAUACAACAGUAUUUUUUGUACUUGUCUUAUCUGGAAAAGAAAUCAGAUUAGUUCUUCAUGAAUAAUAUUGGCAUGGCAAAUAAGAACUUGGAUUAUUUUGUACUUGUCUUAUCGGAUGGAAACUUUUUCUUUUGCUUUCUAUUUUCAUUUUCCCAUUCUCACCAUGCCGUUAUAUUUUUUUAGCUUUUGUAAGAAAAUCCUUUCGUUUGAAGUCCAUUCAUCUAAAUUCAGGUUUUGCGAGAGACUUACCAGGUUUUGGAGUUGCGAGAUAACAUGGGGGUAAAUACCUUUCUAUAUCUCAUUAAAUAUACCAGCUCACUCAUGCCUUAUUAUAACUAAGAAUUUAAAGAAGUGGAAGUAAUUCUAAGUUCAGGGGUUUCUUUUGACAUCAUUAUUCAUUAUGCAUAUAGGAGAAUCUAUUAUGCCAUGACUAAAGAAUUUGAGAGACUUUACAUACAAAUGAAAGAAUGGUAACCAGAGCUCAGUCUUUUACCUCAAUAUUCUUUUCAUUCCCCCUAUUGUAAACCCUUUCUUUAUGAAGUUAUUUAUUUUAUAUCGAUCUAUCGCUGUAUAUUAAUAUCAUUUGAAGGUUGUUAUAUGAGAAGUAUCACUAAAUCACAUCUGUUGAUAUUGUUUCAUGAUGAUUAUCAUCACACUGAAGCAUUGAAGAUCUUUCCUCUGCUUGUGCCCUUGCUCGUUGCAUGUUCUAUGAUUGGUUUCUCAUUAUAUCCUCACAUCUGCAAAGCUUGAAGCUUUUUUAUAACUUAAAGACAGUUAAAUGUGGUGUUGCUCGUUUUCUGUGAUGUUUUCAGAUUGGUGGAGGAAGUUUUGAGAAUUUACAAACGCGAGGUCCAACAAAAAAUUUUGGAAACUGUUGACAUCUCCGCUGAACGAGUCAGAAAACUUUUAAUUUAACUAUUUUGCAGGUGUACUGGUUGCUUUUAUGUGAAAUUUUCAUUGUUGGCCUUUAGUUCGUUCGAAGAAGUAAGAUCUGACGUUUGACCACAAGGUUCAUUAUAUCAGCUUUUUUAACUCUGUUUUUUUAUUUCAUUCUUGUCUAUUGGUUAUAAUACAGUGGUGGCUUGGGGAGUUACUGCAACACCCCAAAUUUAUCCUUGGUUGAAUUUAUCUAUUUAUUUUAUAACUGCGUAUGUUUAUUUUAUUAUUAUUGUCGUUGUUUUAAUUGCUCUAAGCUUCCCCUGUUGUUUUUUUUUUUAAUCUAUAAAUAUUAUAAGGUGUCUUUAUUCUUUGGUUAAGUUCUGUAACAAACAAAAUCAACGUUCGGUAAUAAUAAUAAAAAAAAAGAAGAGGGAGAAAGUAAUUCCUUUUGUGAAGAACCCAUUUUGGUACUAAAGGUAGGUUGAUAACCCACAGCGAAAGGCAUUCUACUCAAUAAGGCGGAUACCUCGGAAUAGCAGAGAGAGAACGAGAAAAAUAAAAAAAUAAAAAAAGAGAGGAGAGGAAGAUAAAGAAAUGGAGGGAAAGAGAGCAAUUGGGUUUUAGAGAGAAUAGUUGUGCAUUUAAGGGAGCUGAGAACAACAGCAAGUAUGAAAUUUCUGGGAAACCAACAUGAGUUUGGCUGGAUUUUCUCAUAACUCUAAUCCUUUAGACCUGGUUUGGGUAAAUUUCUGUGCAUGCAUGGUUCAAUUUUCAAGUCUUGUUACUUUUAUUAAUGUUUUUUUUUCACUUACUUUUCUUAAUUGUUUCCUUUCUGCUGCUGCAACUCACAGCAAGUUUAGGAUUAUGUUAAAUUUGGGAUUCUUAAAUUAUUGGCAGUAUGGUUGGUUAAUUUUUGUAUUACCAAUAGGAAGUGGAGUUAGAGAAGAAGAGAAGUCUUUGGAGAACUAGGAGCUGUUGUUGCAGGAUUAAAGGAGGUGUUUAUAUGCAAUUGAGUGCUUUUGUUACUCAAAACUGAAAAAUCAGGUUGUUUUUCUUGCUUGAUCAUGUAAAUAUUUUUUUUUUUUGGGUCCUUAUAAGUUGUUUUGCUGAGAUUUAAUGUGCUAAUGGCUUAAUUGCUUCCUUUAAUAAUUAAUGCAGUGGGUGUAUGGGUAGCCAUUUAAUUACAUGACUAUGUGGCUAAAAUAAACAAUUGACAUGUUAGAAUUAUCAACAGGAUUGCGAGUUUUAAUUGAAGACCGUGUAUUGUUAUUACUUGAAUCAGUUAUGAUAGUUAAUUUGGUUGAUACAUUCAUGAAUGAGAAUUAAACUUUAACGGUGAUAUAGCCAAGUUUGGAAUAGGAAGUGUAGCUGAAUUGUGUUUAUGUAUCCUGCAAUGGUAUGGUGUUUUUUUUGCAGUUUUAAGUUUGUGGAUGUGUUGUUAAACUGGGGAUGUGCUGAGGCUCUGUUAUCUAUAACUAUUGUUAUUGAGAAGCAUCAUGUGUCUGAUGUGUCAUUGUAAGGAAACUUACAUUGAUGCUAUUGAAUGAAUUAAUAAUUUUUAUUCCUGAAGUUGAGGUUUGAGAAGGUUGAUUGGUGAUAGACGGAUUUCCUGUCCCGCGGUGAAGCCCGCAAAAGAAAUUAUGGGCGAUGGCCCCUGGGAAUAAUGCCCCAAAAGUUCGCUAUGCUGGAUUGACCUAUGUCAGAUUUCUAUCCCGCGGUGAAAGUCUACAAAAGAAAUCAUGGGCGGUGGCCCUGGGAAUAAUGCCCCAAAAAUAUGUAGGGUAUUUCUUUUCAAGGCCAGUGCUACGUUACGUUAAUCGUAACGUACGCCACACACAACAACAGUAGCGGAUCCCACCAUAAGUACUGUUGUUGUGUGUGGAUGUACGUUACGAUAAUCGUAACAUAGCGGGAUCCUCUUUUCAAAAUUAAUGUUGGGGGAAAAAGUUUGAUGAGGAUUUACGGCUUACUGACUUGUCAGGCAUGUUUUUAUUUUGUAUUAUUGAAAGAGUAAUUUUAGGAUUUCUUUAGACGUAACUACGGAAAGCAUGAGCGCCACUAUAUUUGUACGUGUGUAUGUUGUUAUGAUCUUGUCCUAUGACAUUUAUGUUGAAUACCAACUUUCAAACUUAAAAAGUUUAAGAAAUAAAUAGGGUCUGGCUACGGUGCAACUAUUGUAUCGUGUCGCAGUUGCAUUCAGCCAUUCGAUGUACUUGAAUGGAUGGGGUCUACUGGCAUUUAACGACUGGAUGCAACUAUGAUACGGUACCACAGUUGUACCACAGGCUUUCCCAAAUAAAUAUUAUAUAUAUACAUAUAAAUGGUUUAUGUUAGAAAUGCACCGAAGUUGUCCGAAGUAUUUGGGUUUUAAAAAAAAUAAAUAUAUAAUAUUAAAAAAAUACAAAAUUUGGGUACUCGGAUUAAAACCCAGCCUAGUGUUGGGCUUAAAAAACCCAACCCGGAUAUUUAAAAAUUGCAUCCGGCUCGGAUUCAAGCAUUGCAAUACUCAAACUCGGACUGGGUUUUGCCAACCCUAUAUGCCGGUGUUUUUGGUCACGCCACUAGUGAUAUUGACACGAAAAGCUUGUACAUAAAAUAUGGUUGACAUUUAUUAUUAUAUCACUUUGUUUCAUAUGGUUAUACUUGUUGUGCAUAAUCCCAUUUUGAUCACACUAACAUGAAAACAAAGGUAGGUUAAUUACACGUAAUUAUAGUUUAGUCUUGGUGUAUUUCUUUCUAACACUAGUUUAAUUUGUAUCUUGUGAGUAAUUCUAAUUUGUUACAUGCAUCUAUUUAUUGGAACAUAUAUCAUUCGUUCAUAUAUAUUUUGUGCGCAGUGUACACAAUAUAUAUAAACUUUGAAAAGGUAAGUUUGAAAAUACCUUUAUAGGAAAAAAAAAGUAUCAAAUCUUUUAGCAAGGGAAAAUGAUAAAGGUACCGAGGUUUUUAAAACCCGAGAAGACCGAAACGACAACGUUAAUUGUGUUUUAAAAUUUUAAUGAGUCUCACGUGUUUUUCACGUGAUAUACAGUAAAAGCAAAAUAAAAAAUAGAAAAAUUCAGCCCAAAAUCCUCAACUCCAUUAUCUUCCAAAUUGGUUCCGCAAAUAUUAUUGAUGACGUGUAUCGAACCGAUAACAUUUCAUCGUCAAGGACCUCAACCACUAUGAAAAGCCCCCGACUCACCGCGUUUAAAAAUCACUCUAAUUCGUGCAUACUUCACUUUAUUGAGUUAAUAGUUAAUUUUCCUUGUUUAUAUGAAUUGGAAAAAUUCUACGGUACAUUAGAGGGUCCGUGUCAUAAUCUAAUGUGGAACCAUCAACUAAUAAUAAUUAGACAUGUGGCUAUUAAUUUGAAUCCUAAAAAUUUUCCUUUUUUUCCAUCCUCUUUCCUCCAUUUUUAAGAAUUUUUGUUUUCCUUCUUCUCUCUCAUCCCUCUUGAAUUUCCUAAUUUAAUAAAAUAGAAGACAAAGCAUCAAUAAUCAUUAAACCUUGCUCAAGUCUAUUUAGAAAUUGGAAUGAGGACCAGAAUUGCGUGCAAGCAAAAGGAAUUAGACAUACUCUACAAAGAAGAGAUUUUUAGAAAAGAGCCAUCUUCAGAUCUUCUUAUCAAAUCGUGUUUAUAAGAACACAUUGACUUUGAUUUACAAAAAAAAAAAUCCCCUUUUAUCCUCUUUCCUUAAUUUUGAAUACUUUGUUUCCCUUCUUCUCUUUCCCUUCUCCCGAAUUUCCAAAACUGAAAUUAUUUAGUUUCUCUCACAUUCGAUCAGACUUGGUUUCUCGUCAUGUGGUGUAUAAUCUAUCUUCAACAGCUGCCAUAUUUUUUUUUUCCUAUUUGUCUAUAAUCUUGAAAUUUUGUUUUUUUGCUUUUUAAACUAUCAUUUUAAAAUGUUGACAUUUUGCAGAAGUUGGAUCUCUUUUUCCAGACAAUCUAAGUUGUCAUGCGUCAUUCUACUUCAUCAAAGUAACAAUAAACAAAACAUCAGUGGACGCUAGAAAAUAUGGUGAAAUCUCUCAAAAUUCUAAUAAUAAAAAACAAGUGUUGAAAGUAUUGAUAACCCCAAAAUAUACACAAAUUAUGUGAAUUAAAAUGACUGAAUUUUCAGAGAGCAUAUCCUUACAAUUAACAAAUCUAAUGGAACAAAAAAAAAAUUAAAAUUUAUAUUUUAAUCCCUUCUUCUUCUUUGCUGCCAAAAUCAGGCCAUAAAUAUUUUCCUGGCCAGUGGCCAAGGAGAGAUUUAAACACUUUCAAGCUUCACGCAUCUAUUUUCCUUCUCAAUCUGGUUUGAGCACUCUGUUUCAAUGUGGCAGAUUUGCACAUUUCUCAUAGACAUAUAACCAGUUAUAAUGUGGCGCAUGGGCCACAUAUAUGAGUCCCAUAUUUUCACCUCAAAAUAUAGUUUCUUCCCAAGCUCGCCUUCCAAUAGCUUCAAGCACUCUGUGAACUCUGUCCUUUGUUCAUCCAGAUACUUGCACAAAUUUUUACCAUGAAAAUUAGACCAAAACUUGGCUCGGAUGAUUGCUGGUAAGGAUCAGAAGGCGACAAUUAAUGGAAACUUAGUUCCAAAUUGUAUCAAUAAACUUAGUAUAGUGAGAGAUUCACUACUACUAAUGGGUUUGUUUUUUGUGAAUUAGAUCCCGUAUGUUCUAAUAAACAGGAUCUGAUUGAAGAAGAUGUUUUUUUAUUUAUGGAAAUCUCUUCUUUGUAGAGUAUAUUUAAUUCUUUUUGCUUGCAUGCAAUUCUCACCCACAUCAUAAUUUCCAAACGGACUUGGCCAUGCAUUAAUGAUUAUUAAUGUUUUGUGUUCUAUUUUGUUAAAUUGGGAAAUUCGAGACGGAUGAAAGAGAAGAAUGAAAAUAAAUACUUUUAAAAGUGGAGGAAAGAUGAUGGAAAGAUUAAAAUUAAUAGCCACAUAUCCAAUUAUUGGUUGGUGGUUACAAUUUAACUUAUUUGACAAUGGAACAUCUGAUGUGCUGUAUGUGAAUUGGGUAAAACUUGUCUUACAAAUAAUGUAACAAACAUCCAAUAAAUAUAAAUCAUUGAUUUUGAUAUUUCUUAAAUUUAAUGGAUGAAAAUAAUUUUAACAUGAAAUGAGGGAUGGGUGUAAAAAUAAUUUGUAAAAAAAUUUAUUUUUAAUCACAUAUUUACUUUUUUUUUUCAAAUAAGUCCUCGAUAAUUUUGUAUAACUAAAUAGUUUUGUAGUUCAUCUCUCUUACAUCUAUUUUAAAAUUUCAUAAAACUUUUACUGUAUUUUUAUAAAAGUCUAAAUGAUUAUUGUAUUAAUAAAUAUUUACAACUUUUGAAUAUAUUUUUCUGCCUUUAUAAUUUCUUGUCUCUAUUGAGACAUAUACUAAAUUUUUCUUCUAACACACACACACACACACAAACACUCACUCACACACAUUGAUGCUGCGUUUACUUUUUGGAUUGGAGCGGGAAUCCUGAGGAGUGGGAAUCCUUAGAUUAGGAGUGUGGAGUGGGAGUGGGAGUAGGGUGUUUACUUAGACUAAAUGAAAGUAUGGAUUGUUAAUCAGAAUCCUAAUUAUUUGUUUACUUUGUCUUGGAUUGGGAGUAAAUUAUUUUAAAUUACAAUUUUAUCCUUAUGUACAGAAUUAUAAUUUGUAAUUAAAAAAUUAAUAAAAAAUAUAUUUGGAAAAUAAAAUAAAUAUUUUAUUAUAUUUAUAAAUUAAUAAUAAUUACUAAUAUUCUUAAUUAUGUAAAUCAUAAUUUUUUAUUAAUUUUAAUUUAAAUUAUGUGAAUAAAAAUUAUUAAUAAUAGCAACACAAAUGAAAUAUUAUUAUUGAUAAUAUAGUACAAAAUUAAUAUUUUUUAGAAUAAAAUUUUAUUAUUACUAAUUAAAUAAAUAAUUAAUAUUUAUUAAAAUUAAUGUUUAAUAUUAUUAAUUUAAAUAUAAUAUUUAUUUAUUUUUAUUUUAUUAAAUUUAAUAAAAUAAAUAUGAUAUAAUUAUUAUUUUUAAUAAAUAUGAUAUUAUUUAUUUUAUUAAAUAUGAUAUUAUUUAUUUUAUUAAAUAUUAUUUAUUUAUUUAUUUUUAUAAGGAUAAAAUGGGAAGAGGGGGGAGUGGAUUCCCACUCCCACCUCCCCCCAUGGGAGUGGGAAUCCCACUCCCCACUCCAAAAUUGGGUGGGACCCACGAAUUCUCACUCUCACUCCUUCCUUUUUUAAGGUAAGUAAACACUAGAGUGGGAGGAAUCCACACUCCACACUCCCACUCCAGAAAGUAAACACUACCUCAAUCUACUUUCCCAUCCUAAUAUAUACCAUCAAUGUUGCCACAUAGAUUUUGUAAUUUAAAUUUAUUAUCCUAAAUUAUGAGAGAUAUUACAUAAGUUAAAUAUCUCAUGAAUCUAACGAAUUAUUAGAAACAUGAAAUAAUGAAUAAAUUAUCAGAACCUCUAAUAAUUUCAUAAAACAUAGAAACCAAUAAAUUACCAACUUCUAACUAUAGGUAAAGAGAAUUUUUUUUUUUUUAUGAAAGAUUUCAACCUUUUUGAUCUGAUCAAUGAUUUAGAAAUGUGGAGAAAUAAUAAAUUAAAUUGAAUGUCAUUAUAUUUAUUAAAUAAAUUAAGAAACCCAAAUUUAUCUAUAAAUGAUAUAGAAGGUGUAAAUAAACUAUUAGAAAUUAAUAAUUUCAUUGAAGAAAAUAUAAAAUAAAUUAAAAAGUUAAGAUAUUAACUGAGUAAAGAAUUUAAUAAAGGUAAACAAUUAAUAAAAGGCUUCAAUAUUGAAAAUCAUGAUAUAUUAAAGUAAGAGAUCAUUAAUAUAAUUAAUAAAAACUCAAUAGAUAUAAGAUUAAACAAGUUAAAGAUUCAAUUAAAUAAAUAAAAAAUUAUUGAGCAAUUUAGUACUAAAUUUGCUAUAAAUAUAAAUAGAAAAUUUAAAAAAAAAUUAAAGUUCUAACCGUAUUGUUGCCUGGCUGCAGCCUGAACUCUAAAGCAAAACUUAACAUCUUAUUGAUGUUUUUAAUAAUUAUUAUCUUUUCUAAGGAUUUAAAAACUUAUAGCUGUAACGUACAAUUGAUGUAAGAUUAGCUUCGCCCAUAAUUAAAUAUCAUUAUGUUAAAUGAAAUUACAAUUUUACCAUAGACCGACAUAGAAAUGUUCCAUGUUUCCUUUACUUUCUAUUUUUGCUUUUUCACCCAUUAGAGGGUUGAAAUUAAAGUCAGCUUAAUUAAUCGAACCAUUAUUGAUUAUUAUAUCCAGUAAAGUUGCAUGAUACGAUAUUGAUUCUACAUGACUUAAUUCUCAUGAUACAAUUGUACGUUCUAAAUAGUAUCGGAUUGGAUUCAGCACUUACAGAUACAGAUGAAUCUCUUCGUGGCGGGGCUUUGAUGUUGUAAUAUGCAAUGAAAGAAACAAAUCAAAAGUAACUCAACCAAGUUUUAAAAAGACUUAUCAAAAGAAUGAGCAAUAAUUUCUGGUUUGAUGCAAGUGUUCUUAAUUAUUCAGUAAAUAAUGGAGGAACUUUUGUCAACUCUCAUAAAUUUAUGUUCUAUUGAACAAGUUUCUGCAAGUUAAAGGAAUUCUAAUUGUUGUUGUUGUUGUUGUUGUUUUUUGGGUUUAUGUGUUAUUCACCCAAUUUUGAAGGACUAUUAGUGUUGAAACUUCCUUGUGUCAAUAAGGUGCUUUUGUGGUUCUAGUCUUUAGGAAGUUUGUUGGUAAUGAUAUUAAGAUUGUGUUUACCUAGUCUUUAGGUUGUAGUUACUGGAAAUGGUUGCAGUAUUUGCUGGAUAAUGGCUGCUAUUAUUUUGUUAAGUUUGUUCAUGUAACGCCUAUAAAAGGCAACUUAUUGUGAAUAAAAUAUGCAGUACUUUCAUCCAUUUAUCCUUGCUUUGAGUGUACUAUUUCAUAUUCACUUAUAACAGUGGUAUCAAAGCUUGAAUUAGAAAAGUGGGAUUGACAGAGUUAGUAACAACAGUUUACUUUUUCACUUGUGUUGGAGCAGCAUAAAUUCAUGGCUUUUGAGAAUUUUGUUCAACUUGCAAUUCCCCGCUUUGAUGGUCACUAUGACCAUUGGAGCAUGUUGAUGGAGAAUUUUUUAAGGUCCAGGGAGUAUUGGCAGGUUGUUUCAACUAAAAUAACUGAACCACCAACCAGUGUUGUUUUGACAGAUGCUCAGAAAAUAGAGCUUGAAGGGCAACGAUUAAAGGAUCUCAAGGAAAAGAAUUACUUGUUCCAAGCUAUUAAUCACUCAAUCUUAGAAACAAUUCUUAACAAAGUACCAAGGGACAGCAAGGGCGAAGCGGGUACACCUUCAGACACUUCAAGCUGAAUUUGAAUCUUUAUGAAUGAAGAUAGGAGAGUCAGUCUCAGCAUAUUUUGCAAGGACAAUGGCAAUCGCAAAUAAGAGAUGAAUUUAUGGCGAACAACUCGAAGAUGUUAUCAUAAUUGAGAAGAUUCUUCGAUCUUUGACGGAAAAAUUUAACUAUAUUGUUUGUGCAAUUGAGGAAUCAAGGGAUAUUGACACACUUUUGAUUGAUGAAUUGGAAAGCACUUUGCUAGUCCAUGAGCAGAAAGUAAUCCGGUAGGAUAAGGAAGAACAUGCAUUACAGGCAGCAGAAAAUCCCAAACCAACUGCAAGCACGGGCAGAACAUAUUAGAAGAAAAUGUUGAUGAUUCUCAAGGAAAAGGAAAGGAUUGUGAUAGUCAGGAUUCGACAGGACAUAAACCAAAGUCUAAAGACAAAUUGAAUGUUAAAUGCUUCCGUUGUCAGAAGUAUGGUCAUUACCGCUCCGAGUGCCGUACUAAUUUAAAUAAGAAUCGUGGUCAGAAAUCUAACUUUGCAGAAAAGGAGGAAGAAGAAAUUUUCCUUCUUAUGACAUGUCAUACAAAGGAGAAAAGACACCAAAAUCUAUGGUACUUAGAUACCGGUUGCAGCAAUCAUAUGUGUGGGGAUAAAUAUGCUUUUUCUGACUUGGAUGAGACUUUUCAAAAUACUGUAAAAUUUAGUGGUCAUCUCCACCGUUUCUGUCAUGGGGAAAUGAAAUGUUGCAAUCCAAACCAAAUGUAAUUGUUGAGCAAAUGUAAUUGUUGAGAUUAUUGAGCAUGGCUUUAGAUUCAAUUUGAGCAAAUGUAAUUGUUCCUUUUAAGGUGAUGUAAUUGGUGUAGGGAGAGGAUUUAAUUCGAAUGAUUUAUGGUUCUAGAAAAAAACGAAUUUUCUUUAUGUUAACUUGAAACAAUAUGUGUGUAAAUUUUUACGAUGUUAGCAAUAUUUAAUAACAGAAUAGUUGAAAUAUUUUUAAAUUGCAUUGUAGUUUUUAAAAAUAUAAAAUGGAUAUACGAUUUUUUUUAUUGCAAUCUUACUACAAAAAUAAGGGUUUUUGGUAAUUGAAAAAAAAAACAAAUUAAUUAUUUUAAAAUAAAUAAUAAUAUUGACCCAAAUUUUUGACAUAAAUUAAGUUCAAAAAAUUUAUUUAGCAUAAAAUGUCACAAGCUAUUGAUUAGUAUCUAUCAUUGAUUUGUGAUCGAAUUAUGUUGUUAUGUAAGCAUAAAAUUUAUUUGCCAUGUCUGCAAAAUAUGAUAACAUGUCAUCUACCAUGUCUAAUGCCAUGUUUUCAAAAUGAGAUGUCAUGUCAUUUGCUACAUCAGAUUCCAUGUAAAUAGAGAAUUGUAACACAAUUCCUUGACUGAAAUAUUUUGUCACUAAUUAUUGAAUUUUCUGUCACUAUAUUAUUACAAGGGCUUUUUUGACAGAAUAAAAUUAUGCCAGUAGCAUGAUUUGUGACAAUUAUUCUGUCAAAAAAUCCCAAUUUUUUAGUUGUGUAUGAGAAAGGAAUUAGUUGAUGGUUAAAGCCUGUGCAAUGAGAUAUCUCACUAGUUCAGAUUCAAUAUUGACGAGAGUUGUGUUGAUUAUUUUAAAGAUCUUGUAUUGUGUAUUUAUUUAUUAUAUUAUAUGGGUAUGAGUUAAUUACAAUAUGUAUCAUGAAAACGAUAUUUACUCAUAAAGGGUCCUCGGCCAUAGUUCUUUCAUCUUUGUUUAUGUGGCAUUAUAGACAUUCGAAAAUCCAUUUAUGGUAUUCAUGAAUAAAGAAAAUGCUUCUAAUUUGAUCCAAUUAAUAAAAAGAGCGUACUUUUCAUAUUCGUGGACUAGGGAGACAUUUGAUUCAAUUCGUCGAUUUAUAGAAAUCUAUGGUCUAACUCAACUCAAAAACUAGUUCGAAAAUUAAAAUUUAUUACCCCAUUAGUCCCCACGUAAUUUUUAAAUACCUCUCUUGAGGUUUGAGGUAUUCAUUUAGAUGACGGGUUUACUUGUAUUCUCACAAGGUUUGAGGUAUUCAUUUAGAUGACGGGUUUACUUGUAUUCUCACAUACUUCCCUCUCUACUGUCUAUAUAAAUGCAUGUACGGUAUUAGUAUAUAAGGGUGAAUUCAGUAAGAGUGUUGGCUUGUGUGGGGAUCUCGUAAUCAAGCUUUUUUUCCCAAAGGAGAGAAUUUGACUGUGUUGCCAGCUUUCCCAAUAUACAAAAGGUGAGCACAGUUAAAAUUAGGUUGCGGAUUACGGCAGUAACUACUUAGAGAAACUUUUCCGUUUUAGUUGCUAAUUAGUCACUUAAAUUUAAAAAAAUUAGGGUCUCGUUAAUCGAUAACGAUAACAAACACCGGACCUAACUUAGGAGGCCACUCAACUUUUGAGGGAGUGGUUAAAACAGCUGCUCCAUGUUUAAAAGUAUGCCCUUGACGCCUAUAUUCUUUGAAAAGCUCAUUCUAGGAAUUGCCAUUUUUUUUUUUGAAAAGCUUAUUCCAAUUAUUAGUUGAACAAUUAAUAGUCAUUAAUACACACGCACGCAUACUUAUGGUACGGUUAGAUAAAACCUGUUAUAAAUUAAUUAAUUCCAACAUGUUUCUUUUACUAGCUAGUUGGUUUUUUAAACAUAUGUAUGAAUUAUCUAACGCUAAGUAACACGUAAUCCAGGUAAAACAAGAUUGAAUUAAACAGAAGACUUAUGAAGCUUGAGAGUCACAAAGCAGGCUUUUUCUCUAUUAUAAUACUGCACAGCAUGCAUGCAAAUUCAAUUUAACUUCUCAGAUCUCCUAAAGCUAUAUGAUUGGACCUUUAUUAAUAACCGAAGAAGGAAGCUUAAGAGCCCAUAGAUGUAUUAAGUACUUCUCCCCCAAUGCUUAUUUUAGUGGGAACAAAACAACUUCAGAUUCCCAAUAAGCCACCAGAGGAACAAAAUCCACAAGCCAAUAUUCCGAAAGAUUUUUGCUUUUCAUGAAUUAAUACUAUUAAUUUAAUGGGUCUGCCAUUACUCCCUUAUCUAUGUCUUAAUUAUAAUUAUAUGACUAGAACUUGAACAAAGAUUGACUUGUGGAUGUGUUGUCCGGCCGAAUCCACUUGUUGGGCAGUGAGGGUAAUUGCUUCCGGUGGAAAAAGAAAAAAAAGAGCUUAAAUUUAAUGUUAAUUUUGGGAUAAUUAUUUUCAGGAGUAAUUUUUUAAAGAGAUGAAUCAAUUUUAUAAAUUAUCUUUUUGCAGUGGGGACAAGUUAAUAUUUUCCAUUUUAUUUUAAAUCAGAGUCAUCACCUAGAAAAAUUAUUCUGCAGGGGAUAAAAAAAUAAGAACAAGGUUGCAAGAGAAAAAAAAGACUCCAUUUUAUUUUAGGAGUGAGAGAACUGAAAAAAAAGGAGCAAUGAUAUAGGCACAAACUCUUGUACAAAUUUAUUUUGUACAAACUGACGUGGCAUUAAUUCAUUAAUUGAAUGAAAAUAUAAAUUAAUAAAAAUAAAUCAUGUAGGUCAACUGAUAUUUAAUUUAAUUAAUUUUAUCACGCCAUAUCAAUUUAUAUAAAAUAAAUUUGUACAAGAAUUUAUAAGAAUUUGUGGUUGUAUUAUUAUAAAAAAAAAACAAAACAACAGAGUAAGUGGGUCCUUAUUACGACAUUGACGACACGAACUUGGGAUCGCUGUAAGUUACGUUUUAGCGUAACAGAGUAAGCGGUUGAAGUCCGUCUCAAAAAAUAGUCAACGAAAGAGAAUCUCUUCUACAGCCGGUCGUGACAAACAUAACGGCGUCGUUUACACCAUCAAAUUACGAGAGGAAUUCCAUCUCUUCCAACACAAGUACACAACCCCACCCCCCCCCCCCCCCCCCCAAAAAAAAUUCAGACCUCCACCACCGAAUUCCAGCCAAAAGCAUCAGUUAGCCGUUAAAGGAACCACACUUUAAACUCAAUUCAUCACAAAACUUCACGAAAAUUACAGUCGCAAUUAGCAACGCUAAUAAUGGCGGAUUUUGGAAACUUCCCGGACACAGACGAGGAGUCAGCAGUCGGGCAAACCCUAAGUUAAAUUUAUAUUUUCUAAUUCGAUGUUGCCUUUCGCCCCUCAUUUCCUUCGUAAACAGUUUUUCUCGCUUCCCUCCAACCAAACAGGCCUUUUGAGUUAGGGUUCAGGGUUUUUUUCCCCCUUUUCGUAAACUAUAUUCGUUUAUUUUGGUGUUAACCGAAAUGAGAAACUUACAGUUAUCGUUCAAUCAAACGCAAAAUGUGAGACUUGAAAAAGCUCUCGAAAAGCUUGAGUCUUUAUCCUCAAAUUCAAACCCUAACUCCAGUGUCACCGUCGGCGACACCAUCCCUGUUUACGAAGAUGGCGUCCUCAAGUAAUCACGCAUUCGGACUGAAUCUAUUUAUUUUCGCUUUAUUAUUUUUAUUUUUCUAAAUUAUGGAUUUAAUGAAAUACUGGGGACACGGAACCUCGGACUGUAAGGGCGAGCUUGUUGCUGCGACUGCUAUGGUGUUGUCGAACGCAUCAACAAGUUGAUCUACGUACGCGCUUUACGCUCCAGGUAAUUGGAAUUUGCUAGGCUUUAGUCUCUGUUUUAAAUCUUAUGCAUUUGUGUUGUUUGGUUCGGAAAAAUCGUUGCUUUUGUUUUAGUUCUAUUGUUUGUUCAUAGAUACAAGCCGGAGACGGGAGAUAUUGUCAUAGGACGUGUCAUAGCGGUAAAUUCAAAUUACUUAAUUAACUUCAUUAUUUGGAAGUUGAUUCAUAUCACAUUCUUGUACUGUAUUGUAUCUUCUACUUCUUCAAUUUUAAUAUCUAGAACCUUAAAAAUGUUCAUUGUUCAGGUUGCUCCAAAGAGAUGGAAAUUGGAAGUAAACUUCACCCAAGAUGCUAUUUUGAUGCUUUCUUCAAUGAACUUUCUGAUGGAUUUAAGGUAUCAUACUUUUUCUUGAAGGUUGGUCUAGUUACCCUAUUGGGUGACAUAUGCUAUAACUGGGAGGUAUCAAAAAAAUAAUUUUGUUCGUAAAUAGGGCACCAUAUGAGGCAUGGGGCUUGUCUUAUAUUUUUAUGUUUAAGAUCUGCCUAAAUGUGGAUAGUUUGGUAUUGAAUUUUCUCUUUUGCUUGCUAGAAGCGGCGAACGGCUGUGGAUGAACUCAAUAUGCGCAGUGUUUUUACAGAAAAUGACUUAGUCUGCGUAAGUGAAUUGCUAUGUAUUCUUAAUUUCUUUUAUGGUGAUUGUGCCAUCUGAGGGAGAAAACAAGUUACUUAUUUGAUGUUACCAAAAUCUGUUCUCUUUUACAGGCUGAAGUUGGUAGUUCAUAGGGUGAUGACAGUUUACAAUUUCAAGCAAGAAAUCAGAAGUAUGGCAAGGUGUGUCAUGUUUGAAAAGUUUUCAGGUGCAUCUUCUGCACUUUUUUAUCUUUACACUCACUCUUUUAUAAGGAAGAACAAUGUAGAUGUGAAGGAAUGGCCAAUACCAUCAGUACAAGAAAAAUAAUAAUAAUAAUAUUAGUAGGUAAAUUUAAUGUCCAACUAUCAAUUUCCCUUUUCCUUUUUGGCUUAGAAUUAAGCUGCCAAUUUGACUAACCUUGAGGAAUGGCAAGUUGUACUUUAAAAUUAUGCCUUGGCAUGGGCAAAUCAAUAUUUGCUUGCAGCUAACUAACUGUUGAGGAUGGGAACUUAAGAAUUCCAAAGAAGACUAGGAGUAACUUAGUGUAUUGAUAAUAACAAUGUUUAUGAUUCAUUUCUUCAUGUAGGAAACAGAAAAUUUUCAUUGUUAAAUUGUUUCUCUUUUUUACUUUAAGACCUAGCAUCAUUGCCAUCAACAUUAUUUCAUUAGCAUCAGUUUUUCAUCCUAUUCGUACCUGUAAUGUAUUGAUAUGGACAUGUACCAAUACGCCUUCAGCUCGAGAGGGGUCAACUGCUCAGAGUCGAUCCUUAUCUAGUCAAGAGACGGAAACAACAUUUUCACCACCUAGAACAGUAUGGAAUUGACUUGAUAAUUGGAUGUAAUGGAUACAUCUGGAUUGGUGAGCAUGUUGAAGCCAGAGACAAGACGGCGGUGGAUCAAGGAAGCGAUUCUGAACAACCAAUCACCAAAUAUGAUAAAAUUUCCAUGGAUCUUGAUGAACAAGAUGGAACUUGCACUCCACGAGAAGCGAGACAGAACGUUUGCAGAAUUGCAAUUUUUUUAUUUGGGAUUAGGUCUUUGGUGGUUUGGCAUUGUUUGCUUUUCCAUGUUGUACAUGUUUCUGGGAUUUGCUUCAUUCGUUCGCAGGGAGCACGGUUUAUUUCUUGUUAUCUCCAUAGGCGUGAAUGCUUAUAUUACAUGUUAUUGUUAAGAUGCAUGUACUACUUCAGUUCUGGUAACUUAUGUCCAUCAGGAUUAGGCAGUGCAUGUUUGUGUCAUCAUUCAAAGUAUCACUGCUAUUCGUUUAUAAUUCUGUUCAAUGUUGUAGCCCUUAACUCAUGUUUGUUCCUUCCUUCUGGCGAUUGAUCCUUGAAGUCUCUUUGUUGGUUCAAUUUUAGUGGUUAUGUUUGCACAGAAGAAUGUGGUCUGCAUAUUCAGUAUCAUUAAUUUGCAGUAAUGAUCAUUGUGUCCCUCUUCCUCUUAAAGCUUUUGGAAAUUCACAAUAAGCCCCGUGAGUCUGGGUCUUUCUAUAUGCAUGUGCCUCUAUUCGGGUGCAUGCUUGUCUGUGGUGUGUGAGCAUGCUUGUGAUACAAUUAUCUAAUGUCUACUAUUUCAUUGAUUGUGGAGAGGACUAGGGUGUAUGCACAUGGGUUAAUUGGCAGAAUGGUAUGUCUGACAUUGUUAUAUCCAUUCCUUCUCGAUAACAGUUGCAAAAUUUUUGUUACAAAGUUCACGGCCUUGCUAAAUCUUUCCCUACAAACGUGUACAGGUGGUCACUCACUCAAUCAUUUCCGUUAGUUACUGAUAUGGAUUCUCAACGAAGAUCAGACGCUGGUGUCACUAUCAAAUUCAAUAACACAUAGAUCCAUAAAUUAUGUUCUUGACAACAUAAUGAGUAAUUUCUGCUUCUUCAAUGCUUGUAAUGAUGAAGUUGGUGGAGCUAGUCUUUUCUUUUCAAAUGUACUAGUUCUGCUUUCCGAUUUUUCAUCUUCAUCAUUCUCACCAUGUCCAUCUCUAGUAGAGGGGGUGGACGACUCAGCAUUUUUGGCAGCAUUUCUUUUUCCAACAUUCAACCUGAUCUGCAACUUUCUUUCAGCAGGGUCGUUUGAGGCUCCAAUUUUUUAUUGGCAUGAAACUUUUGCGCCAAGUCCAAGCCUACAACAACAUGAGGAAUGUUAUUACCAGCAUCCUAUGAUGAACAAAAAAAUAAAAAAUCUAUGGUCGGGUUAGGAUGAAUACACUGACCUAGACGGCCUGGCCUCUUAUGCACAUACAUAGGCAACUGACACACAUACGUAGGCAUACAAAACUCAAUGCAUAUACAUAAAAACUGCACCAACAUCAGAUAAAUUAGACUCAAAUAACUUAAAUUAAAUUACAGUCAGUAAAAAAACAAAAUAAGUAUUACAUCCAUUAUCCAGAAAAUGAAAUGAUAAUCCUAGUGUUUUCUAAAGAAUUUUCAUGUCAUCUAUCCACUUGCUGUUUAUUACUAUUAAAAAAUUUACCAUGAACCUUCUAAUAUGAAAAUGACUCCAAAGACCAAAACACCAGAUUUUUAUACUCAAGAAUUAACCAUGCACCUAAUAAUACUUAUGGAUGCCACUGUUGCAAAAAAUAAUCCAUCAUCUUACUAUUUAAAGAUCAAACAUAUUAGAAAAAGGAAAAAUAAAACAAAACAAACAAAAACAGUUUGCCAAGUACACUGAGCAAGUAGAUAUUCCAACUUCACCAGACAUCCUAUUGUGCCCUUUUGCACUUGUUUUGGAGCUAUUAAUGUGAGGUAGUCAUGACGAAACAAUUACAACACUGACUUGGCAAAUUAUUAUAAUGAAAAUCAAUCGAUGUGAUCAAUCAAAAAAGAAAUUAAAUCUUACCCAGAUACAUCUCUAUGAAAGCGAUCUGCGACCCAUGCCAGCAGCUUGAGGAUGCAGUCAAUAGAUCCUCCUCUAGCUGCCAAGUGAAGAGGAGUGCUUCUUCUGCAAACAAACAGAAAAAGAAAUAAAUAUAGAAUAAAAAUGAAAAAGAGAAACGGACAUCAACAGGUGAAGAAUUACCAGAAUGAAUGUGAUCCCAAAGCUUCUCAAAGAUCUUGUGCCUUCUAUACGGUGAGAUUAUGGCCACAACGCCAGGAUUUGCACUUUCGGCUUAGGGUUGUUGUGUGUUGAUUGAAAGUUGUGACGGCAUAGUCAUCCAUAUACAACCAUGUCAAAAGCUAGCCCUGCCCAACUAAGUCCAAAUGGAUGACAAAAAGUGAACAUUAUCCCACAGACAAGAAACUUGGUCUUCCCUCUUAUAUUCAAAAAUGCAAUCUUGCCAAAUAACCCAAAAAGGAGCUAGAACAUCACACUGCCCGAGAACCUUAGGUUCUAUCCUUGCCCUAAAGCAAAAAAUAUUUUCCAUUAGCAAAUAGCUACAAGAAUUUGGAGCAUCCCAAAAUCAAUAACAUAAUUGAGAAUCAAUGCAUGUAUCCGCAAGCAUUUAUUUAGUAGACAACUGAUUCCCAAAACAAUUUUAAAUUUCUGACAGAAUUACUUCAUUGCCUAAAUUCUACCAAGCUUUUCAGUUAAUACGCUCAAAAUACAAUCCACGGGUGCAUUUAAAUAAAUUGGGUUAUUUAACGCCUACAAUCUUUGGAACCUCAUCGAAUUGCUACCAAAAGUAAUCCACACCAAACAAUCAACACGUGAAAUACAGGACCUUUUGACAGAGAAAAUACGGCUGACGAAGAAAUUGGAAACCCAUAGAGGCACUAUACUUCUCCUAAUACUAAUAAUGGAACAAAAUGACAUCAUAAAACACUCAAUAUGCCAUUAGAGGAAUAAAUCCAUACCAAUGACGAGCUAAAUAUGACAUUUUUCUAGAAUUAAUAAUUCUUGAAACAAAAAGCACAGUAAUUAUCUGCAUUUUAAAUAAUCCUAAAACCAGGAUAAUGACUUAUUUAUGUCAUGAAAAGAACCUACAAACGCUUAUUUUUUAAUCUUUUUUAUUUCCAAGCAAAAACAACAUUCUUCUAUUCUUUUGUCAACAACAAAACAGGUUAUGUUACAAUAAUUAUUUUCAACAUAGAACUUGAACCCUGGGAGAGAUAGAAGGAAAAGACAUAGAUGUCUGACUGAGAGAGAGUUAAGACAGUGUGAGAGGUAAAAGAACAACACGGCUUAGAAGUUAGAAUCAUCAUCCACUUAUCUCACUUAAUCGUUGGUGUAAAAGUCCUCAUAGAAGAAAGAAAUAUUAUUUUGAAGGGUAAAAUGUAAACAAAUUAAAAUUUUAGAUAAAAUUGUGACACGUUUAUAUUAAGCGUGUAUAUUAAGAUUUAAGAGAGAGUCACCAUUAUACCGCACAGGUCAGCUCCCAGUUGAACUUGCGAGUUUGGGUUUGAGUUCCAGUCCCACAGUUAGUGAAAGUAGGUAUUAGGUAAUCAUCUUUACCAGCUGAAAUAUCAAAACCUGUCUGUAUAAGCCUGCACAUUACAAUUUAAUCAUCAGCAAAGGAGGUGGCUGCAGCGAGAAACAAGACAUUAUGUAGUAAUUACAAAACAUUGAAAAUCAUCAUAUUUUAUCAGUCACAAAACCUAAGAUAGUCUCCCCAUAGCAACUAUAAAUAUUGGGGGGCAAAAAAAAGGACCACAAAGUAGAACACUCCCCUCUUUUUCCUCCAAACAUAUACAAAAUUUCAGUUCACUCCUAAGCUGAGAACCAUUCUACUUUCAAGAUUCAACCAAUGAAAUAACCAUAAUAUUCUUAUUAAAAAAAAUGAAAUAACCAUAGUACAAAAUAAUUAUCCUCUAAUUCAAAUAUUGCUUCAGAAUUUACAAUUUAUGCUAGAAUCAAUUGGUGAAACCUAGGGAAUCGGAAUGAUACAUUUAUUUAACCCAAAAGGUGAAUAUCAAGCUUAAGGUUCUUACAUAUUGAGACGAUCAAAUUUCAUUCAUUCUGAACAUGAGAUGCAACUUGAACUAUUUCAAGUUAUUCCAAAAGAAAGCAUUGAAAGAAAUUUGUUCAUCCUACGUGGUAUAAGUAGUCUCAGUUAGUAUUCUGCAUCAUCAGUUAAAUCAUUUGGAUUAUUAACAAUGAUCUUUUUUAUUAGCUGAAUUGAUAACUCUCUAAGCCACCACUGUAAAGCUAGCAUUUGGAUUAUAACUGAUAGAGAAGAAUAAAAUGAAAAAAAAACAGAGCUAAAUAGGUUGAUAUAAUGAAACUUGUCGUCAAAUGUCAGAUCCGACUUCUUCAAACGAACUAAAGUCCAGCAAUGAAAAUUUCACAUACAAGCAACUAGAAUACCUGCAAGAUAGCUUAAAUUAAAAGUUUUCUGACUCCUUCAGCAGAGAUGCCAACAAUUUCCAAAACCUUUUGUUGGACCUCACGUUUAUAAAUUCUCAAACCUUCCUCCACCAAUCUGACAACAUCAUGGAAAACAAGCAACACCACAUUUAAUUGUCUUUAAUUUAUAAAAAGCUUCAAGCACUACAGAUGCCAGGAUAUAAUGAGAAACCAAUCAUAGAACAUGUCAUGAGCAAGGGCACAAAGAGAGGAAAUAUCUCCAUUGCUUCAGUGUGAUGACAAUCAUCAUGAAACAAUAUCAACAUAUAUGAUUUAGGGAUACAUGAAAUAUAACAACCUUCGAAAUGAAAUUAAUAUACAGUGAUAGAACAAUAUAAAACAAAUAACUACAUAAAGAAAGAGCUUACACUGUUGUUUGUGUUUGUGUGUGUGUGCUUUUUUGUGUUGGGGGGGGGGGGGGGGGAGAGCUGAAGUUAAAAGCUGAACUCUGGUUACCGUUCUUCCAUUUGUAUGUAAAGUCGCUCAAAUUCCUUAGUCAUGGCAUAAUAGAUUCUCUAAUAUAUAUAAUGAAUAAUUCUUUUAAAAGAAGCCCCUGAACUUAGAAUUACUUCCACUUCUUCCAAUUCUUAGUUAUAACAAGGCAUGAAUGAGUUUUGCUAUUUUUAGUGAGAUAUAGAAAGGUAUGUACCCUCUUUUUAUCUUGCAACUUCAAAACCUGGUAAGCCUCUCUCAAAACCUGAAUUUAGACGAAUGGACUCCAAAUGAAAGGAUUUUCUUACAAAAGCUAAAAGAUUGAAUGGCAUGGUGAAAAUGGGAAAAUGAAAAUAUAAAGCAGAAGAAAAAGUUUCAAUCUGAUAAGACAAAUACAGAAAAGCCAAGUUCUUAUUUGCCAUUCCAAUAUUAUUAAUGCAGAAUUACUCUAAUUUAUUUUUCAGUUAAGGUUAGUAACAAUUUAUCUGAAAAUAACUGAACCAACUCGGUUACUACGACAUUACUCUUUCUCUUCUACUUCUGGUUCAUCAAUAGCCACGUUCACCAACACGAGUCCACUCUUCCCCCCUUGACUUAUUUCCCCAACCUUUAGGUCUCUCAAAGUGCAGCAGCAAGAAAUGAUCUUUGCAUCAGUAUAAGCAGUGUGAAGCCCUCCUAAGAAAUCGACCACCUGUUUGGCUAGAAAAACUCCAUUACUCAUUGCCACACCUUAUACUUUCACCCCUUUCAUUAAAACACAAGCAUUACUUACCCAUUUUUAGACAUAAUUUAUUUUUCUGAUAUCACAUCAUUCAGGGAGGGGGAAAAAAAAAAAAAACACACACACACACACACACAAUUAACUGACUUCAGCACAUAAAUUACAACAAGCUGUCAAUUCACAAAAAUAAGGAAAAUUAACUCAAUCAAGUGAAGUAGGCCACAAAAUGACCUCAAUAAAAUAUCAGGGACCACUAAAAUCGAACCAAAUUCAGUUAAACAAAGAAUCACUCAUCAAAGAUAGGCAAAAGGAAAAAAGAAAUGAAUAACAGAGAAAAUUGCUUAUAAAAAUUCAAUAAAAAAAUAAAAAAAGCUAAUCAUCUAUUUUUGAUUUAGUGAUUUCGUCCGCAUAUAAGACAAAAUAGAAAUUCUGAAAUAUACCUAGGGUUUCUAGCUUUGGAAAUUUACCUUACGAGAAACCAGGCUCUCUGUUGCUAGCGUUCUAACUUUACCACUAUGGCCAAGCGACGCCGAUCAGCUGGGAUGAUCGGAUUUCGCAGCGGCGACGAUGCAAAUGUUUUAUGUUUGGGUUUGACGGUAGACGAAGGAACGUUUAGUGUCUUGGGGGUAAUUUUGGGAUUCUAUUUUUUAUUUUUUUAAUUGAAGUAAAAUGACCACAAGGACCUUGCUAUGUUACAGCUUCUGCAAGUAACAUAGCCAAUGAGAAUCCUCCACUCGUGUUGGUGCUGAUGCAACCAGGGCAAGGCAACUGUUCAGAGAAUCCUCCACUCGUGUUGGUGCUGAUGCAACCAGGGCAAGGCAGCUGUUCAUGCAAAGUGAAAAUGCCGAGGCCGUUAGUUGCAGCUUCUGCAACGUAGCCUUGUCCCAAUAAUUUUAAGUAUCCCCAAGUUGUAACACAUUUAAUGUUCAGAGUAGUUAAACAAUUAAUUUUUCUUUUGCAUAAAAACAGAAUAUAAAUUUGGACACAGAAUUUUAUUAAUAAUAUAACGCUGUUCAAUUGGGCCACAUAAUACAAAGACAAUAAACAAUAAAAAAAAAAAUUUAAAAAGAAGUAAAAAUCUAGUCUGCUUUGCGCUUAUUUCCUUCGAGCAAAAGCACUUUCAGACCUUCAAAACUUCUAACUAAUUAGAAAAUGGAAAGAUGACAACAUAUUUACGAGGACCCUACAGUGGCACCAGAAAUAUAUACAUACAUAUAUAUAUAUAUAUAUAUAUAGACACACACACAGACAUCAAAUGGCCACAACUUCCAGGUUACUCUCAUGAUCGUCAGUUGAACUUGGCUGCAGGUUUUGGAUGUGGUUCGUUUCUGCUUCAAUAAUGUUCUCUUCGUCAACGUUUUCCGCAAUUUCUUGAUUCCGGUCCACACGAGUGAUCAUGAUACGUCGAAUCCAGUUGAAGCAGCGCUUAAACAGGGAAGCUAACGUUGCAUAACAGAGUGAUAAGAUUAUGAGGCAAAAAUAGGGCACCAGGAAGAGAAAUGGAGCCAAAAUGACAGACGCAACCACCGAGAUAGCCAACAGGACAGAGGGUUCUCCACAACUCACGGAAAUGGAGCGGCUCACACUGACAGUGAGUCUGAUAGGUGUGAGGAGGAAGAGCAGUAAUGGCAUGAUGACGGCAGGAAUCAAGAGCCAGAAUUCUAGCUUGAAAAUUGGAUUCAAAAGUAUCUUACUGGUACCAUCCUGGACGUCCCAUGAGUUGCCAUCCUGAUACCUGAGGAACAGGAAAAAGAUGAUAAGGUUUAGCAAAGGCGGAAACAAAUACCUCAAAUCAAUUAACAGAUCCAUGCUUAUGAGGAAGAUCAAUUUGGCAAUGGCAGGGGCUUGAAUUUUGAUUUUAUUUAUUUUCUUUUUUUUUUUUUUUCCUUUCUUUCUCUCUGCUGCUAAAGAUGCCGAGAGCUUGUGUGUGCAAAGGGUAACUGGAGGAUUUAUAGCUCCGGGGAUGUCUACGAAAGUACCCGGAAGGGUUACUAGCUCGAAAUGCUGUGUGUGUACAAAGGCUUGUCUUUUUCUUCAGAUAAAAACAAAAUAGUGCCAUGGUGGACAUGCAAGAUGACAUCACAUCUUGUUUUUCAAAUAAAAAACAAGAUUGCGCCAAGAAUCGUGUUAAGGAUUGUUGCUAGUUAUAAAUAAUCUUGUUAUGUUGUGUCACUAAAAUUAAUAAUUAAAUGGACACAAGUAAUUAGGUGUUUGAUAAAUCAUCUUAAAAAUAAGUGUGUAUCGAUGAUGGCAUUAUAAACUCAUUCUAACCCAGUUUAAGUUAAAAUAAUUUUUCAUUAAACAUUAUUUUUUUAGACUACUAUGACUUUUUUUAUUUCAGCUAAGUAUAUGAAUUUUUGUUAGGGACUAAUACUUUAUUAAGAUUAUAAAGAAUCGUGUUAAGGACCACUAUGACUAUUGAUUAUUUUAUUAAGACUUGUAUGAGAUUUUUCAAAGAUCACUAGGCUCAUAGCUUUCCAUUAGGUGUGAAUGUGAUUGACAAAUUUAUUAUUAAAGUGUUUUCUUGUAUGACAACCAAAAAGAUAUAAGGUCAAAUUGUUUUAACUAGUGCCGACCGUCAACGUGCCAACGUCACGUGUUGGCCAAGUCCUAUUAUCCUGUCCAAAAUUUGGAGAAAUUUUUUAAUUUUAUAAAAUUUUUGGGCUUUCCCUCAUCGGCUAUUUCUUUUCUUCUUUUCUGAUAAAUCUUAUGUGCUAUUCAUUAAUUGCUUUUAUUUAUAUUUUUAAACACUAUUCAACACAAGUUACUUAACAACAAAGGCAUACGCAAAAUUAAAACUUAUUCAGGAUUUAUAGCUUUUGACAAAUCACAAUUUGUCUUUGAGUCUGUGAUGCCGAUGCGGGACUACCCCUGACGAGAUAUGGCUGGAUAUAAAUAUAAAAAUUGCAUUCAGUCUUCUAGUAGGUAGGCAACGAUAUUCUGGAAGGAAAUGUUAUGCGAAUUUUGUGAUCCAAUUUGCCCUGACUUUGGGUCCCUCACCAUUUCAAUUUCAACAAACUACCAACAUACAGAUUUUGUAACUUAAUUAGACCCAAUUAAUACACAUACAUACAUACAUAAAAAUGUAUGCUCAUAGUACAAAUAAAGGCCAUUGGACUUGUUACCAACAGCAAAUGGUGCAUUUCGAUGCCAUUCACGUGUGAAGCAACAUUAUUAUUGUGUCAGUGUUUUCACUUCUGUAGACGAGGGAAGGACAUCUAAGUUUCUUGAUGAUUGACCCGCAUAGCUUUGCUUCAAUUUGGCUAUUGACUACAUAUUAAUCACUUACCUGCUUGCUAAAUCAAGGACUCUAAAUCAUACCAAUCUUUUUCCAUGUAUCUAUUUGCGAAUCUUUGACCAUAGUUAGCGAUGUUAUUUACUUUUUAUCAUAAAUUUACAAAUGCAAAAACUUAAUGCAUUUUAUUUUUUAUUUUUUCCUAAAUGGAACGAUAAUGAAUUUCCAAACCAUGCUUCCAUGCAACUUAGGGAAUCAAGGAGACAAGGACUCGGAGUGGUUUGUUCUGCACUUCCACAAAAGAAGAAGCACUGGAUUUUGCUGACAAAAAACGUCCUUGUUUAUGAUAUCUUUUGGUCUAUCUCAAUUUGGUGUUCUCUCCCUUUUUUCUCUUAAAUGUUUCUAUUCAAGUGAUGCGAUAAAAAUGGCAAACGAGUCCAAGUGUUGAUUCUUUGAUCCAAUAUUGUCAAUCUGUCCGGUUCAAGGAAGCAUAAUUGAACAUAACACGAAAUCACUUAAACUCGAAUUGUUAUAUAUCAAAGGGUAGAUUAUCAGUUAAUAUAUUGUCAAUACUCCUCCUAGAAUAAUUUUUUCAUUAUUUUUAAAUGUACUUUUGCUCAUAUUUAUUAUAAAUUAAAAUAAACCAUAUAAUAGAAAUUAAAAUAAAAAAUUUCAAAAUUAAAAAUAAGAAAUAUAAGUUUCGGUGUGAAUAAAAAUUAAUAAUAAGAUAAUUUUUCUUAUAUUUUUUUUAUUAUUUUUUAAAUAUUUUUCUUAUAAUAUAUAUACAAACACAUACAUGCAUGCAUGCAUGCACACACACACAUAUAUAAGAUAAAUUACCAAACAAAUGACUGAUUUUCUUUUAAAUUUUUGGUGCCGUGGGAGUUUUCGAAUUGUAUGAAAGCAACUUGCGAUAAGUUAUAUAUAUUAAUUUUAAUAGGGCAUGGGAGAUUGACAAUCCUCCCAUAUCAAAUCUAUUUGCAGUUCUUUUUAAUUCUUAUAUUUAUAUGCAUGAUUUUCUUUUCUUUUAUUAACAAAUCUGCGUUAAGGAGGAAAUUUUUUUUCCCCUUACAACGAUACCCUUAAGAUGCCUGCUGCAUGCAUAUUUAGUUAGCUGUUAAUGAUUUACUGUUAAAAUUUAUUUUUUGUUUUUAUUUUUUAAAUUCACUCUAGGUUUUGCAGUGGCAGGAGCAUGGAAAAGUUUGUCGGUUAAGUGAUUCGAAAUUUUUUCUCCUAUUGAUAAAUAACUAAUUAAGUUUUCUCUUUCCUUUUUUUUAAAAAAUUUUUUAAUCCGACCGAUGACUAUUUAAUUGAGUUUCACCAGUUGAAAAGGACUUAUUGGAGUGUAAUAGAUUCAAAGAAAACUUCAAAGGAUAAGUCUAUUAUUGGCAGAUUGACGAUUGGGUUGGAAUAAUCAAAGUAGAAGGAUAAACCAAUUAUCCACGGGCACAAUUAAAAUUUCAAAUAGAUAUAUAUUUAAUUAUGUAAUUGCCUAAAACCUCCCAAGCGUCUUACUUAAUCUGCUCAAAAUAGAAUAUUCUACAGCCACUUUUUUGAUAAAUUGGGUUAUUUAACGCCUAAAAAUAAGCUUCAAUAGAAUUUUCUUACCUAACCACUUAACUCAUAGAUGUAUUAGGUAGGUACUUUCUCCUAAAGCUUAUUUUAAUUGAACAAAACAACUUCACAUCAAAUUUGCAAAGUCAAUAUUCCACAAAAUUUUUCCUUCUCAUGAAUUAAUAACUCUACCAAUAUAAAAAAACAUAUUUCACCUACACGUAUGGAAAAUUUUUUUUAUUGUGUCUGUUUGUGACCAUCAUUAUUAGGUUGAGUUGAGUAUACACGUAUGGAAAAUUUUUUCUAUUGUGUCCGUUUGUGACCAUUAUUAUUAGGUUGACCAUUAUUUUUUCUAUGGUUAUUUUUUUAAUCUUAAAUUUUAAAAAUAAAUGCAAAAUCGUAGUGUAUAAAGCCGAUUUUUUUUUCCCCAUAAUGAAUUUUCAACCAUGCUUCCUUACAACUUAGGGAAUUAAGGAGUUGGGAGUGGUGUGUUCCGCACUUCCACGUCCUUGUUUAUGAGAUCUUUUGGUCCAAUAUGUCAAUUUCAUAUUGUCUCCCUCUCUCUUUUUCUUUUUUUCUUUUUUUUUUUGUCUAUUUAAGGUUUCUAUUCAAGUAAUGCGGUGACAAUAGCAAACAAGUCCGAGUGUUGAUUGUUUGAUCCAAUAUUGUCAAUCUGUCCGGUUGGAAGCAUAAUCUACUCCUCGAAAAUAUAAUUUUACAUUUUUCAGAUAAUCACGAGAUUCCUCUCUCCAUAAAUCUUAUGUUAAUUUGCACACCACAUUACCUUUUCUCAUACCCAAUAUAAUGCACAAAUAAAUCAAUCUCUUUUGAUAUGAAUAUGCAUAGCGACGUUGUUAUGAUCAAGUUAAAAGUUCUAUGAUAAAGAAGAGUUCGCUCUAAUUUCACGUAAAAAAUUGAAUUCAUAAUAAAACUGUUCCAAAUUUUAAAUUAAUGACGAACUUGCUCCAAAAAUUUAGUUUGCUAUAGGGUGAACAUGAUUUUUCUUGCUCAUAAUAUGGCAGCACAAGAGCUAUUCAUCUAUUGCUAUACGUACUAUAAGUGGGCCAGCGGAGGUUCGGAGUGCACACACGUGGCGCACCAACGAGCGGCGUUGCAAAGCACUGAUAUCAUAUCACUCGUGGCCCAUCAGCUACACGAGGGAAUUGUAAGAGAGAUUGUAACAUCUUUCAAGUUUUUUUUUUUUUUUGGUUUGAUAUUCUGGACGAAAACGGUUUACCGUUUAUUGAGAAAACGGCUAACCGUUUAAGUCCAGAGAGCAUGUUUUCUGUUCUGGGUAAAACAGCGUACCGUUUAUGGAGAAAACAGCUAACCGUUUAACUCCAGAGAGCAUGUUUUAUGGUCUAGAGAAAACGGCUCACCGAUUAUUGAGAAAACGGUUAACCAUUUAUGUACAAAGAGCAACGUAUUUGACAUUCUGGAAUAAAACGGCUCACCGUUUAUUGAGAAAACGGUGAACCGUUUAUUUCCAGAAAGGCGUCAACUAGAAACGGUUGACAAGCUUGAAAAUUUCAAGUGUUGAUCGUUGCAAAUUCAAACCAAAAGAGUUUUUUGAAGAAGUACCAUUUCGAAUGGUUGCAUUCUUUUGAAUUAACAUCUUCUUCAUAAAGGAAACAUAUACAAUAAGAUUAAAAUCAGAUUUGUGCAGGUUUAAUAAAUGUUCUGGAAAUACAAUCUUAUUUGCUAAAGAUUGUAUUCAGGAUUUGAUAUAUCUUGGGGGUAAUUUGCCAUUAAAACUCUAUAGCAAACCAAGAUUGGUGAGGGCAAAUAAAACCUUAAAGGAAAGUGUGUAAACACGUCUCAAAUCCUAAGAAAUUUCAUUGUUCUUUGCCUCCAUAUUCUCAUAAUUCACCAACAAUCUUUAAGGUUUUAUUUUGUGCAAAUGGAGGUUGAGAAGAGUUUGACAUCAUUUCUGAAUCCUAGUGUCCAUCUCGAUCGUUUUGAUGGAACUAAUUUCACUCGUUGGAAGGGAAAAUUGUUCUUUCUCCUUACUGUUCUUAAAGUGGCAUAUGUUCUUGAUCCGAAAUUGGAACCAUUUCCAGAACCAAGAGAAGAUGAUACCGAAGUUGUUAAGGCUGCAAGGAAACGUCGUGAAGAUGAUGAAUUGAUAUGCCGGGGUCACAUACUCAAUACGCUUUCUGACAGAUUAUAUGAUCUCUACAAUUCUAUGACUUCUCCGGUGGAAAUUUGGAAUGCUCUUGAAUACAAAUACAAAACGGAGAAAGAAGGUACUGACAAAUUCCUUGUAUCUAAAUAUUUUGAAUUUAUUAUGGUAGACACAAAAUCCAUUCUUGAUCAAAUACAUGAGUUACAAAUUAUUGUUGCUAAGCUUCGAGAGUUAAAAGUUGAAAUUUCUGAAUCAUUUCAAGUUGGGGCUAUUAUUGCUAAAUUGCCUCAAAGUUGGAAUGAUUAUAGAAAGAAACUCCUUCAUAGUAAAGAGAACAUAACUUUAGAAGAAUUGCAAAAACACUUGGUAAUUGAAGAAGAGACUAGGUCUCGUGAAUCCAAGGAUAAGCAUGAUUCUACUAAAGUUAAUGUUGUUGAAGCUAGUAAAUUCUCAAAGAAUUUUAAAGUCAAGAAUGACAAGAAAUUCAAGAAGUCCAGCACACAAAAGUUUUCUGGAAAUUGUUUCUUUUGUGGUAAGAAAGGCCAUCGCCAAAGUGAUUGUAGAUUCAAGAAGAAAAAGGAAGAAGUGAAUUCCCAUAAAGCUAAUGUUAUUGAAAACAAAUCUGAAGAGAUUUGUGCUAUGGUUUCUGAAAUGCAAAUUGGCAUGAUUACCGAAACCAAUAUGGCUGAAACUAAGUCCUAUGAUUGGUGGCUUGAUUCGGGUGCAACAAUUCAUGUUUGUAAUGAUAAGAAAUUUUUCUUAUCAUACAAAGAAGAAACGGAAGGACAAAUGGUUCUCAUGGGGAACAAUAAUGCAGCCAUAGUAGCAGGGAAAGGAGUAGUUGAGAUCAACUUCACUUCUGGAAAGAAAGUCACAUUGUAUAAUGUCUUUCAUGUACCUUCCGUUAGGAAGAAUCUUAUUUCUGCUAGUUGUAUGUGUAAGCAUGGGCUUAAGAUUGUGCUUGAGGGUAAUACUUGUAUUGUGUCAAAGAAUGGAUUAUUUGUUGGGAAAAGGGUAUUCUUGUGAUGGAAUGUACAAACUCAGCAUUAAUAAUAAUAAUAUCAACUUAGCUUAUAUUGUUGAGUCUUGUGAUGUUUGGCAUGCUAGAUUAGCACAUUUGAACUUUAGAUCUUUGAAAUACAUGUCUAAGCAUGGUUUGAUUAAUUGCAAUGAUGUUAAAGGUCAUAAGUGUGAAAUCUGCAUCCAAGCUAAAAUAACUAAGAAACCUUUUCCUAAAGCUGAACGAAAUACUCAAAUAUUGGAUUUGAUACAUACUGAUAUUUGUGAGUAUAAUGGCAUUUUAACAAGAGGAGGUAAGAGAUACUUCAUCACUUUUAUUGAUGAUUGUUCUAGAUACACUUAUGUGUAUUUACUUAGAACAAAAAGUGAAGCUUUUGAUAAAUUUAAAAUUUUCAAAGCUGAAGUUGAGAACCAAAAAGAUAAGAAAAUCAAAAUGGUUCCUAGUGAUAGAGGUGGUGAAUAUUUCUCAAUUGAAUUUAAUAAAUAUUGUGAAGAAGUUGGAAUUAUUCACCAAAGAUCAGCUCCAUUUACUCCUCAACAAAAUGGUUUGGCUGAGAGGAAGAAUAGGAUCUUCACGGAUAUGAUAAAUUCCAUGAUCCUUAAUGCAAAACUACCAAAUAAUUUGUGGGGGGAAGCAUUACUCACUGCAUGUCAUAUUCAUAACAGAAUUACAUCUUUGAAAACACAUAUAUCUCCUUAUGAAAUUUGGAAAGGAAGAAAACCAAACUUGAUGUAUUUAAGGGUCUGGGGUUGUUUAGCUUUUUAUAAAAUACAUGACCCUAAGUCAUCAAAGUUGAGUGCUAGAGGUAUAAAAAGUGUUUUCGUAGGAUAUGCUGAAAAUUCCAAGGCUUAUAGGUUGUUAGAUUUAGAUUCUAAUGUGAUUGUGGAAUCUAGAGAUGUUGAAUUUAUUGAGAAUAAAUUUCAACAUGAUUCUAAUAUUGAAUCAGAAUCAAUUAUUGAUCAACCAUGUGUUAAUACUCUUGUUACCUCCACUAAUAAUAAUAAAAGGAAAGAGUCUACGACAUCUUUCGAACCAAGGAGGAGUCAACGUGAAAAGAAAGAUAAGAGUUUAGCUCCGGAUUUUAUUUCAUCACAAGCACUACUCUUCUUGGUUGAAGGGGAUAGAAAGAAUGUACUUAACAAAGUACCAUUGUUGUUAAAUAUUGAAAAAGAUCCAAAGACAUUUAGCGAGGCUAUGUCUUCUAGAGACGCUUCUUUUUGGAGAGAGGCAGUAAAUGAUGAAAUGGAUUCGAUUAUGUCGAAUCAAACAUGGGUCUUGGUUGAUCUUCCUCCAGGAUCUCAACCAAUUAGCAGCAAAUGGGUAUUUAGAAGAAAGUACAAUAAUGAUGGUUCUUUGCAAACUUUUAAGGCUAGAUUAGUAGCCAAAGGGUUUAAGCAAAGAAAUGGUAUUGACUAUUUCGAUACAUAUGCUCUGGUAGCUAGGUUAACUUCUAUAAGAGUGCUAUUUGCAAUUGCUUCAUUGAACAAUUUAUAUGUGCAUCAAAUGGAUGUUAAAACAGCUUUUCUUAAUGGUGAUCUUGAUGAAGAAAUCUAUAUGGAACAACCUGAGGGAUUUGUUUUGCCUGGAAAUGAGAAAAAGGUAUGCAAGUUAAUCAAAUCUCUUUAUGGCUUAAAGCAAGCACCAAAACAAUGGCACGAGAAGUUUGAUUCGGUAAUUUUAUCACAUGGUUUUAAGCAUAAUAAUGCUGAUAAAUGUGUAUAUUUUAAAUAUACGAAUGAUUUUGGUGUGAUUAUAUGCUUGUAUGUUGAUGACUUGCUUAUCUUUGGAACAAAUAUACAAGGAGUAGAUGAUACAAAGAAGUAUUUAACUUCACAAUUUAAGAUGAAAGAUCUUGGUGAAGUAGAUACUAUCUUAGGUAUCAAAGUGAAUAAACAUAGUGGGGGUUACUCGUUGUGUCAAUCUCAUUAUAUAGAGAAAGUGCUUCUUAAAUUCAAUUAUUUGAAAUUUAAAGAAGCUAAUACCCCAUAUGAUUCUAGUAUUAAAUUACUAGAGAAUUCAGGCCGAAUAGUAGCUCAACUAGAAUAUGCUAGUGCUAUUGGUAGCUUGAUGUAUGCUAUGCAUUGUACGAGGCCUGAUAUAGCAUUUGCAGUUUGCAAAAUGUCAAGAUUCACGAGUAACCCUAGUGUUGAACACUGGAAAGCAAUUGGUAGGAUACUUGGUUAUCUUAAAAGGACCGUUAAUUUGGGUUUGUUUUAUAAUGAUUAUCCUGAAGUACUGGAAGGAUAUUCAGAUGCUAGUUGGGUAACCAAUACAAGAGACAAUAAAUCCACUUAUGGUUGGAUUUCUACAAUCGCUGGAGGAGCGGUUUCUUGGGCUUCAAAGAAACAAACGUGCAUAACUCAUUCAACAAUGGAAAGUGAGUUUAUAGCACUUGCAGCUGCAGGCAAAGAAGCAGAAUGACUGAGAAAUUUGUUGUUUGAUAUAAUGUUGUGGCCACAACCGAUGCCAUCUAUUUCUUUGUACUGCGAUAGUGAAGCUACAUUGUCUAGAGCUUAUAAUAAAGUGUAUAAUGGAAAGUCUAGACAUAUUAGCUUAAGACAUGAAUAUGUGAAACAAUUAAUAGCAGAUGGUGUUAUUAAUAUUGUUUAUGUUAGGACUAAUAAAAACCUAGCAGAUCCUUUAACAAAAGGUCUUUCAAGAGACUUAGUUAAGGAUACAUCUUUUGGAAUGAGAUUGAAACCUUUACACAAUAAAGUCACCAACGACGGUAACCCAACUAUGUAGUAGUUAUACCGCUACUCCAUAGUUAAAUGGGUAAUAACAAGUUGUUGUUAUGUGACUGGAUUGGCACCGAGUAAUAAAUAAUCCCAUUCGAGAUAUUCGGUGCAAAUAGCUACGAGGUUGAGGUUGAGUAUUUAUUCUUAAUGAAGUUCAAGUCUUAUAGUAGCUAAAGACAUGAUUUGAAACUUCACCUAAGUGAACAUAAGAAAUGGUGCUGUUUCUAACAAGGUCCUGGUUUAAUCUUGUAAAUGUUCAUGAAUCCAAGAUAGAGCACAAGGCCGGAAUAGUGCUAACUAUUGGAACACAACUUUGAAAUCUGGGAUAACUUAUAUGUGAUGUAUCUCCGGUAUUUACUUAAGAGACAAAGUUUAAUGCUUAGCACACUAUUGUCUUGUAAAUGCUUUGAAAUACACUCACUAAUUAAAGGUUAAAAUCGAAAGAUACAUUUUUGUAUGUAUAAGUUUAUUAUUAAUAAAUCUGAAAAAUAUUACAAUCUAGUGGGGAUUGUAAGAGAGAUUGUAACAUCUUUCAAGUUUUUUUUUGGUUUGAUAUUCUGGACGAAAACGGUUUGCCGUUUAUUGAGAAAACGGCUAACCGUUUAAGUCCAGAGAGCAUGUUUUCUGUUCUGGGUAAAACAGCGUACCGUUUAUGGAGAAAACGGCUAACCGUUUAACUCCAGAGAGCAUGUUUUAUGGUCUAGAGAAAACGGCUCACCGGUUAUUGAGAAAACGGUUAACCGUUUAUGUACAAAGAGCAACGUAUUUGACAUUCUGGAAUAAAACGGCUCACCGUUUAUUGAGAAAACGGUGAACCGUUUAUUUCCAGAAAGGCGUCAACUAGAAACGGUUGACAAGCUUGAAAAUUUCAAGUGUUGAUCGUUGCAAAUUCAAACCAAAAGAGUUUUUUGAAGAAGUACCAUUUCGAAUGGUUGCAUUCUUUUGAAUUAACAUCUUCUUCAUAAAGGGAAAGAUAUACAAUUAGAAAUAUCAUCAGAUUUUGCAAGUUUCAUAUAUGUUCUGGAAAUACAAUCUUAUUUGCUAGAGAUUGUAUUCAGGAUUUGAUAUAUCUUGGGGGUAAUUUGCCAUUAAUACUCUAUAGCAAACCAAGAUUGGAGAGGGCAAAUAAAACCUUAAAGGAAAGUGUGCAAACACGUCUCAAAUCCUAAGAAAUUUUCUUUGUUCUUUGCCUCCAUAUUCUUAAUAUUCUCUAACAGGAAUAGUCCCAAAGCCGAAGGAGGUGGCUGAGAAAUGUAACAGCAACUAUAUUACAUUUUACAUGUUAUUAGGUUUAUCGGUUUCUUUAACUUUAAUACAGAUGGCCGGCUAGAGAGUGAGACCCACAUGACUAACUGAGGAUUAUUCCAAAUUAGAGUUAAUUAUAAUAAUACAGUCUUUAAUUCAACAAUGUUAAUUGUUAAUAGAUAAUGUUAGGUCUGAGUCACUUUGUUGAGUUUUUCAGGGAACUUUGAUAUGGAGAAAGAUGUGCAGUUGCUGGCCCUGAUUAAUUAAAUUAUAUACUACUAAAUAUUUCCUUCCCCCACCUCCAAAUUGCAUAUAUGAUAACCAAACUACUAAUUAAUAAUAAUUAUAAACGAAAACAUUGACAAUUUUAAAGGCUGUCAUUUUCUUCGAUCAAAUUACCUCAGCCGGAAAAAAAUUGAUUUGGAAAUUAAAAUAUAUAGUCAAUACUCCUCGAAAAAUAAUUUUACAGUAUUUCCAUUAUUUUUAAAUAUACUUUUGUUCAUAUUUAUUAUAAAUUAAAUAAAUCAUAUAAAUAGAAAUUAAAAUUAAAAAUUUGAGAAUUAAAAAAAAAUAAGUUUCGGUGUGAAUAAAAAAUAAUAAUAAGAUAACUCUUUCUUGUACUUUUUGUUAUUUUUUAAAUAUUUUUCUUAUAACACACACACACACACACACACACACACACACACACACACACAUAUAUAUAUAUAUAUAUAUAUAUAUAUAUAUAAUUUUCAAGAUAAAUUACCAAACAAAUGACUUAUUUUCUUCUAAAUUUUUGGUGCCGUGGGAGUUUUUGAAUUGUAUAAAACAACAAGUUAUAUGUGAUAUAUAUAUAUAUAUAUAUAUAUAUAUAUAUAUAUAUAUAUAUAUAUAUAUAGAUUUUAAUAGGGCAUGGGAAAUUGACAAUCCUCCCAUAUCAAAUCUAUUUGCAGUUCUUUUUAAUUCUUAUAUUUAUAUGCAUGAUUUUCUUUUCUUUUCUUUUAUUAGCAAAUCUGCGUUAAGGGAAGGAAUUUUUUUUUUUUUUUUCACUUACAACGAUACCCUUAAGAUGCCUGCUGCUUACAUAUUUAGUUAAGAGUAAGCGCAAGGCCUUAGGACAACCUUUUUAUCCUAUCAAUGUGACCGCAAUAAUCUCUCAGAACCCGUAAAUCAGUACGGAGAUAUAAGAGAUGUGAAGGAAUUAAGCAUCUUUAAAAAAGAAAAAAUAUUUAAUGCAUUAGUUCUUUUGGAUUUUCAGCAACUUGCAUUGCCCAAAUCAUUAUCUCAAUUUACCCCCCUCGUUAACAAUAUAAGCUUUCGCACACGAUCCAAAGUUAUUGAUGAUUGACCAGCAUACAUAUCUGUUUUCUUGAAAACUUUUUCUGAAUGAUGGAUUUGAUCCUACAACGCAUCAGUUCAUUACCCUUCCCCAUAAGCUACAUGGUUUUAUCAUUUGAUGAUGACAUUUUAAUAUGUAAUUUCUUUCUUCCAAGACAUUCCUUUGCGACUGAUACUACACAAUCCAUAAUUGCAUUCCCAUCAUACAAGGGUCAUCCACCCUUAAAAAGAGGAAGGGGGGAAAAAGUAUAUGAAACUUAUUAAAUGUUUAAUUAGUAGAAAAUCUUGGGGAAAAUACUUGAAAAAGCAUAAAUUGUGUAUGACAAGAAACAACCAUGCAUGUUUAAUCUUUUGCAAGCAUAGCUCAUAUAACAACUUUAAACAUUUUCCUUGCAAAAAUAUGAAUGAAUCUACAAACACCUGAAAAGUUCAACCAAUCAGCGCAGUUUACUGAUGUUAAAAGAGACAUUCAAUCAAUUUGCCGGACUUCCAAACUUCAAUUUAAUGCAAUCACAGUCAUCACCCUUCUAUCCUUACAAUAGGAUUAGAAUUUCUAUUUAUUGUAUAUUUAACUGCAGUUCUAGACUCUGUCUGCAAAAGUAAAACAGAUAAUUCUUGUUAAUUUCCCUGGAUGAUCAGUAUGCUCUCAAUCUCUAUGCUUAGUCAUAGAUAUACAACCAUGUCAAAAGCUAGCCCUUCCCAACUAAGUCCAAACGGAUGACAAAAAGUGAACCUUGUCCCACUGACAAGAAACUUGGUCUUCCCUCUUAUCUUCAAAAAUGCAAUCUUGCCGAGUAACCCAAAAAGGAGCUAGAGCCAGAGAACCUUAGCUUUCUAUCCUUGCCCGAAAGCAAAACCAUUUUUCAUUAGCAAAGAGCUACAAGAACUUGGAGCAUCCUAAAACCAAUAACAUAAUUGAGAAUCAAUGCAUGUAUCCGUAAGCAUAGUACCCAAACCAAUUUUAAAUUUCUGAUAGGCUUACUUAAUUGCCCAAAUUCUACCAAGCUUUUCAGUUAACCUGCUCAAAAUACAAUCCGCAGGUACAUUUAAAUAAAUUGGGUUAUUUAACGCCUAUAAUCUUUGAAACCUCAUCAAAUUGCUACCAGAAGUAAUCCAUACCAAACAAUCAACACAUGAAAUACAGGACCUUCAGACAGAAGAAAGAUGGCCGAAGAAGAAAUUAAAAACCCAUAGAAGCACUAAAUACUUCUCCUAUUACUAAUAAUGGAACAAAACAACAUCAAAAUACGCUCAAUAUACCACUAGAGGAAUAAAUCCACACCAAUGACAAGCUAAAUAUGACAUCUUUCUAGAAUUAAUAAUUCUGCAACCAAAAAAGCACAGUAAUUAUCUGCAUUUUAAAUAAUCCUAAAAACAGGACAAUGACUUAUUUAUGUCAUAUAAAGGACCUACAAACACUUAUCUUUUUAUCUAUUUUAUUUCCAAGCAAAAACAACAUUUUUCUAUUCUUUCUUCAACUGGAAAACAGGUUAUGUUACGGUAGUCACUAGACAGUAGGCAAAACACUUGAUAACUAAAUAUAUAAAAAGAAAUAAAAAAGAGUUAAAAAAAAUUACAAAAGUUAAAAUCGAAAAAACAAAAAGAUUAAAAAUGAAACUGCUUGUGAAAAAUGAAAAUAUCAAACCCCCUUCUUCAGAACAAUUCAAAGAGGGAGUUGCUGGUUCUUAAUGCAACAGUAAGUAACAUGCCACUGAAACCCCAACCUUUAAACAUAGAACUUGAACUCAGGAAGAGAUAAAAGAAAAAGACAUAGAUGACUGACUGAGUCCGACUGAAAGAGAGUUAAAAAGAAAUAAAAAAGAGUUAAAAAAGAAAUAAAAAAGAGUUAAAAAAAUUACAAAAGUUAAAAUCGAAAAUACAAAAAGAUUAAAAAUGAAACUGCUUGUGAAAAAUGAAAAUAUCAAACCCCCUUAUUCAGAACAAUUCAAAGAGGGAGUUGCUGGUUCUUAAUGCAACAGUAAGUAACAUGCCACUGAAACCCCAACCUUUAAACAUAGAACUUGAACUCAGGAAGAGAUAAAAGAAAAAGACAUAGAUGACUGACUGAGUCCGACUGAAAGAGAGUCGCCAAUAUACCGUACUGGUCAGCUCCCAGUUGAAUUUGCAAGGUUGGGUUCGAGUCCCAGUCCCACAGGUAGUGAAAGUAGGUAGGUAUCGUAAGUUCCUACUAACCAGCUGGAGUAUCAAAACCUGUUUGUAUAAGCCUGCACAAUACAAGUUAAUCAUCAGCAAAUGAGGGGGCUGCAGCGAGAAACACAGAUCAUGUAUUAAUUAUAAAACAUGUAAAAUUAACGUAUAAUAUAAGUCAUAAAACCCUUUUUCUUUAGAGAUAAUCUCCCCAUAGCAACUAUAAAUAUGGAAAAAAAAAAUGACCAAAGAGUAGAACAGUCCCCUCCUUUUCUCCAAACAAAUACAACCAUUUCAGUUCACACCUAAGCUGAGAACCAUUCUAGUUUCAAUUUUCAACCAAUGAAACAACCAUAGUAUUCUUAUAUAAAAAAAAUGAAAUAACCAUAGAAUAAAAUAAUUAUACUCUAAUUCAAAUAUUGCUUCAGAAUAUAGACUCAAUUGGUCAAACCUAUGGAAUUGGAAUGAUGCAUUUAUUUAACCCAAAAGGUGAAAAUCAAGCUUAAGGUUCUUACAUAUCGAAAUGAUAAAAUUUCAUUCAUUCUGAACACGAGAUGCAACUUUUCAAGUUAUUCCAAGAGAAAACAUUAAAAGAAAUUUGUCCAUCCGACGUAGGCUAAAUCAUACGGAUUAUUAACAUUGAUAUUUUUUAUUAGCUGAAUUGAUAACUUUUGCACCCUAACUUAAGGGCACAUGUGAUAAGAAAUUUUUUUCUACAUCAGGCGCAAGUAUAAGCUUUUAACAAUUAAGCUUUGACUGUUUGCUUACAAGAUCAAACAUAUACUAAUAGAGAUGAAUAAAAUCCAGCACUUCAAGAAAAAUUUGACAUUAUAUCCCCUAAAAUGUGGAUAUUAUCCAAUAUAUCAAACCAGCAAUUUUUAUACUCAGCUGCUUAAAACUUCAAAAACAAAAAAUAAAAUAAAAUAAAAUAAAUAAAAUAUAAUAAAACAUAACCUUCUCAAGUCAACUCUACUAACCUUCUCAAGUCAACUGUACUAUGACAAUUGGUUAAUACGACAUUUGGGGCCUCCAGGACCCUAUUACUACAACACUAACAGAUAUAAGUGCAUCCUACCAACGUAGCUUAGUCAUUCUAAAUACAUGUAUUAAAAAGCAUAAUAUCUACAAAAAGGUAGCUUACUAAGUUUACUAGGCCAGCAAUGCCAAAGCACAACCAGAACAGUAACAAAAAUAGACGAAGACGGUUCUUUAUUACAGAACACAACUUUCAAAAGAUGCAAUCUCCAUGUUAAACCCCAAAUCAAAAUCAAUCCUCCACUGACCACAAUACUUUUCACCAUCAUUGCCCAAACCUGAAAAGUAAGGGGUGAGCUAACGCACAGUAUGUAGUUACACACAACAAAGGAUCGUUUUAUUUUUUUAUCUUUUAUUGUUUUUAAACACCCAAAUAAUUCACACAACUUUGGUACAUUUCUAACAUAGACCAUUUAUAUGUAUAUAAAUAUAUAUAAAAUAUUUAUUUCUUAAACUUUUUAAGUUUGAAAGUUGGUGUUCAACAGAAAUGUCAUAAGACAAGAUCAUAACAACAUACACACAUACAAAUAUCAUGUUGCUCGGUAGUUACGUGUAAAGAAAUCCUAAAAUUACUCUUUCAAUAAUACAAAAUAAAAACAUGCCUGACAAGUCAGUAAGAUGUAAAUCCUCAGCAAACAUUUUCCCCCAAUAUUAAUUUUGAAAAGAUAUACCCUACAUGCUUUUGGAGCAUUAUUCCCAAGGCCACCGCCCAUGAUUUCUUUUGUAGACUUUCACCGCGGGAUAGAAAUCUGACAAAGGUCAAUCCAGCACAGCAUACUUUUGGGGCAUUAUUCCCAGGGGCCAUCGCCCAUAAUUUCUUUUGCGGGCUUCACCGCGGGACAGGAA